rnacentral:lncRNA from 1 species
CACAUUGAAGUAUUAAACGUAGUUUAAUAACAAAACAAAUUAUAGAUUCCGCCAGGAAAUUGCGAGAUGAAUUUAUUAAGCCUAAUUAAUCUAUCAUUAGCAAAUGUUUACUGUAGCACCACAUUGUCAAAUACUGACGCAAUUAGGCUUAGAAGAUUCGUCUCGUAAUUUACACAUAAUCUGUGUAAUUGGUUUUUUUUGCCUAUAUUUAAUACUCCAUACAUGUGUCUAAACAUUCGAUGUGACAGCGUAAAAAUUUUUGUUUUGGGAACUAAACAGGGCCUAAGUCCGUAAGUGAAACCACCAUCAAAAUCAUCAAGGGAAUCAAAUUACACCGGUUUUAAUAGUUGGGGUCGAGAUAUCUGGUAUCCCGGUUGAGGGAUACGAAUUACUGAUUGCAUCUGUAUUUGGGGGAUUAAAGGUGGACUUAUUCCUUGAUAGGCGGUGAUGAAAAUGAAAUGGGCCGAAAAAGAGAACUGGCCCGUGUAAAGCCCAUAGGCCCUACGACCCUUGUCGUCUUCUCCGCUCCACCGAAUCGGGCGAGCAGGGCAGGCGGCGGCCGACUAUGGAGCCACGCGACGCGACGCUGGCGGAGGGCGGCGGCAAGCCGACGGGGCGCGACUCGAGGUAACUCCCCUCACCGAGCUCCGAAUUUGGUCGGUUUUGUAUUUCGUUUUCCUGGGACUCAAUUAAUCAUCGGUAUUAAUCGUAGAAACCGGACCAAAUUCCAUCGAUGGACCCCACCCUAGUCUCGGUCGUCGCCCUGCGCUCCUAUUCAUCCGGGGGGCGACGUCAACUCCAAGCUAAUUUCGUGGAUCAAACCAAACAGCCCAAGAAAUAGUUGAUGAAUGAAUAAAACGACUAUAGUAGAGUAUAGUUUCAUGUAGCCAAAGCUAAAAAUCGUUCUAAACAUGCUAGUGAAUGCAUGUCUACAAGCAUUGUAACAAGUAAGGUUAAAAUUGGUUUGGAUAGUUUUCGUCCGUACAGACCAUUUUUCAGAUUCGGAUAGUUUUGGUCGGAACUAUUUGAAAAUUCUCGGAUUCGGAAACAAAUUCGGAUUUUUUUUGAAACGAAAAUGAAUAUAGUAAGGGUACUAUCCGUCAGAAUCAGAAAACGGUCGGAAACUAUCUGAAAUUUUUUUUAUAUCCGCAGACAUUGAGCAAAUUUUAGAAAAAACAUGUAUAUAUACAUAACUUUUUCAUACGGAAUCAGAUGAAGACAAACUUUAUAUCAACAUUGUAGAGCUCGAUGAGAUCUACAACUUUCUUAUCGACUAUUUUAUUAUUUGAGGUCAUUUAAGGGUCUAAAUAUUCAUUAUAAUAUACCAUAUUAAUUUUUACAAAAUCUCAGAUAUACAAUUCAAACGAUAUCUGAUGGAGAUGUUUUCCAUAUCAAAGUUGUAGAGCUCAACGGGAUCUACCACUUUGUAGUUUAUAGCAUUUGUAUUUGAAAGCGUUUAAACUAUAAAAUAAACAUUACAAGUUUCGAAGAUGUGAAGUAAAAUAAAUAGCAUCUCCAAUUUAUACAAUGGUAAGUAAGUUAUACAUCUAGUAAAAGGUCUUGGGAAUAGAAAAUGAUAAUCAUAUUUGUAUAUGGAUCUCUUAUAGGAACAACCAUGAAAAUCGAUUUUCACAUACGGUUGUAGGACCGUCUACAAAAUUGACGGUAUAAAUGAUGGAGAUGUUGAACUAAAAUAAUAAACGAUAUCUCUUCCUCGAUCAAGAAACUCAAUUUGAGGGGUUUUUUAUAUACCGGUAAAUAUUUGCUGCCAUAUUCGUUCCGUCUCGUAUUCGCUCCAUAUUUGUAUUCGAUAAUAUUCGAUUUCAUUUCCCUAUCCGAGUUUUCGAUUCUGAUUCCGAUUCCGAAAAAAAAUGAAAACGAAUAUGAUAAAGCUAGUUUCCGUCCGAUCCGUUUUCAUCCUAGUAACAAGUGGAUUAGAAAAGGAUUGGGGCCGAUUCUGCUUACUUGGUCUUGAAAUAAUAAUAAAAAAAAAAGAAGCCCUUAAUUUAUUACAUUGAAAGCAUGCUCUUCCAAUAUUGUCAUAUCUGAUGCAAAUAACAAGGUAUUUCAAGGCUGAGCACAAAGCAUCUAAAAAGUAACACACUUACUAAUUGAACGAGACACUCACAUAACGAAGGUGCUUUAGAUUAGCAAAUUUGCCAGGGAAGUGACAUCUACUGAAUAAGUGAGCUUUCACGACACGCAGGGCUUUUAAGGUCUCUACGUACAACUUCUUCCACUGAACAUACAGUAUUGUCCUGGAUAUCAUGGCAAUCUUCAAAGACAAUGGUGCGGAGAUUUUUGAACCGGGAGAAACUUUUAAUGAUGUCAGCUGGAAAACUAUUAAUACCAACAACAGAUAGGUGACGUACUGUUCUUUUUACUUUCUUGGAGCCAUUAGCGUCAAAGAUUCUUGCACAUUCACCUGAAGAAACCCAUGUUGCCAAAUCAUGCAUUAAGUCAUGCAUCACAUAGUAUUCAUGGCAUUCAUUCCUUUCAAAAUGAAAGUUUCUUAAUUUGAGAUUAAAGAAUGACUUUCUAGUUAGUUGAGCUAAGCACUCUUCUGCAACAUCCCGUGCAUUUUCAGCUUCACCUGUUGUCUGGGAGAUCAAUCCUGAAGCUAUCCACAUCUGUACCAAUUCUUCUUUUUUGAAUUCAUGAUCUUGUGGGAAAAUGCUACAAUAUCGGAAGCAAACCUGUAGGCCAGGUGGCAAGUGGUAGUAACUUACUUUCAGAACUUUCAUGAUAUCUUCCAUACCUCCAUCAAAAUAACCCAGCUGCUCAUCCAAGAAUUUAUUCCAGAAUUGAACUGUCAUGUCCUCCCGUAGAUGCCCAGCAAUAACCUUUGUUACCAAGGGACACCCUCUUAGUUUCUUGCAAUUUUUUCUCCAGCUUCUUGUAAUUCUUCAAAUUUUUGGGGAUCUGGAUAGGUGAAGACAUGAUGGUUAAAAAGUUCUAAAUUUUCAGUUUCUUCAAGUCCACAUAAUGGAAAGCGCUCCCUUUCACAUCUCAUUACAGCUGAUGCUAAAUCUGCCACUGAUUGCAUUCGGGUUGUCAACAAAAUCUUCCUCCCAUACACUCCUGUUCUCAAAGAGGCAAAUAGUUUUUCCCACUCAGAGAUUUCCUUAUCUUCCCAGACAUCAUCUAGAAUGAGAAGAUAUUUAAUGGUCUCAAGUGUCCUUGCCAAAUGUUCUUGUAGUGCAUCGUAGGUAUCGAAACUAGGUUUUGAUAAUGUAACAGAUUGUAUUAUUUUACUUAUCAAUGUUUCUGCAUUAAAAUUUGUAGAGACAGAAACCCAAAUCACGGUUUUAAAAUGUUCCUUGAUCCUGUUUUCUUUGGCGAUAAGCUGAGCCAAAGUGGUUUUCCCUAUGCCACCAUGGCCAACUAUUGACAUAAUGGGGACAGGAUUAUUAUUCAUGACAACUUCGUUCUCUUCACUUGAUGUACUAGUCAACCAUCCAACAAUCCGUUCCUUCUCAUUUUCUCUGCCAAACACCCUAUCAGCAGUUAACAUCCUUCCUGUUUCACGGUACCUACUGAUCGAAUGAUGCCGUUGUGGAAUGUUUAAAUUGGGUCUUGUGAUUUGAUCUACAACUGUGAGAAAAUUCUCAACGCCUUUAGCCGCCUCAUCUAAAUCUUCCAUGGCUUUCUUUAACCUCUUGAGAGGGGAAUCAGAUGUCUUACCCAACAUUUUAACAUGCUUAACAGACUGGAAAAAUUUGUGGUUCAUCUUAGCAAAAGAAGAUCCCAGGUGACUAUCCUUUAGAUCCUUUUGCUUCUCUUUGAGCUCGUAGUACUCAAGCUCAUCGAUAGCAUCCUCAGCCUUCUCAACUGCAUCCCUGAGCUGCCACAGCCAUGUAUCAAGGUCUUCACUCCUCUCCUUGAUGUAAUCAGGAUCAGCUACAUCGAUCACUGAUUGGAUCUUGGGUAUGUUCAUCUUCAGCCUUUUCUUCAUGUCUCCCAAUCCUUCAGACUUGUGGUACUUGUUCAGGUAGCUGAAUGCCUUGUUGACAAAGAAGGAGAUCGCUGGGGUUGCGACUGACCUCCCUGCAAACACUAGUACAGCAGAUGCCAUGUUAGUCCUUCAAUAUUUUUGUCGUAAAAGAGAGAUGAAGAUCGAUGAAAUGCUGGGAGAUGUACUUCUGUUCGUAAAACUUGGGUUCUUUAAGCACAGAACAGUGGCCUCUGUGAUUGAAGUAAUAUUUUUUUAAAAAAAUUCCUAGACCAAGUUUUAGGCAUAAGAAAAUCUCCACUUGAAGAUGUGUAUUAUGCAAGUGAAUUUCCCAUUAUUCUUCUAAUAGUCCCUACAAAGCUAACCACUCCCAUCUCCAUCUGCCUGUGCUUCUCUCUUGGCUACACGAGAAUAUCCUAUGGUUUGCAUGGAAGUCAUUGACAACUAUAUGUUCAUCGUAAAUCCUGAUCAACAAGGCAUUGGCCUACCGAGAGAAGUACUGCAUGUCCAACGGACUGCAUCCCUUCAUGUACAAGUUACUUAAGGAUUGGUGGGAGAUGUAAAGUUGGUCCUAAUUAAUCUUUGUCUCUUUUACCACCAGAGACCAGUACAGUUGUCUCUUUGACUGAAGUAAUAUAAACUGCUCAGGGUACUCCACACAAGUGUACACAAACAUGCAGAUGAUUGCACUUAUGCUUUUCCUAAUGGAAGAAAUGACAUAGAAUUUUUGGCAAGAUCUUAUCGUUGGUCCACUAUAUCAUAGUUGCAUCUAGACAUGAGGUCCAUCUUCAUUUGCAAGACAUUUCUUUAAGUGGCUGUAGGAUUUAUUAGUAGUGUGGGGGUAUAAGUUAAUUGAGCUUCCUUUUUCAGCAGCUCAGUUAGAGGCGAUCUUCAAAGCCCCCACACUAAUUCUAUGAGGCAUAAAAGCAAGAAAAUUUUGCAUUAAUUUGGGAAAAUAUUAAAAAUCUAGAAAUUCUUGCGUUGACCGCUAAAAAAGAUCUCUCCGUCAAUUUUGUGUAACCAAUCUGAUGUAUGGAUUGGCUUUAAAAAUGACCUAAUCUAUUAUGAUGUUAAUACAACAUGCACACAGUUGGAGUUGAAUAAAUUAAUGAACAGAUGUGCUGCGAGCGAUGGAGUUAGCUUGUUUUUUAUUUGGGUCCAGGUAUGCUUAUCACAAAAGCAUUCUUUCUUGUUUUUUUCCCUUUUUUUUGUGAAAGCUGCAUGCUGUGCUUAUUCAAACUUUGACCGGAAAAUGUGUCCUAAUCAACACUCCCUUUGUGCACAUACAUUUCAAAAUUUAUACAAAAUCCCUUAUAUUAUGGGACGGAGGGAGUACUUGAUAAUUUUAAUCAGUCAAUCGUAGAAAUUCCUGUAUUGAUGGAAAUAUAUUAAGCUAGAAAUUCUGAUAAAAAUGAAUGGAAAUUUAGAGAACUAUAUAAUCUACAAUAAAUGAUUUCCACAUCCAAAACCGUGAUUAAAAUUAAACUUAAUUUUGGAGUAGUGAUACUCAAAUGCAAAAGGUGAAGAUAAGUCAUAGAUAUAUUUAAAUAUAAAAAGUGUGAAUCUAUUGUACAUUAAAUUAAUUCAGUAGCCCAUGCAGAUGCAUGAGUUGAUGGCUAGUAUGGUAAAAAGAUCUCAAGUUAGCCUACCUGAUGAGGUGUUAGGUAAUAUAUACGUGAAUUUCCCACCAACAGAAAUCUUUUGGGUCAACUAGCUGGGUGCAUGCACUCAACAGGUACUCCAUCCGUUUCAUAUUAUAAGUCGUUUGACUUUUUUCUUAGUCAAAUUUUUUUAGGUUUGAUCAAGUUUAGAGAAAAAAAUAGCAGCAUCUACAACAUCAAAUUAGUUUCAUUAAAUUUAACAUUAAAUAUAUUUUAAUAAUAUAUUUGUUUUCUAUUAAAAAUGUUAGUAUAUUUUUCUACCAACUUGAUCAAACGUAAAAAUUUAACUAAGAAAAAAGUCAAACGAUUUAUAAUAUGAAAUAGAGGGAGUAGAAAACUUCGAGGGCCAGGGCCUACCGUCUAUACAAAGCCAGCUAAUUUCUGUCUCCGCCUUACUACCCUCUUCUUUCACCCACACACAAAUAUCACUGGGCCACCAUGGAUUUCGUGUUUGCAGGGAAGUCAGCUACAGCUGUGGUAAUCGUCGACCUGAUCAAAAAGGCCUCAGCCUACCUGGACACGGACUGCAUGUCUGACAGGUUGCAGCCCUCGAGGGACAAGUUAUAUCAGGAUUUGCAGAUGGUGUUGGAUGUCAUCUUACCAAAUCAACCUCAGGAUUUGGAUGUGUGGCUGUGACCUCUGAGGGCAAGUUUUAUAGUGGAGGUGAGUGCCACACCUAAUUUAAACCAUAUCAUUUUCUCAUUAAUUAAGAGGUAACAAGUACAACAUAUCACAUCUAAUGCACAAACCCCCAUAUUAGUUUACUCUCACAUCAUCUUGUACUUUUCUUGGAUAUUGUGUGGAGGUUGCCCCUUGCAUAAGGGGUGGCUCAUUCUCUCUCUCCUAACUUCUCUCCUCCACCUCAUCACCUAAUCCUAUGUGGCAAAUUUAGGAGCAAUAUAUAGAGACUUAUAGCACUUGCCCUGAGGGACGCAUUUGAGGAACUCAAGGAUGCAAUCGACGAGCAUGUCUACUACAAGGUCAGGGAGAAGGCCAAGGAGCGCGAGAGGUUAGUAAGAGCAGGUAUAAUAGCAAGCUAUAAGCCAGCUAUAACCACAUAUCGAGAAAAAAAAGAAGAGAGAAGAAAGAAGGCUACAGAUUUGUAGUUGGCUGCAACACGAACUCUAAGACGUUACGUGUGUAUGAGAGGUAGGACCGAGUAUCUAUUAUAUACUAAAAUUCCAUUAAACUCUCUAUAAACGCUCUCAAACUGCCACAUGGCUCCCUUAAAACGCUCUCAUAUUGCCACGUGGCACUCUAAUAUAAUAGAGGAAUCUGACCAUCGAUUUUCAUUUAAAUCGGUGGACCCAUUAUUUUACAUUGUUAGAUCUAUUUUAAAAACCAAAAACCUCCCACCGGCCCCACCACCUCCGUGGCUCCAUCUGUUUCGUACUUUUUUUUUCAUUUGUUCCUUUCUUUUCUUUUUCCAAUCCUAAUUAAAAUUGAACAUAUCUUUUUAUAGAAAAGAAUACCCCCACAAAUAGACAUCAAAUGCGUUAAAAUCCAUUAAAUAUCAUAUAAAUGUUUCUAACCGUUGUGUGGCACUCUUAAAUUAGAGAAACAUCCAACCAUUGGUUUCCACUAAAAUCGAUGGACACAUUAUUUUACGUCGUUAUUAGAUCUGUAUUAACUAAAAGUUCAUGAAACUUUCUAUGAACACUCCUAAGUCGCCACGUGGCAUCCUAAAAACGCUCUUAAGCCGCCACAUGCCACUCCAACAUGUAGCCGUUGAUUUCAUUAUAUUUGAUGGACCCAUUAUUUACUACCAUUAGAUUUAUCUUAUAGAAAAAGUUAACCACCCAAACCUAACCCCACCCAGCGUGCGUAUGUACUUAUAUCUCAUAUACAACUACCUACUAUAUAUGAAAAUAAUAAUAAUAUACCUCAUGUAUUAUUAUUAUUAUUAUUAUUAUUAUUAUUAUUAUUAUUAUUAUUAUUAUUAUUAUUAUUAUUAUUAUUAUUAUUACACCACCCUCUUCCUAGAUUAACUCUUCCUUCUCAUAUUUUUUAUGCUUUAUUAGUUAGAAAGAAAAAUCUUCUAUUAUAUACUAAAAGUUCAUUAAACUUCCUAUGAACGCUACUUCCUACGAACGCUCCUAAAUUACCAUAUGACAUCCUACAAAACGUUUCUAAACCGCUACGUGGCGUUCUAAUAAAUCGGUUGAUCCACUAUUUGUUUAAUAAAUCGCUAGACUCACUAUUUUCAACUAUUAUAUUUAUCUUUAUAAAAAUAAUAUCCCACAACCCACCCCUUCUCUCCUUAGUACGUAUGUAUGUACGUAAUACAAUGCCAUGCUUUCUCCCCUCUUCCAAUCCUUCUCUUCCUAUUUCUAGAUGAAAAUUUUAACAUGGAAAAAUAUUAUAAUAAAACAUCUAACAUUUGCUUUUCACUUAAAUCGAUCGGUGAACCAACUAUUUUAACCAUUGUCCCUAAAAAAAUAUUUUAACGAUUAUUUAAACCGGUGAACCCAUUUAUCUAUAUAUAAAAGAAACACUUCCCUAAAUUUUACCCUAUACCAUUGUGCUUUGCAUGAAAACUAAAUAUAAACAAACAUUAAAACCAUUAGAUUUAGGUAUAUAGAUGGUUUAAACCGGUGAACCUAUCAAAUCUAUAUAUAAGAAAAACACUUUCCUAACUUUGAAUAUAUACUAUUUUUCUUUGCAUUACAACCAAAUAAAAACAAAAUAUUAAAAAUGGAAAUAUAUAUUAUGGAGUAAAUUUCACAAACCCACGUAGAUAUAUCUAUCUAUUAUAUAAAAGUCCAUUAAAUAUCCUAAAAAGCUCCUAAACUGCCACGUGAGAUUCCAAGAAACAGUGCAAAGAUGACACCGGACGCUCUAAUUAAUUCCUAGAAAAUCUAUGGAAAAAGGAGAACAUCUAACCAUUGGUUUUAUUCAAUCUGAUGGACCUAAUAUUUUUUUACCAUCAGAUACCAUUAGAUUUAUCUUUAGUAAAAAACUUAAGAUCAAUCUGGCGGUACGAGUCCACCCAACACGUAUACAUGCUUCCAUCCAUACGCAUGAUAAGAGUCUGUGUGAUUUUUUCCUUGCUCGCCUCCCUUUUUUUCUAUGGUAAUUAAGUUAAGGCUUAAGGGUAUAUAAUAUCUUCUAUAUUAGUAAGUUAAUUUUAUCAUACUUUCAAAGACUGCAUACACUUGCAAAUAUAGGCAUAGAUAAUAUAUCUCAUACAUAUUGAUCUUGGUAUGUUUUAUAAAUAAAUAAAGAAUCUUCAAUAGAUGUAAAUUUUAAAUUAUAUAUUCAAUUUAUGAUCUGUUUGAACCAUUGUAUUUUUUUAAUUAAAUCAAUAGUUUAAUAUCUAUACCAACCAUAUUUAAUUGCUAAUAAAAUUAUUAUAUUUUGGACCCACAUCCAUACGCAAAAAAUCCUAAAAGUUCUCAUUAAAAAUCAAAAUAUCCACCUUAUUUUUUUAAUAAAAUCAAAAUAACUUAUAAACCGCUAACCUUAACCUUAAUUAUAGCAUCAAUGGACCUAUUGACUCACAACCAACUUAAUUAUAUCUCUCGACAUAUAUGCGGAUGCUAUUUACUUAAUUCCAAUGCCCUGAUAAAAAUAUAUGAUCUUCUUUUAAGGAUAAAUGUACGAUCUUAUGCUGUGUUCGGCGCUGAGGGUUGGGAAACCUUAAUCCUUUGGAAGUUGGACAUUAACUUAUAUCCCAAAAUACCUAUAUCACGUUGCUCAAAUCCAACUAAUACACCAAGAAAAGAAGAAGGACAGAGGGUGUCUACAGAGCAGUCCUUAUGGAUAUUUUACUAAUAAAAAUUGAUUUCAAAUACUUAUUUGUACUUAUUAAAUUAUCUAAUCACUAGAACAAAGUAACAUACCGUCCAUGGAGUGAACAAAUUGGAGGGCUAACCGGUGCAUCCCGGUGUGCAUGCAUGGGUAUAGAACUUUUUUUCUUUAAUGAAAAGAGGGGCAUGAGGUAGUUACAUGUAUAUACAUGAAGGGCACUUUUUUUUCUUCUAAGUAUGAUGAUGUGAGCAUGCUGCCGGAGACACGAAUUAACAUGUCUACCAUCCAUGGUGAGGGAAGACGAAUAAUUUGCUUAGUUGGACACUGCACAAUAUGUUAGAUCUUCUACGUAUCCAAUGGUUAGAAAUAAUGGUCUAAACUCGAGGGUCAUAUAUUCUGUUUAAUAAAUUAAUUAUCAAUUUUUCUAUAUAAAUCAGUAGAGCCAUUAAUUAUGUAUGGUUUGUGUAUGUAAUGUCUUUUAUAACUUAGUUUUUUCUCUUUCACUAUGGAAUCACAAUUUCCUAUGAGGAAUUAUCCAUAGCUAUGACCAAUCGAUGUUUGCCGUCAAAUAAUAAAUUAAUUAUCAUUAUUUUCUAAAAAAUGGGUAGAGCCAUUAAUUAUAUAUGGUUGUAUAUGUAAUGUCUUUUAUAACUUAAGUUUUCUCUCUUUCCCUGUGGAACCUCAAGAGUCAUAUGUCUUAGGUACCAUUUUUUAUACUGUAAGAUACCAAUCCUAAUCUCCAAUAGAUAAUUUUAUAAACAACAAUUAAAUUCGUCAUGCAAUUCUAACGAAGAAAAUUCAUGGGAAAAAACAUAAUGUUAAAACAUUGCAGAUAUUAAUUCGCUGGUAUACCGCCUUUAUAAGUUUCUCAAAUUUAUCCUACGUACGGUGCAUGCCCGCGCGUAUGCGCGGGCUACCUUCCUAGUUAAUAGUAUAGUAUACUUUUAUAGCUAACUAUUAUAUGAAUGGGCUAUUAGAUUAGCUAUAGAUGACUUGAAGCCAACAGUUGGCUAUACUAUUAAACUUGCUCUAAGGUGGGCUCUUUCUCCAAAAUGAAGUGGCGAUUUAUGAAGUCCUUGACGCAUUCUGCAGACCAAGUUAGCACUCUCAAAAGGAUAGGGGAAGGGAUCAAAGCUUUAGAAAGGGUUAUCGCAGAAGCUUCAGGCUUACCGGUACUAACUCAGCAGUUUAUGCGUGCACAUCUUCUACACCAAGAUCAUCGCGAGACGUAUGUAACGGUGGAUUCCAUGUUGUGCCAACAUAAGGAGAGGGAUCUGAUAGUCCGAUGGUUGAUCAAUUCCUUAGACGAUGAUUCGGAAACUCAGGUUAUUAGUACCAAGCAUGUCUCUGUUAUGUCCAUAGUUGGUCAUACUGUGUCACAGACAGACUUUAUGGACCUCAAGACAUGGGCUAUCAAGUGGGCUAGCCCAACCAUGGAGAAGCUGGUUGACACCUUGGUGCAGUAUAAAGGAACACAAGUGCUAUCCGGAAGAGGCAUCGAUGAACAGAACUUGUGGCUGCUGCCUUCUUCCUCCUCCUCCUCCGGAUUUCUUCUCCACUUCUGUUGUUCCUCCAAUCUCCAACUCUACUUCUCUAAUCCUGGUCCCUUGUUUCUCCUUCUAGUAUCCACUCAUAUUUCCUUGCAAUACUAUCCCAAAUACUUGAGUGAUUUCUGCUGUGAAUUGUUGGUUGCUUCCUGUGUUUGAUAUUGAUCUGUGAAUUAGUUGAUGGAUCGUGACAAUAUGGUAUCAGAGCCAACAAUCCGUGGGAUUCCAGGCCAGGAGGCAAGGUGGAUGACACACAGUGGCAGCAGCGACGUCCAGAGGCUAGAUCCAAGCAUUGGAGGUGGUUGCACUGGAGGCUCCUGCCAGGUGUUCGGAGAAAUGCCGAGCUGGCUGGGAGCUGGUGCUGGCGCUGCUCUUCAUGUCCAAGUGAGCCAAGUCCUUUAUCCGGUGACUAGCGAGGUACUACAUCAAGUCUACAACGGCUAUGGAGCAGUGGCGGUGCAAGUGCUCGCCACGAGUUGUUGGGGCGUUGAGGCGCUAGUCUGGUUCCGUUCAAGCUGUGACACGGAAAGGGCUCGAUCUGACACCAAUGAACACAACAUUUACGAUGGGUGUUGCCUGCUUGAUGUCCAGCACACGCAGUCUUUCCCUGGAAAUGGUGCUAACGUGAUUCCCACCAAGUGUUCGACGUUGGGACCAAGUUAUGCCACCACCACGUCAGGGGCCAAGAGCAUACCAGCUGCAACAGAACGCGUGUUCCUAGCCACUAAAGCUUCAUUGGCACCCUCAACUUCAUCAACAACCAUGACGGCUCCGGCACCUUCCACCGAGACCAAGGAUGUUGGGGCUGGCAUGGACAAGGCGGUGUUGAAAUCAGAGGAAACCACUCAGGACUUGUACACUAAGAUGAUGGCCAUGAUCGACAAAUUGUUGGAGACAUGCCGUGACACCAAGGAGGAUUAUACCAUGAGUGUGGAUUCCAAUGGAGAUGCCGCAGCACAGUGCAUCAACAUUGAUCCAGUACCCAUCUUAUUAGAGGUCAGUAAUGAGGCUAAUUCAACUCAACUUGUCAACACUAACAAGCUUUGUUUGGUGAAAGUGAAAUCAACCAAGGAUUUGAAAAAAAGGAAAAAAGAAAAGGUUGAUGGUGAUGCCGGUGGUAUGGUCACGGAUGAUUGUGUCGCGUUUACAAAUGUUGAUACCAAGCUCAUUUCUGUGUUCAGACCAUUUAGAGAUGUGAGUUUGAUUUUGUGCCGAAGCAAUUACAUUGCUGUCGCCAACCUUCCGGCUGUCUCUUCUGAAUGUGAGGUCUGCUACGAUGAUUUUGUCUUAAGGGCAGAUUUCACAGCUAGACUGCUAGUAGUACCUUCCUGGAGACCGGCAGGUCCACUGGAUUUUCGAUUCUUGCCAUAGCUGGAUAUAAUUAAUCAAGGCAGCGAAGGCGUGGUGGUGAAGCUCUUACAACCCUGGCCACCACCUACUCAAGCAGAAGUUAAAGCUAAAAAGAAAGUACUGAAUUUAUAUGGUCAAAAACCGGAGGUUCAGAUUAUCGUAACAGUGUGUUCGGUUUCCAAGGCUACCAUAAAAGGGCUACAAUUGUUGGGUGAACGAAUGUUACAGGAAGAGCAACUGAAAUGUGAGGUUGUCAAGUCCAAUUGGUACAGUUUUUCAAAUCUUUUAGUUGGAGAUAUAAUGGAUAUUGCUCUACCUAUGCAGUCACUGAGACAAGUAAUUCUAAGCUAUGGUCUAGCUCAAUCUCAGAAUGAAAAUUCGGUGAUUCAAGAAGCUAUGAGCUACUGUCAGUUCAAAUUCUCAGCUAAUUAUGUCAUGAGUCCUUCUCAAUGGAGAAAAGAUAUAGUGGAUUCUCCUACUAACAAAGGGUUUCAUUUUCAAGAAAUGUUAAAGCAACAAAUUGAUGGUGUUGACAAGAGGCUGCUAUACUAUCAUCAAAUCAGCACUGUAUUUUGCAGUGUCUCUAAAGAUGUAGUGUAUGAUGUGACAUGGACUCCUAUUGUGCCAAGCAAAUGGAUCCAUGGUGUAGCAAUUGGGAGGAUAGGGCUAUUAUCUACUUUUGCCCUGAUGCAUUUCCUGGAAGCUUGGACUAUGCAAUUGGCAACCAAGCUUGGUGUUAUCAAGUUCGGUUUGGACAAAUUACCAAAUCAUUCAGUUGGAAGUAUCAUGGCUAUGGCAUUGUUGCUUGCGCAAUCUUUGGAGGAUAGAUUUAUUGAGUGGGAAGUAUAUGUUGGCAGCACAAACUAUGAGAGGAGUAGCACUUGUUUAACCUAACAAUUCAUUCCUGGUUGGCCUGAAUAUUCUGUAAGAGCUGAAUUGGUCCAAUUUCAAAGAGGCAAGGUGACAAUUACACAGUACCAUUUGCACCUACAAGCUAUAGUGGUAUUUGUUCAAAUAUUGCUGGAGUUUGUACAUUCAGAUAAGAUUCUUCAAGAGCAAGUACAACCACCAUUAGCUACAGAAUCACCGAUGCGAGUAUCUUGGGAUCCUGGUGUCUCCGAUGCAUCGGCUUGGGGACAAGCCGAAAUUUAUGGAGGGAGGAAUGUCAUGGACAGACUUGUUAGCAACCAAAUCACCAAACAACAAGAAUUUCACCACGAACAACUAUUCAGUCAACAAUGCUAUUUCUGGAGGUGGAAGAUGGGGAAAUACAGGGGGCUAGAAGGUUCUGGAAGCUAGGGAAUGGGAGGUGGAGGAGAGAAUAGAUACUCGAUGAGGAUCUAGCCCAGACCCAAGCCGCCGCCGCCGCCGAUCGCCAAGCUGCCUAGGCUGGUUGCCGUCCUGCCUUUUCUGUUCGUCUUUGAAUGAGCAGCAGCUAUUGCUUUAUGUAUUGCUCUUCCCGGGUUUGCUUGGGCCGAGAUUUGCGCAGCGGACCAGCUGUGGUGCAGCCCAACAAGGUGUCUAACAAUCCCCUCUCCUUGAAUUCGGCUUGUCCCCAAGCCGAUGAAUUAAAACCUCCCGGGUCCCAUGGUUGCUCCAAAUAUUUGGUGUUAGACAAUGGAACAUCAUUGAAGAAGAAUAGAGCAAGUAGCUUUAGCCUCGAUAACUUCUUACUCCAUGCGAAGUCCUCCUGUGUGAUGCGUGACAAUGGCACUGUUAUGAAUUGCUUGCCAACAAUGAUUCCCAACAAUUUGAUAUGCUGCAAACAGUGACAACCUCGUUUGAUCAACUGCAGAGUCCACCCAUGUUCAUGAUUAUGUCCAUUUAUUGGCAUGCCAAUUUCAUCAGUCAAGCAUAUGCAUUGCCCAGUAGAUCCUAAUGUAUUUACCACCUAUGCAGAAACUAACUCAAAAGUAUAUUUCUCAUCAUGAAUUGAAUUAGCAUCUUCUUCCAUUUCUUUCACCCUUUUGCAGCCUUUUUCAUCAGCAAUCACAUAUAGCAAAUCUCUUUCAGCAUUCAAACCAAUGUAAUUUGAUUCCAAACAUGACUCAGAUUCUGACAUCACCAUGCAAAUUAUUCUCAUAUUCCAUUUCUCCACUCUAAUUUGGUAGUAGUUGAGCAACAUCCCCCGGAGAUCAACAGAUGAUAACCAAACAGAUAAUGAUUUGGGAUCACAAAUAACUAGAUUGCUUUCCUUACUAGCAAGUGUUGUCAAACUGACCUGGAAAGUCAGAUCCCAAAACUUCUGCAUUUUUUUCUCAAAGCAAGUGCAAGUUUCAGUAAUCAUCAUUUUCUUUUGCUCAUUCCAAGGAAUUAUACUUGCAGCAAAAUCAGUAGUGCAACAUUUCCCUUCUCUAGCUUCCAGCAAACAAACUAAUGGCAGCCAAGGUGGCAUGCCAAAUAGUCACAGCUUGUCAACAUGUUUUCCUUUGAUGGAAAUGUUCUCAGAACCAAAUUGCCCAGUACUGCUCAGCUCCACAACCAUCACUCUUGCAAGAAGUAAGUGUCUCCAACUUAAGUAGCAGUUGUCCUUUCUUUCCAUUUCAACAAAAGAUAGCCCCAAAAGUAAAUAUUCAGGUUCACCAGCAAUAUAGAUACCUUCCUUGCUAGUGGCUGCUAUAAGGUUGAUCAAAAAGGACAACUCACUUUUCACUCCAACAUUGAAUUUCAGCUUAUUGCUCCACAAAAUAUACCUCCAAUGAAAAUAAUGUUGUGGGAACCAAUCAUCCAUCCAUAUUAAUAUUUUGUGAAGGUGGACCUUUCCAUCACCUGGAUCCCACACUAGUGGCCCAAACAUGGCAUGUAUAAUGUUCAGCGAGUUUAACAAUGAAAAUUGCUUGCCCACAAAGAGUUGAAACUAUUUCGCUUCGGUUGGAGGGGGCCAAGGUGGCAGUAUAUGUACUUUACAACAGCUGCAGUUGAAUGCCAGCCAUGACAUUAACUGUGACUCCCAUAUGAUCAACUCUUGAUCCCUUUGAUGUUAUGGGUGGCCAUGGAUCAACCUCAAAGUGUUGCAACAGGAGUUGCCAUGGAACUAACAAAUGUCCUCCAACUGAUUCCACUAACAUUGGGGUGCUUAAGAAGGACAAAUAAGACACAACUUGAGAGUUGUUAGACCCAGAACAUUUCGCCGAAUACCUGGUGGGCAUCAAUGUGUACUGCUUGAUGUCGGCGAUCAUCCUUGGUGAGAAGGCGCUCAAUGAUGCAAUGGAUGCUGGAACGGUUUCAAGUACAACCGUCUUGGUCAGGAACGUGAUGUCGGCUUUGUUGGCGUCCCACUUGACAUCGAAGCCCAACAUCGAACACUUGGCGUGCGUCUCCUUGGAAUAGUCAGUGGUGGGAAUUUUGGUGGUGCUGGUUGCACCAUCAUCAGCUACCAACUUCAUGGAGGCCAUGGCAGUGGUGGCACAUUUGUCCACCGCAACCACGGUGAGAUUGGGCUCGAUGUCGGGACUAGAGCAUUUCGUCGAACAUGUGGUGGGCGUCACCUUUGACUGCUCUUUCUUAAUUGACGCUGGCAAGUCUUUUGCCUUCUUCCCAACUUCCGGUGUGCAUGCUUCAACCACAUCUAUGAGAGACCGUAUAUCAGCUCUAGUUCUCCGAUCAGCCUCCUCUCGCCUCAGCUCGUACUCCUCUAUCCGCCUUAACAGCAAGUCCAAUUUGUCUUCUAUUGCCAUGGCACCCUACUUGAUGAGAACUUUCUCAACUAGACCAAGAGCUAGAUGGGGGAAACCAGGCUGGCUCUGAUACCAAAUUGUUAGCAACCAAAUCACCAAACAACAAGAAUUUCACCACGAACAACUAUUCAGUCAACAAUGUUGUUUCUGGAGGUGGAAGAUGGGGAAAUAUAGGGGGCUAGAAGGUUCUGGAAGCUAGGGAAUGGGAGGUGGAGGAGAGAAUAGAUACUCGACGAGGAUCCAGCCCGGACCCAAGCCGCCGCCGCCGCCGAUCGCCAAGCCGCCUAGGCUGGUCGCCGUCCUGCCUUUUCUGUUCGUCUUUGAAUGAGCAGCAACUAUUGCUUUAUGUAUUGCUCUUCCCGGGUUUGCUUGGGCCGAGAUUUGCGCAGCAGACCAGUUGUGGUGCAGCCCAACAAGGUGUCUAACAAGACUUUAUGGACCUCAAGACAUGGGCUGUCAAGUGGGCCAGCCCAACCAUAGAGAAGCUGGUUGACACCUUGGUACAGUAUAAAGGAACACAAGUGCUACCCGGAAGAGGCAUCGAUGAACAAAACUUGUGGCUGCUGCCUUCUUCCUCCUCCUCCUCCAGAUUUCUUCUCCACUUCUGCUGUUCCUCCAAUCUUCAACUCUACUUCUCUAAUCCUGGUCCCUUGUUUCUCCUUCUAGUAUCCACUCAUAUUUCCUUGCAAUACUAUCCCAAAUACUUGAGUGAUUUCUGCUGUGAAUUGUUGGUUGCUUCCUGUGUUUGAUAUUGAUCUGUGAAUUAGUUGAUGGAUCGUGACAUACUGGUGUAGGGAAGACUACGUUGGCAAGAUUAGUAUAUAAUGAUUGGAGAGUCAGAGAUCAUUUCGAUUUGGUUGCGUGGGUGUCAGUAUCUGCAAAUCUUGAUGUAGCAGAAGUUACAUGCAAAAUAAUAGAGGAUUUUACAGGUUGUCCAUGUCAGUGUGCUGAUUUGGAUGGAAUGGAACAGAUUCUCCGAGAGAAAUUAUCUUCCACUAAAGCUGCUUUACUCGUUUUAGAUGACGUCUGGGAAGAUAAAGCGCGAGAUCAAUUGGAGAAACUAUUUCGUGUCCUCAAGGCCUCCAAGACCAGAAGCAAAAUUUUAUUGACAACCAGAACGCAAUCAGUCCAACUUAUCACAGGAUGUAAAGAGCUGAAACUUAGGUUGCAUGAACUUGACGACGAUGAAAAUCUAGACCUUUUCUGGCGUUAUGCGUUUGCUGGUCAGGAAGUGGGAGCAGAAGAUUAUCUGGAAUUACGAAAAAUUGGGGCCGAAAUUGCAAAGAAACUUGGAGGGACUCCCAUGGUAACGAGGAUUGCUAGUCAGAAUUUACAAUUAAAUUUUAAUCUAGACUACUGGCAUAGAUUUCUUCAAGAUUUGUGUAAUUUUGGAGCAACAGCAGCAGGUACUUUGAAUUUUUUGAAAAUAAGCUAAGACAGCCUUUCGAUAGAGCACCAAAUUUGCUUUAGGUUUUGCAGCUUAUUUCCAAAACACUAUCCAUUCAAAAAGGAGUUGGUGCAGACGUGGAUUUGGUCGGGGUUGAUCUCUUCUCAACUUCAUGGAGAAAAAGAAGAGGACUUGGGAGAGUUAUACUUGGCUAGAUUGACUGCAUAUUUGUUAUUUAAUCGUUUUGGUGGAGAAAAUGGAGAACCUGCGUAUUAUGUUAUGAACGAUACAACGCAUGAUUUGGCAAAACAUGUCUCACAGGGUGAAUGUAAGAGGCUAACUAAUCCCGAGGACUCGCGAGAUGUGAAGAGUUCAGUUCGACACAUUAGUAUUGCAGGUAUUAAAAAUUUCAGUGUUGGGGAUGUGAAGGAAUUACUCCUUUUGACGAAGCUGCUCACUGUUGGAAAAAUAGUCAUUAUUCGGCAUAUUUUAAUCCAAGAAAUUGAAACUAUGAUCAUGGCAUAAGCAGUGUAGGGUGAUCUUAAUAUAACCAGUAGCAUACUAUGCGCAUCAUGAAUGUCAGAAAACAGGAACAUACCAGUAAUGCGAUAACAUGCUAGAGGCAUCAUGUAGAACAGGAACAAGAACAUAGCGCACACAGUAUAGCGCUAACAAUGGGAACAGGAGUAGCGCUAACAGCAGUAGAAGGAGAAGAUUAUACCCCGAGAAUGGCCCUCCGCUGGAUGGUGAGGCAGAAUUGCCUCCGUUGUUGUAGUCGUUCACGGCACCUCCUCCUGGCGCACCAGCUCCGGAUCCAGCUCCUGUCGGCAUCGGCAGCGGCGCAGCUCCUGUCGGCGUCGGCAGCGGCGCAGCUCCUGUCGGCGGCGACGCACCACCUCCGCCAAUAGCGGCGGCAGCAACUCCAGACAUGGCGAUGAGCAGUCGUGCAGGAGGCACUCCCCAAAAACCUGAUCACCCGCCUACCCGGUGCAGAUCUCAGGCGAAGGUGUGGUUUCGGAGGCACUGCUUCUUCCAAUCUCUCGUGCGCGCAAGAGAUCAGAAGCGGGGAAGCGAGAGCAACUCAGGCGCGGAGAAGGAGAAACUAACACCGGGAAAGAAGCGAGGAACUCGGAUCGGACUCGCGGCCUCCUUAUCUAUCAGGAGAAAGAACGUGGACGCGCUGUUGCGGAGGGAAUCGUGGGAACGUGGGUUAGUGGCUGCAAAAGGAUAGCGACGUGACGUGACGUGACGCACGCACGCCGCCAGCCAGCCACGCCUCGCCUCGGCCACGGCCCGGCCCGGCCCGGCGCGCGCGCGCGUGUGGCAUUCCGACCCCCACCUCAACUGGUCAACUGGGAGCCUCUAAUAACUCCCUAUUUAGGUUGAGAUAUUUCUCGCUUAAAUCCAGAGGUGGUAUUAUUAUCCUCAACAUUUAUUAUGGGCCUUUGAGAUUUAAUAUUAUAAGUUGGGCCUAGCCCAAUUAUUCUAACAAUCCCCACCAAAUUUCAAGGCUCAUAAGAAAUGUUCUCAAGGCUGUGCCUGUUUGAUAUACCAGGGUUUUGGUGGAGACUGUUAAGUUGAACUUCCACCUAGGAAAUGAGCUACAUCAGACCACAACUGAACAAUGGACUAUGCCUUGAAUUGUAAGUUUUGUGUGAUCAGGUUUCACUCAGAACCUUGACUGGUACUGGGCUGCCGUUCGCAUCCCCUCUGUUUGGAGCAUAUAAGUCAAACUCCAGGCCUUUCAUGAGUAUCUAGAGAUUGCCCAAACCUCAUAGACUGUGACUAGCAGUCGAACUCAUAUAGGUGUGUUCCUUCUGAGAUGUUCUGCAGGUCAACAUCUCUGCUUGGAAAAGCCACUCGGAUCACAUUAAGACAUAAGCCAUCCUACCAUGCAGGAAAGAAGAGAAGCACAUCAUGAAAAUGAGCCCCUUUCAAGGGUCUCUUCUCUCAGUCACACAAUAGUUUGUUUCACCAUCCAAAUUCACGGGAUCUCCGAUCACAAUGGACAGGUUUCCACUAUUAUGCAACCUUAGGUGGGUAUCAAGCCCAUUUCCCUCGAUGCACUGUCUAUCACAUUACGUGGUAGCCCCUUGGUAAACUGAUCUGCCAGAUUUCUAGCCGUUUGGACAUAGUCCAAUGCUAUCACUCCAGAGUUUUUCUGCUUUCUGACAGAUUUCAGUCUUCUCUUGAUGUGUCUAGAUGACUUCAUGUUGUCCUUUGAACUGUUCACUUUAAUAAUCACUGUUUGAUUAUCGCAGUUCAUUAGGAUAGCUGGCACUGGUUUUUCAACCACCGGCAAAUCCAUCAGGAGUUCACGAAGCCACUCAGCCUCAACUGUCGCAGUAUCUAGUGCUGUAAGUUCUGCUUCCAUUGUUGACCUCGUUAAGAUGGUCUGCUUGCAAGACUUCCAGGAAACAGCGCCACCUCCAAGUGUGAACACAUAUCCACUUGUGGCUUUUAUCUCAUCAGCAUCAGAUAUCCAGUUUGAGUCACUAUACCCUUCUAGUACUUUUGGAUACCCGGUAUAGUGAAUUCCAUAGCUCAUAGUGCCCUUUAGAUAGCGCAUUACUCUUUCCAGAGCCUGCCAAUGAUCAUCUCCCGGAUUUGAGACAAACCGGCUCAGCUUGCUUACAGCAAAUGAGAUGUCAGGCCUCGUUGCGCUAGCCAAGUACAUCAAUGAACCAAUGAUUUGAGAGUAUCUCAGUUGAUCCCUUGCUAUUCUUCGGUUUUUCCUUAAUAGCACGCUGGGAUCAUAAGGAGUAGGAGCUGGCUUACAGUCACUAUAUCCAAAGCGACUCAAAACCUUGUCCACAUAGUGGGAUUGCACAAGUGUAAUCCCACCCUCAUCUCCUCUUUGCAGUUUGAUGUUAAGAAUAACAUCAGCCUCUCCCAAAUCCUUCAUUUCAAAACUCUUGGACAGAUAGUCUUUGACCUCCUCAAUCACAUUAAGGCUGGUCCCAAAGAUCAGUAUGUCAUCGACAUACAAGCAUAAGAUCACCCCUUCUCCCCCACCAUAGCGAUAGUAUACACAUUUAUCAGCUUCGUUCACAACAAAGCCUGCAGAUGUAAGCGUGGUGUCAAACUUCUCAUGCCAUUGCUUAGGUGCUUGCUUGAGGCCAUACAAGGAUUUCAAUAGUUUACACACCAUUCCCUCCUGACCUUCUAGUACAUACCCGUCUGGUUGAUCCAUAUAGAUCUCCUCCUCCAGCUCUCCGUUUAGGAAAGCUGUCUUAACGUCCAUCUGAUGGACGAGAAGACCAUGAGAGGCUGCCAGAGCAAGUAGUACUCGAAUCGUAGUCAAGCGAGCAACUGGUGAAUAUGUGUCGAAGAAAUCCUCGCCUUCCUUUUGGGUAUAACCCUUGGCCACAAGCCUUGCCUUAUACUUUUCGAUUGUACCAUCAGGCCUAAGCUUUUUCUUGAAAACCCAUUUGCAUCCUACGGGCUUACAUCCAUAUGGACGCUCAACGACUUCCCAAGUACCAUUAGACAUAAUCGAGUCCAUUUCACUGCGUACUGCUUCCUUCCAGUAGUCAGCGUCAGGAGAUGAAUAUGCCUCUUCUAUGGUUCUUGGGGUGUCAUCCACGAGGUAUACAAUGUAGUCAUCUCCAAAGGAUUUUGCAACCCUUUGUCUCUUACUCUUGCGAGUAUCUACAAUGUUGUCCUCCUCAGGAUUUUUCUCAGGCGUUUGAUCAUUGUGUUCUAUCGGUGCAAAGUGCUCAUGGGGCAUGACAGUUUCUUUACUAGAAGUGCUAGGUGUAUAUUUCAUAGGAAAUUCAUUCUCAAAGAAAGUAGCAUCUCUGGACUCAAAAAUUGUACCAGCAUGCAUGUCGGGUACUCCAGAGUUUACUAUUAAGAAUCUAUAACCCACACUGUAGAUAGCAUAACCAAGAAACACACAAUCAACAGUUUUUGGUCCAAGUUUCCGCUUUUUGUCUAUAGGUACAUUUACCUUGGCCAAACAGCCCCAUGUUCGUAGGUAUGAGAGAUUUAAUUUCUUCCUUUCCCAUUCCUCGAAUGGUGUUACUUCCUUGUGCUUCAUUGGAAUUUUAUUCAGGACAUGACACGCAGUCAAAACUGCCUCACCCCACCAUUCCUUGGAAAGCCCCGCAGUGUCUAACAUGGCAUUCACCAUCUCAGUUAGAGUACGGUUCUUUCUUUCGGCCACCCCAUUUGAUUGGGGUGAAUAGGGAGGCGUCAUCUCAUGAAUAAUUCCAAACUCUUCGCAAAAGGAUGCAAACUCAUUGGAAAAAUACUCCCCACCUCUAUCAGACCUCAACCGUUUGAUUUUCCUUUCAAGUUGGUUUUCUACCUCAGCUUUAUAGAUUUUAAAGUAAUGCAAUGCCUCAUCCUUUGUUUUCAAUAGAUACACAUAGCAAAAUCUAGUGCAAUCAUCUAUCAGUGUCAUGAAAUAUUUCUUUCCCCCUUUAGUCAACACGCCGUUCAUUUCGCACAAAUCGGAAUGAACAAGUUCUAGAGGUGCCAAAUUCCUCGCCUCAGAUGCCUUGUGAGGCUUGCGAGGUUGUUUCGAUUGAACACAAGUAUGGCACUUGGAACCUUUGACCAAAGUGAAUUUUGGAAUUAAACUCAUGUUAGCUAAGCGCAUCAUACAACCGAAAUUCACAUGACAGAGUCGCGAAUGCCACACAUUAGACUCAUCAUUCUCGCUAAUAUGGUUCACAGCGUUAUGAUUAUUACACAUGUCAUUCAAAGAAAAGCGGAACAAGCCUCCGCUGUCAUAACCUUUUCCAACAAAAGUCCCAUAUUUAGAUACGACACAUUUAUUGGACUCAAACACAAGUCUAAAACCUUCUCUACACAAUAGAGAGCCGCUAACUAGAUUCUUCUUUAUUGAAGGGACAUGCUGCACGUUCUUCAGCUGCACGGUCUUUCCCGAAGUAAACUUCAGAUCGACCGUACCAACACCAUGAACAGCCGCAAGCGACCCGUUUCCCAUCAACAAGGAGGAACCUCUCCCAACCUGAUAAGAAGAAAACAGAGAAAUGUCAGCACAUACAUGAAUAUUAGCACCAGUAUCCACCCACCAAUCAGGUGAAUGAAAAACAGAGAGAACUGUAGGUAAUAUUUUACCAUACCCCGAUGUUCCUCCGCCCUCGCUAAUGAUCAUGUUGGCAGACUUCCUGUCUUUGCGCUCAGGACAGUCCUUGGCCCAAUGCCCAGACUUGCCACACACAAAGCAGUCUCCCUUUGCCUUUCCCUUGCCUUUCUUCUUAAAAUUGGUUGCAGCCUUGGGUUUGACAUCAGGCUUGACUUUCUUGUUGUUGUGGGAUGCAUGAGGGUUCUUCUUCUGUACCAUAUUGGCACUAGAACCUCCCUCAACCUUUUUGCCCCGGACGUCGUUUGCCCUCGCCUUCUCCUCAACACCCAAAGAGCCAAUGAGAUCAGGAACACUGAACUCUUGUCUCUUGUGCUUUAGAGAAGUGGCAAAGUCCGACCAAGAAGGUGGUAGUUUGGCAAUAAUGCCACCCGCCACAAACUUGUCCGGCUACUCACAGUUGUUGUUCUCAAGUUCCUUAGCCAGCAUCUGAAUCUCAUGAGCUUGUUCUACUACAGAACGGUCAUCGACCAUCUUGUAGUCAUAGAACUGCUCCAUGACAUACAGCUCACUGCCGGCGUCAGAAACUCCGAACUUGGCCUCAAGUGCAUCCCACAUGUCCUUCCCAGAAGGCAUGUGCAUGUACACGUCCACUAUGUUGUCAGCGAGUACACUGAUCAAUGCUCCACGGAACAGGCAAUCCGAAGCCUCGAACUUAGUCUCUUCCUUAGGAGAAAGAGGUGGUUCACUUCGUUUACCCCGUGAAACAUAGAAGCACUGCAUCGCUGUCAACCACAAUAGUGCACGUGCUUUCCAUCUCUUAUAGUUUGAACCAUCAAAAGCAUGUGGUUUCAGUGCAGCAGCAAAGCCAACUACCGAAAAUGACCUAUCAGGUUUUUAGAUUGUUGGAAAAAUUGUCAUUAUUCGGCAUAUUUUAAUCCAAGAAAUUGAAACUAUGAUCAUGGCAUAAGCAGUGUAGGGUGAUCUUAAUAUAACCGGUAGCAUACUAUGCGCAUCAUGAAUGUCAGAAACAGGAACAUACCAGUAAUGCGAUAACAUGCUAGAGGCAUCAUGUAGAACAGGAAUAAGAACAUAGCGCACACAGUAUAGCGCUAACAAUGGGAACAGGAGUAGCGCUAACAGCAGUAGAAGGAGAAGAUUAUACCCCGAGAAUGGCCCUCCGCUGGAUGGUGAGGCAGAAUUGCCUCCGUUGUUGUAGUCGUUCACGGCACCUCCUGGCGCACCAGCUCCGGAUCCAGCUCCUGUCGGCGUCGGCGGCGGCGCACCACCUCCGCCAAUAGCGGCGGCAGCAACUCCAGACAUGGCGAUGAGCAGUCGUGCAGGAGGCACUCCUCAAAAACCUGAUCACCCGCCUACCCGGUGCAGAUCUCAGGCGAAGGUGUGGUUUCGGAGGCACUGCUUCUUCCAAUCUCUCGUGCGCGCAAGAGAUCAGAAGCGGGAAGCGAGAGUAACUCAGGCGCGGAGAAGGAGAAACUAACACCGGGAAAGAAGCGAGGAACUCGGAUCGGACUCGCGGCCUCCUUAUCUAUCAGGAGAAAGAACGUGGACGCGCUGUUGCGGAGGGAAUCGUGGGAACGUGCAACUCAGGCGCGGAGAAGGAGAAACUAACACCGGGAAAGAAGCGAGGAACUCGGAUCGGACUCGCGGCCUCCUUAUCUAUCAGGAGAAAGAACGUGGACGCGCUGUUGCGGAGGGAAUCGUGGGAACGUGGGUUAGUGGCUGCAAAAGGAUAGCGACGUGACGUGACGCACGCCGCCAGCCAAGCCACGCCCACGCCCCGGCCCAGCGCGCGCGCGCGCGUGUGGCAUUCCGACCCCCACCUCAACUGGUCAACAGGGAGCCUCUAAUAACUCCCUAUUUAGGUUGAGAUAUUUCUCGCUUAAAUCCAGAGGUGGUAUUAUUAUCCUCAACAUUUAUUAUGGGCCUUUGAGAUUUAAUAUUAUAAGUUGGGCCUAGCCCAAUUAUUCUAACACUCACAAUCAUCAUGGAAGAUAAUGGCGAUGUCGAGGAGGACGUGGUGUAUGCAAUGGCUGAGGUUGUGCAGAACUCAAAAUCCCUGCGGCUGUUGGAAUGUUCUCUGUUCAAGAGGUGUCAUUUCCCUGUCAGACUUUCUGGUCUGAAGCACCUUCGUCAUGUCAAGAUUUCAAUGCUUUAAAACGCAUUAGAUCUCACUGGCAGUGGCAGAUGGGUUAUACUGAGAUUCAUUCAAAGAAGUAAAGCUCAAACCAUAUUAUAUGUCUCUAUGUUGUCCACAGAACUACCAAAAUGUGUUAUCUGUAAAUCAGUACUACUGGAGGAAACUGUCUGCUUCUCUGUAUCGUUGUAUCGUGUGUUUGGAGUUUGGAUUCUGUAUCAUUGUAUUGUGCGUUUGGAGUUUGGAUUAUGUAUCACUGUGUCGUGUGUUUGGAACUUGGAUUCUGUAUCGCUUGUUUCAGAUAAUGGAAUGACUGUACGAACUGUGUGCUAAAUUUGUGCACUUGUAUUUUGGGGUGCCUAUCUGGAAUUUGUAGUUUUCAUUUUCUAGCGGGAUUUGAUUUAUCUCUUGUGGAAUUCCUCUGUUUUUCUCUAUUCUUGAUGAGAAAUCUCUGUUUCCAGUUUUUACUAUGGAACUUUUUUCUUAGUUCAUGCCUUUUUAUCUUUGGUAUCUACGAAUGAAUGUACAUUUCACAUACACCCUCAUUUCAUUCGUACUGUAAGUCGCUUGGAUUUUUUUCUUAAUUAAAUUUAUUUAAGUUUUAUCAGUUUAUAAAAAAUAUAGCAUCGUUUUCAACAUUAAACAAAUAUAUUAUUAAAAUAUAUUCAAUGUUACAAUUAAUAAAACUAGUUUGGUGUUGUGGAUGUUGCUAAAUUUUUUUAUAAAUUUAAUCAAAAUUAAAGAAGUUUAAUUAGUGAAAAAAAAAUCAAAACCAUAAUGGAGGGUGUAACAAACUGCUUUCAAUAUUAUUUCGCAUUGAGAUAAAUGUUGUUCCGAGAGGGAAGGCAGGGAGUCGGGGAUAUGAAUCAAGUUUCUCAAGACAAGGACAUGGUUGGCAUUCUACUUGCCGUUGAAUCCUAGUACAACAACAAAACGUCAAAACCUUACGCACAUCCUCCAUUUUUUUUAAAAAAAAAGACUUUCUCAAAUGGAUUCGUAGUCGUUAGUCGUUUUUCUUUUUAAGGACUGAGGGAGUUCAGAUUUCAGAAUACUCUAUGGACACAAUUUGUUUUUCUAUUUCACACACAAACUGCAUACUGCUGUUAAUAUUUUAUAGAGGCGUAUCUGUAGGUGGUCCGGGUGGUCCCAAAAAAAUUGCGAUCAAACCUAGUAUAUAUCAUAUUUUAGAAAAUAAAAAGAAAAAUCGCGAUUUGCACGGCGCACGCACGCACUUGGACUUGGAAACUAACUUUUCCAAGUCGCGCGCGGGGCCUCUCCUCGUUUUCCGUUUUUCGCCCUGCCGCCGCGAUGCAAUGCGACACGAGGAGCCCUGCACGUGCGUGACUGCCACCUUGACUCCGCAUGCGCCGACCGCCGUUUUCUGCUUCCCCGUUGCGGCGCCACCAGCAGCCGCCCACCUCGGAUACUAAGCGUCUCUCCAUUUCCGAGUCUACUCUCCGUUCCUACAUUUCCGUCCGUGAGUCCGUGACCGUGAGGCAUGAAAACUGAGACCUCCUUGGACCGCAAGUCCGCGACGGCCGACGCCCCGACGGGGCGCGCACGACUUGCCGUUGCAGACUUCGGCUCGGCGCCCGGCCAGACGCGCCUCGGCGGCGAUCAUGACCGGCAACUCCCCUCGUCAAUCGUUGUCUUAGGGAGUUAGGUAAUCUUCUUUAAACUUUUAUAUACAUAUAAGCUUUUUAAGUUAAAAUUUUACUUAAUUAUUAAUUUUAUAUGUUUUAAUUAAGAUAUGUUAUAUUUUUGAUCUAUUCAUAAGUUAUACUUGCAUUGUAUAUACUAGCAUAGUUAGAUUUACUGUGUUUAGAAAAGAAAUUUCAGUCGGACCACCCAUAUCCUAAAUCCUAGAUCCGCCACUGAAUAUUUAUUUUAUAGUGUGAUGGAGGCUACACUGUGAGAAAAUGCAUAUCAAUUUUUUUCCAAGCUUUCAACAGAAUGGGCACUGUGGCAGAAAUCAGUAGCUCUUUACUUUGGCCCAACUGCUGGUGCAAAUUAAUCUUAACCAUCAAUUUCUCAAUCGGAUGGACACCACGUGCUUGCACUAUACGGUUUGAAUGCUCAAUCAUUCCCUCUGCUCAACUUGUGCUCCACCUCCACCCCUCCAAUGGCAGCGGUGACCGAAAAAUCGGUAGAAUUUGUUGCAUUAGGCUCGAUUCCUAGGCAGAGGCAACAGCGUAUCCAGAGACGACAAACUUGCAAGACGCAUGAGAGAAUCGAGAACCGGCGAACAAAUCUACAAGGUCACACACAUAAAGGCAGUUACCGGGAGGAUAUCUCUAGGUUGUUAGCAGAGCAACAUAGAGAGAGAAAUGGAGAGUGGAUAAGGAGGGACUGUUAGUUAUCCCACACACCAAAAAAAUAUAGGGGAAAGUAGGGAGAUGAGUCACAAUGUCCGUUGUAAAAGGUGGGGGCUAUUGUCGAGCACCCAUUGACUAAGCAGUAGAUACGGUUAACUCUACUCACGUAUGAUCCUAACGUGCGAAGGUGCUAUGGCUUUUUAUUCAUCUACCAUAUAGCCGUACAAUGAAACAUGUCCACUGCAACGAGUUUUUUUUUUUAAAAAAAUGUCCACUACUACCUCCGUCCCAAAAAAAGCCGAUUCCUGAGGCGGAGCUGUUGUCCCACAAAAAAUCAAACUCUACUGCAAUCACCGAGAAACAUUAAUACGAUAGGAUGCAGAGCAGUCUUGGCGAUGGGAAGCAGAGCAUUGGCAUUGAAUUUUCUCCAUUUAUUUUUUCAAUUGAUGGCUGUACUUGGGUACUUUGGUAAGGGCAUUAUAGUUAAUUUUACUAGUACUUUUACUUUGACUUUGAGAUUCUAGAGUUUACCUUUCUAUGAUUCUAGGGUUUACCUUUCUAUGAGACGGAGGGAGUACAACCGAACAUGUCCAUGGUUAUGAAUCCUAUGAUGACGUGUUUGAAACCCUUGUGACGUCGGUUGCACCGCACCGAUGAGUUAAUCUGAACCGUCCAUUGCCAAUCGGAUGAACGCCACGUGCUCGCACCGCACGGCGUCAAUUGCCAACCCGAUUCCCCCACUCAUUUCCCUCCUCCACUCAACUCGAGCUCCACCUCCACCGCUCCAAUGGCGGCGGUGGCCGGAACCCUAGCUCCACUCUUCCUCCUCCCCCUACGCCGUCGUCCUCCACUCCCCCACCCCAUCUCCCUGAUGCCGACGUCCCCCUCCACCCUCCGCCCCCGCCACCGCCGCCGCCUCGCCGUCGCCCUGGCGGCGAACGGCGGAGGCGGCGGCGAUGGCGAUGGUGGGCCCCCGGCGGAGGAGGGGGAGGAGAAGCGGCGGAAGGGCCCGUCGCUCCCGGCGCUGUCGGAGAUCCGGUGGGGGGAGCUGCUGACCCCGGAGCCAGCGAACGCGGCGGCGGUGGCGCUGUCGGCCGCGCUCGCCUGGGCCGGCGCGUCGCUGCUGCUGCAGCUGGCGCUCAUCUCGUUCGCCAUAUUCACCGCCGCCGUCAAGUACUCCUUCGUCGCCGCGCUCCUCCUCUUCGUCCUCAUCGCUCUCCUGUGACUGUGAUGUGAGUGGCCAAGUAAACCCCCCCCCCCUUCCCCUCCCCGAUGCGGAACAUAGGAUUGUGAUAAUCUGUGAAACAUGUCUGAAUUUUGCAUUGCAACUGAAAUCCACAAUAGUCUAUUGUCACUAUGCUGUUUCACAAUAUUAUGGAACAAAUGGAGCUUCUCGAUACGCUUACAUUACAAAUAUAGAUCUGUUGAACACACUUUAAUUAAGACGGAAGGUCCACAACAACAAAAUACAGUUCGGUUCGUAUGGGCUUAGUAUAACAUGUACUCUUUGAAUGAUAAGCAUGCCUUGUAGAUAUACCCGGAGUUGAAUUGACCAAGGUCCUUUGACGGCUAGAUUGAGAAGAAGCGAUUUCCGUAGGUCAUUGGUUGUGUUGGUUGUUGACUAUGGAGAUCCAACAAAGACAUGUAUAGCUUUUGCUGUUCUUUCACCUGAUCAACGACCAUUGAGCAUGAACAAAUUAUUAGCAAACUUAUAUUGCACUGAAUCUUGUACUAAAUCUAUGUUAUUGCACUAAAUCUUGUAUUUGCACUGACACUUCGCAAAUUUCUGCUGAUGAACAUUGUAUUGCAGUCUUAUAUAGAACUCCAUCAACAAUUAUAUUGUUGUUGAUACAAAGUUAUUCAUAAUUCAUGAAGAACUGUGCAGCAGUUAUAUACGUGAAAAAAAGAUAAUAUCAAGCUUUUUUGCUUUUCAUUGCAAAACAACUGCAGCUAAUUCUAGUAAAGAGCUACUUCCUCCGUUUCACAAUGUAAGUCAUUCUAGCAUUUUCCACAUUCAUAUUGAUGUUAAUGAAUCUAGACAUAUAUAUCCAUCUAGAUUCAUUAACAUUAAUAUGAAUAUAGGAAAUGCUAGAAUGACUUACAUUGUGAAACGGAGGGAGUACUUCUGUUAAAUUGUGAGUGCCCGUAAAUUUACAGAAAUGCCCUGUUGAUAAUUAAUCUUCAGGUCUAAUUUCAGAUUUGGUUAUCUCCUAAUUCUAGUUAUAGGGCUACAUUUUUUAAAUUGAGGAAACAUUAUCAUGUCUAUUUUCAAAUUAUGAAGCGUAGUUGCAUGUGUUUUCAUCUUUCCAAAUUAUGAAGUGUAAAUUGUCUAUGCUAUAUGUUAGGUUCUGUCGCACAUCAAAUAGAGUGUAAUUUGGAUGCUAUCCCCAAAUGGAGAGUUUGUUUGGCUAGUUGCUUUCUUGAUAAGCUGAGGAUAAUUUCUAUUGGGCUGAAGCCUAAAUAUAGUGAUCAAAUUAUGGGCACCAAGAAAUUGACAUAUUUCAAGCAAAUGUUAUAAAGUUUCUGUCUAGUGUUACCUUCUCUUGAAGCAUUUCAUUUGCUUCUUUUAGUAUGCCUUCCUGCACAUAAAAAAAAAAUUCUCUAGCAUUACACAUUCAGGAUUUUAAUAAUGAGUUAAUUGAACUUGUGAUUCCUCAACUAUGAACCACUUAACAUUUGUCUGUCCACUAUGAAACUGACUAACUUAUUAAUGCUUUGGGCCUUUGGCUCAUCGCCUCCCUACACCCUAACACUAUAAUUUUCUUUCCAAUAUGAAAAACUUCAGCAUAUUAUUACGUUUGGUAUGGCCUUUGACGCCUGAACACCUUGAUCUGUGAUGUCAAAUGGGUGCACUGUGCCCAAACAAAAAAUAUCCAAGAUGUGAAGUUUUUGGGACUGAUUUCGCCAAUUUUAAAGUUGGUGGACAGAAUUGAGCAACUAGAAUAGUAUGAUGGGAAAAAAGGACUAAUUACCUUUUAAUGGUUUAUUUCAAACCUCUAACUUGCAGUUUUCUCUUGUUUUUUAAAUAGCCUGAAAACCAAAUGUAACUACCUUCUGUUCUUAUGUUUUGGCAUAACUUAUACUCCCUCCGUUUCACAAUGUAAGACUUUCUAGCAUUGCUCACAUACAUAUAGAUGUUAAUGUAUCUAAACACAUACAUAUGUCUAGAUUCAUUAACAUCUAAAUGAAUGUGAGCAAUGCUAGAAAGUCUUACAUUGUGAAACGGAGGAAGUACCUUUUUUGAUGAUUCAUCUUGUAAACAGAGAAUGUGUAUGCUUAGAUGAACAGAAACUUUACAGAACAAGCAAUAAGACAUCAGACAUUGAGACUAACCUUGUUUCUAAGAAAUUGAAUCUCUUGUUGCAUCAUCUGCAUCUGUUAGAAGAUAUUUCAUAUUGGUGUUCUGAAUACUCUUUAAAGAUCUGAAAGAAUUAGAGGAAAUAAAUGGAGAAUAGCUGUCUUACCUUUGUUGUGCGUAUUUGGUAAAUCCAUAGUUCAAGACCUUUCUCUAGUGCAUGCAAUUUAUCUAGUGUCAUUUCCCCUGCUCCCCCUCCAUAUGUAGACCUGCUUUUUUUUUCAUUUAUGAGUCCAAAGUUUUUCUGAGGUAGUUGUCCAUAUUGAAUAAAAGUUAUGUUUCAUGCUGGUUUUUUGUGCUGACCAUAAGGCUUAUCAUGAUUAGACUGAAUUGAUACUGUCUAUAUCACUCAAAUCACUUCAAUCCCAGUUUUCUUGAUUGGGAAUGGAAUUAAAGCUAUUAGGCAGUUCAGAUGUUAAUCUUUUUCUACUAUUGGCUUCCUCUUGUUACUUAUGUAUUGAAAUAGUGUCUGUUAAAUUUUUUUUAAUCUUCGUUGAGUGAUCAUACUCUGCCUGAUUCUGUUGGAAACCAGUUGUUUGCAUGGAAAUCCCACAAUCUUCUAAUCCUUCUGUAGAGGGGAAUUGAUCAUGUGCCACUUCUUUAGAGUGGUAACUGGUCAUUUUUCCGUUUUAUAAAUAGAUCGGUUUUCAGUAUUUUCUUCUUCUGAGCUCUUGAUUAUCACGAAAAUUUGACGAUGAUUAUUAGUCGAACUUUAAACUUGUACAGUGAAAAUGGCAUUUCUCAUAUGUUAAACUUAGUCUGUUCCUCACUAAUUUAGGGUAGUUUACAAGAUAAUCAUGUGCUGAAAAUGUUAGCAAUCCAUUUUAUGGUCGAAUUACACAGGCCACGUGACUCAACAGGUCCUAAUGUCUCAUUAGGCCACUCUUACUGUUUAUCAGUGCAGAAUAUGUAAUUAGUAUCCUGUCGAGCAUGAAAGUUACCUAAGACCCCUCUGUAGUAGAUCUAUUUCUUCCCUUAACAAGAAAAUCCCUUGUUCUGCUACCUGCUAUAUGAUGCAAAAGAGUGUGUUAGUAAAUCUUUGGUAUCAUUUGUCAAUUUAAGUAUAUUCAUUUAUCUUAUGAAUUGGAACAGGCAAUGCUGUGUAUUUUUAAUGAACAGAACAUUUUAAUUUUUUCUUAAUUAUGUGUUCUCAACUUUUCAUACGCUUUCAGUUUCACCUAACAUAAAUGGUAAGAUUAUUUUUUUGAAUCUUUCAAGGUAAAUAGGCAGACCUGUCUUUGUAGAGCUCCUGGUUCCAUUUGACCACCUGCUACAUUGCUCUGGUACCUUUCAACCAAGUUAUGCAUAUUUCUUGCAUUUUGUGAACAAAAGGAAAGCAUUUCAGAAUUGUAUUCACAAAUUACAAAUUCUAUAUAAAACAUGAAUUUGGAAACACACCCAUUAGUAGCUAAUUCAUGGAGUUUUCCCUGAGAGGAGAAUAUGAUAACACCUACAUCAGCAUCACAAAGCACUGAUAGUUCCCUGGCCUUCUUGAGGAGCCCCCCACGGCGCUUACAGAAGGUUACCUGUCUGUGGACAGGGUUCUCUAUUCGUCGCAUUUGCACCUUUCCUCUGACCAUGUUGUUUCACUCUUCCUGCAGAUAACCUUUGGCCUGGACUAGACUUGAAGCUACAGCUGUGGCACUAGUAACAAGGAGAUAUUGACCUUGUGUUCCUCUCAAAUCGAAGUACACAUGCAGGUGGAUGGCCUGCUUUUAUAUACCAGUCCACCUUCAAGGGAAUAUGAGUAUGACCUUUGGAUAGCACUGAUUGCUUUGUUGUAAGCCACUGAAAAGCAUCUUGCAGGUCACUGUACAUCUUUCUUCCUGCUCAUGUAGAUUCUUAUAAAUAUUGUCAUAUCUCUAUAUGAUAUACUUGUAUAAUUGCUGUUCGUUUGUUAUGAUUAAUUUAGCUGUUCCUCUAAGAUCUUAUGUCACAUCUAAUGACUUCUCCAUUGUUCUUUCCCUUAAAGUUGGCUUAUCUUGAGCAUAUAGAGCUGGCCAUACAUUUAUUCUCCAGUUCUGUUGUAUGACUUACUCUUUUACCUUGUUUAUGGAAUCAAGUUCCUGUACGUCUCUAUGGAGAAUCUAUCUAGCAAGUUUGUUAGUAUCAGUAAAAGUUUAGGUUUCAAGUAUCAGAUCACAUAUGGCAGAAGAUGCGGUGAAUGUUUGUUACAUUGGAUCUAGAAAAAAUAUCGUAUUACUGUAAAAUUGAUUGAUAUGUACGUUUAUUAAUGAAUAUUGCUGAAAAUUCAGUAAAAUCAUGUAUAUUUAUUUGUGAUAAUGUAUAUUCCACUGCAGCAUUGACAUGGAUUAAUGUUAGUAAGCAUUCUUGUAUGAUCGAAAGGCAAAAUUGAAAACAUGUUUGUAUGCCACCCUUGCAUCAGUAUGCCUUAAAUAAUAUAUUUGUUCAUUUGGUUUUCAGUUUUCAUCCAGAUUCAGCCAAACCAGCAUCGGCACUGUUUUUUUACUCUAAAGUACUCAUGGCUGAAACUUGUUGCCAGUAAGCAUGUAAGUAAAUGCCUAGAUGUUGGCCACUCGUCUAGCAUCAUGUAAAUGAAUAAUUCUUUUCAAGUUUGGAGGGGUGUAAUUUGAGCCAACAUUCAACUUCAGCUUUCUGAAAUACUUAUAUAAUCGAACAUUUUGGAGGUCAAGAAUUGUAUUCCUUAAAGUGAAAAGAUAACAUAUCCCAACUUCUUUUAUUUGGGAUAAUUUCAUCCAGCUCAUUAUUUGGAAUAAAGUCUGAAUGAAUCAUAUUCAGUUAUUCCUUAAAAAAUGUAAAAGGUAUUGGAUUUUUGUACUGUACUGUUACAAAGGUACUCUUGUUGUCCAUUGAAGAUAGGCUGGUAUGCAGUGCUUUAGAUAUUUUAUAUCUGCUAACAGUAUUUUGUUCUCCUUUUUCAAAGACAUUGAUCUACCUGUGAAGGCUACUGGAAUUAUCUCGUGCAUUCAGCUACCAGAUGAUUCUGUACAAGUUAUGACUAUUUGGUGGAUAGGGAAAUGGGAAUGAGAAUGCUUCCACUUAUACCCACCUGUUGUAAUGGUUAUAGUGAAGUUGUUUUGUUUCAUCUUCAUUAGAUUUGGUGGCUAAACCAAUUUACUUUCUUGUUGCCUGUUCAUGUCAAAUAUAAGAGAUCAUCGUCGAACACAUUUUUUACUGACACUAAUCACUCUUGCUUUAUGGUGCAUGUUGCAUGGGUCUGAUGUUUCUGAAUGGAAGCAUAAACCGAAAGCUCGAAAGUAACCUGGAUUAGUUCAUCCAGCUAUCAUACAACUAGAAGCAAUGGCCAAUCUUUGUCUUAGUGCGAUCUAAUGAUAAGCUAUGGAUGCAUCUUUACUGAUGCAUUACCUUUCGCAUUGCUCAAAGUUAAUUAGCUAUGAUGCAAUGCCAUCCAUUUGUUUGCUUUUAUAAAGAAAAUGGGCAUUACAUUUUGUUAGCCUGAGGUGUUAAUGUCAAGUCAAAAUAUUUAACUGAAAUGAAUGCAUGGAAUCGUAAUCUCAUGCGACGUGUCUUAAGAUUUGUCUUCCACUACACAUUGGAGAAUAUUGCGUAUUGACUACGUGCUUUGUUGACCUAUGGACGAAGAAUGUCUGUUGUACACCUGUUCAGUUUUUGUGCCCUGAUAUUUUUUUUCUCUCUAGGUCCUAUGCUACAGAGAAUCUGGAAUUUCAUCCAUUUAUUUCUCUCUUUUGGAUGGUCUCUCUUUUUGCAAAACUUGUAAUAGCGAAGCUAGAAUUAAGGAAAGACAUUAUUUCACAGCUUGGAAAUGUUGGCCUCAUCCUUUGCCCUAUAUGAAAUCAGUCAUUACUAAAAUUUGAAUUUUAGAACUUAAUUCUAGAGUUGAUGUUAGGACAUUUUCAGCAUAGCUUCUUGUUUGGUAUUUGUUUUUAAAUCUUAAUGAUAUAUACAAAAGUUCUACUCAUAAAUCAUUUUUGUUCACCAAUAAACCGUUUUGGCUUAUAAUCAGAGCUCAUAGCCAAUUGAUUGGUACAUGUAAAGUAGGAACUAUAAUCUCUUUGAGAUGAUCUCCAGCAAAAUGUUUCAAAUUUUCAGAUCCUAAAACAGGGUCGGGUCAAUGUUCUACACAUGGUCGCUGUGCACUGUACCUCUAUACUAUUACUACCAGUCAAGCAGCUCAUGGAGCUUUGGCAUUGGGCAAUACCAGUGAAGAAGCUACUCCUACCACACAUACAGCCAUGGUCAUGAUCAGCUUUCUCCACAAUCUCCAUCCUAUCGCGUCAGAUCAGACGUUUGUUCUCUGCUUGCUUUGUCAUCUUCUCCUUGUUCUGACCUGACCUGCAGUACCAUGCAACACCAUCAUGUUCUUCUGAUCUCUCUUUCUUUCUCUCCAUCUGUCUCUCUCUCUUAGCUCAGCAUCAGAGCUUCAGCUGCUUGUUGAGCUAGCAGUAGCCUGCAAUUAUAUUCCUGCCGUUUUUGGUGCAGAAAAGCAAGAGAGAUGUUGAUGGUGAUGAUGCCGGUGUGUGGCCUCCCGUUUUGGGUAGGACGCCAUGGACGCAAACCUCUCAGUUCUUUGACCCUAGCAAAAAGCUACAUCAACAAGGGCUAGCUUCUUUCGAUUGCAGGAUGAAGAGGAAGCCAAAACUUUUUGUUCUUUAAUUAGAUUGAUAUUUGGGGUACUCAUUUGAUAUCAAUAGUGGAGUUGCCAAAUGGCAAGAGGCAAGAGGAUCACCUGGCUAGAUACUUGGAAGUGAUCUUGAGCUGGGACAUAUUGGUCAGUCCAAUGAUUGGUCCCACAAUCAGAGUGGUAUUAGAGUGAUAGCAGUGCAAGCCAUGGGCUAGGCAGGCUUGGAGUGCCAUGUAAUCUCAAGUACUCUAUGGAUACAAUCUUCACACUACAUGUGGCCUGAGGCGGGUCUAUAAAUUUUUUGAGGAACAAUCAAGGCUAACGUUGCGAACUCCACGAUGCAGUGCCACACGCCCUCGAUGGGCGCGGAGAACGCGUGCCCUAUUUUGGCUCCAAGGACUUCCCCUGGCUCAGUGUUUCGUCGACGUGGCGCCAAAUAUAUAUCCGUUUUGCUGCGACCGGGCUGAAUGACACGUCUGCACAUUGUGAAGGCCCUUAUAGGUGGGGCCUAGUUGUCGGUGGGUAAAAGAUGAAUUGGGUUAGCUUUUGGUAUGCGUAUUAGACAUCUGUGUGUAAAAGCAUUGCCAUACAUUUGGAAGGUUCUUAUUUGUGGCAAAAAUGUCUAAUACAUUUGUAUUUCAUAUAUGCAAAAGUGUAUAAUACACAAUACAUGUCACAACAUUUAAAUAUAUGUUCUAGAUAUUAAUGAGGUAAAUAUGGACCAGUUAUGGCCGUGGCACUUCUUAAAGAAAAAAAAAGUUAAUUUUUGUACCGUUAGAUCUCCAUCAACGGUACCUUUGCCCUUAUAUAAAUACACAAACCUUAUUCUCCACUCUCAUCUUGCACAGCCACGGCGUUGCCAUGCGUCCACCAAACACCUCCUAACCUUUGUAGUUCUCAUAGCCAAACCACCAUUCCUUCAUUGCCCAUCGAUGCCCUCUCACAUGGCACCUUUUACGUAGUUACUGGCAUCUCACAUUCCACCACCUCCACCUUUCUCUUGACUAGCUUGUUGUCUUCUCCAAUUCCCUUCAACCCUAGAACUGGCCCUAACUAGGGUGGGCCAAUGUCAUCCACCUCCUUGCAAUUGCUGGCCAAAGGAGGAAGGUGGCAUACAUCUCAAAGUGAAUCUGACACGUGGAGGUGGCAUAUGUGGCCCUAUGAGUUAGCAGCUCACGGAGUCACAUCUCAAAGAUGAUAUGGCUAAUUUGACUAUUACCCGUAUAUGCAUCUCAAAAUUGAUAUAGCUAAAUUGACUAUUACCUGUUUAUAAGCUGCCACUCUUUUUUGGGCUAGAUUGGCACGGUGGGGGGGGGGGGUUAUAAUCUGAUCUAACUUGCUGAAAUUUGAAUCUCCAAAGUUCAACAGAAUGUGUGUAGUCACCUUCCCAAAACAUAAUGUUGAACUUUUUUUUGUGCAGUUCUUGGUGUAGAAAGGAAGAGGUGGGUGAUGGUGAUGAUGCCUGUGUAUGGCCAGCCUAUUUGGGUGGGGCUCCAAUCGCCAUGGAUGCAAAACUCAGCUGAGACCCAUCAAUUCUAUCCUAGCAAAGCUACAACAACAAGGGUUUUGAUCUUCCAGUGCAAGAUGCCAACCUUUUGUUCUUUGGAUUGAUCAUUAGGUACUACUCAUAUAUCUGACACAUCAAUAGUGGAGUUGCACCAGAUGGCAAGAGGCAAGGGAUCACCUGGGUUGAGUUGAUACUUACAAGUUGGAAGUGAUCUUUACUUGGCCUAGUGGUGGAUCCACACUACAACAAAAAGGUCAUAUAUAGAGACGUCCUAUUUAAGGCGUUUAUCUAGUCGUCUCAGUCUCAAGAACCACUCCUGUAAUAAAGACGCUUGUUGAGACGUUUUCAAUGUUGUCGUAGGCCCAAAAUUAUUUUUCAUAUUUUUUGGUUAAAAAUCCUAGAAAGUCCUCCACAUAUCACUAUUCCUCCACAACGUGGCCCACCAGCCCACUAGAGCUCCCUUCCCCAUAUCCUUGCUUGCUUCCCCCCUUCUCCAUAUCUUUGGUCCUCCCCGCACCACGACUUCCCCUCAAUGUCAACUCCUCUUCCCAUUUGCCACCGCCACCACCCUCCAUUGUCUUCGCAGUCGCUUGAUCCCUAGCCUCUGUCGCGCUCCUGUCGUCCCUGCCACCCAAAUGCCACAAACAUAACAAGCUAGCAACCCAUUUUUUGGUCGCUGACAACCAGGCUCCACCAAUAGUACCCCUCUGGUGGUCGGAUAUGUAUGUCAGUGACUAAACUAAUUUUUUAUUAGACUGAUGCCUACACCUAGUUGUAUAUAGACAUUAAUAAAAUAAAUAUAUAGAUAUGUUAUGGCGCACUAAUGUUUUAUUUUUUAAAAGAAAAGAUAGUUGAUUUUGUGGACCGUUAGAUCUCCAUCAACGGUCCAAGUUACUUUUGCCCACAUAUAAAUACACAAACCCUAUUCCCCACUCAUCUUCCAUAGCCGCCGCGUCGUCGCGCGCCUCCACCAACCACCUCGAAACCUCUCUAGUUCCCAUAGCCAAACCACUCUCCUUCAUCGCCCAUCGUCGUCCUCCCACUUGGCACCUUUGACGUAGUCACCGCCUCACUGGCGUCUCACAAUCCACCACCUCCACCUUUUUUCUUGGCUUGUUGUCUUCUCCAAUCCCCUCCGUACCUUGGAGGCAGCCCUAACUGAGGUGGGCCACCUCCUUGCAAUUGCUGGAGGAGGAAGGGAGGUAUACAUCUCAAAGCAAACCCGACAACUUGGAAGGCACCUGUAACUAUGUGAGUUAGCAAAUUCCGUAAAUAUAUCUCAAGAUCUAUAUAGCUAAUUUGACUACUACUUGUUUAAUUAUAAUGUGCCACUCUUUUUUUGUGCUAAAUCUAGGGGGUAUUAAUCUAACUUGCUCAAUUUCAAAGCUCCAACUAAAUUUCAACAGAAUGUGUCCAGCCACCUUCCUAGAAAAUAAUGUUGGAACCAUUUACACUACAGCACGGAUGAGUUUAUGAGGCGAUUCAAAAUGCCUCCAUUACUCCGUAAAACGCCUUGGACGAGCUUCAGAGGCACUUUUAGAAACGCCCAAUAUACUCGCGUAGGGAAAAGUAUUUAGUGGCGUUGCUGAAAAAUGCCUUGCAAAGUACUUUUUGAGGCUUUUCUAAUAAUGCCUCAGAACUUAUUAGAGGCCAUUUUCAAGAUGCCUCUGAUAUCUUAUGUUUUUGUUAGCUUUUAUGUAGAACGCCUCCAUAAGCCUAGGAGGAUGUUUUAAAAAGCCUUUUACAUCAUUGCAUCAGUAGGAUUACAGAUUACUACUGUUACAUCCGUAAUUGUAGCCAAUCAAUAGCAUCACAACAUAUCAUAUUACAAACAAACUCAUCCAACACCAAUAAUUUGAAAUGUUAUUUGACAACAUAGUUUACAGCUAACCAAAGAUAACAUAGUUGAAAUCUUAGCAGAACAGCUUCCAAUUGUUUCUGAUGGCAUUCUUCACUUGUGGCAAAUAGCAAGCUGAACUCUUCAUUCACAUCAUUACACCACACAAAGAGGUCAAAGAAUAUAGUAGUAUGAAGUAUUUUGCAUCAUCAUAAUAAUGACCAAAGCUCUGUUAAAAGUUUAAUGAUUUGAUGCUGGCUUGAUUCAACUUAAGAUUGUCUGGUAACAAUACUAGCAAUGCUGACAGUCCAAGAAUCUCCAGGUUUUGGAGACUAGAGUGGAUACAUUUAGAAAGCACAAAAAUCACUAAACACAGGAAAUCAGCAAGGGAAAACUCUAAUCACUAAAUAAAUUUUAAAUAUAAAAGUACACACCCUAAUCACAAUUUAAAAUGCUGAUUGCAAGUACCACUUCUUAAUGAAAUACUUUUUGUUUCUUGUCUUAUGUAUCAAUGAUCUGUGGAAAUGGCAGUUUUGUAACUAUUUCUUAAUUGAACAGUUAGUUGCCAAGUCAUGUGCUACUAGGUUCAUGUACUCACCUGCCUAGAAGAAAGGUGAAAACGAACUUGGUCUGAAACAUCUUCACUUCUUCAGCAAGAAUAAUCUUCUGUAGCCUAUAAUUAAAAUCCACUGGAAACAGGUACAGAGCAAAUGCUCGAAGGAUCACAGCAAGAACGAUUGGUAGCUUGGUCUGGAUCUACUGAAGACAGUGUAUUAACCAAUAUAAACUAUCUUGGUUAAGGAGAAAUAUAAACCUACAUUGCACUACAGACUUGGAGUAUGAAAGUUUUUUAGUUCACACAACAUGCAACAUACGUACUUUGAAAGAAGGUGCAAUCUGAAUCCACUGAGUACAGUAUCUUUUGUGCAAUUUAUUUGUUCAAUGCUAUAUGUCUAACUAAGAGAAACAUAUGUAAAUCAUAUUUCAGAGUAUUGUGAUACCUUUCAAGAGCAACCAUGAACCCUGAAUUGUAGAUAAUCGAAGCAUUUGAUUGAUCUCAGUCAAUUAUAACCAUGAACCCUGAUUCCCCAACAUUCUCAAAAAUUAUCAUAUUUAAUCCAAAUGGAGAGAACUAGUGUUGUUACUGCAAACAUAAUAUAAAAAUUCUCCCACGUCUAGUACAGCCAAACCUGAGAAAAUUGAUCAACUAAGUUAUAAACAAUGCAAACACAAACAACAUGGCAAAAUUAAAGUUAUCGCACUACUGCAUCUAUAAUCAGGUGAACAGGUAGAAAAACUCAUGUGGACAAUAACACAAGAGUAAACUUCAUAAAACUACAUAUACUUUGCACAAUCUAUCACAAAACUAUAGAUUUUAGAACUAGUUUCACAAAACUACAGAUUUAAUGUCUUUGUUUAUCACAAAACUACAUGUACUUUGAACAAUAUAUCACAAAACUACAUAUUUAAGAACUUAUUUCACAAAACUACAUGUUUAAUAUCUUCAUUUAUCACAAAACUACAGAUUUAGUGUCUCCAUUCUCACAAAACUACACAUUUUAACAAUGCUAAAACAUGUAGUUUUGUGAGAAUGGAGACACUAAAUCUGUACUUUUGUGAUAAAUAAAGACACUAAAUGUGUAGCACUGUGAUAAACGAAUACACUAAAUCUAUAUUUUUGUGAAACAAGUUCUUAAAUCUAUAGUUUUGUGAUAGAUUGUACAAAGUACUUGUAGUUUUGUGAUAAACGAAGAAACUAAAUCUGUAGUUUUGUGAAACAAGCUCUUAAAUCUGUAGUUUUGUGAUAAAUUGUGCAAAAUACAUGUAGUUUUGUGAAAUUUACUCAUAACACAAACACCUUUAGGGCAGCAUGAUGACUAUGGCACCCUCGACUGAGAGAAAGCAGUGCUCCUGGCGAUGGCGCUUGGCGCAGAGCUCCUCUUGUGCGGUAGAGCAGCCGGCGGCGUGAAUCGCACGGUUUAGUGGCAGCGGUGGCGACGAAUCGUGCGAGCUCUCGCCGACGAUCGAUCUGUAGGCUUCAAUGGUGGAACGGAGAUGACGUUAGGGCAUGGAGCGGGGCGUUGAGCGGUCGGCGAAGUUGGGGGCGUGGAGCGGUGAGGAUGGUGAGUGCCGCGGCGGCAGCGGCGGCGGCGAGGAUGGGUGGCGGCGGGGAUGGAGGGCCGCCGCGCAAAUGCUCGAUCCCCUUUUUAACUGAAGGGCUUGAUCUAACUGUAAGAGAGAGAUCGAUCAGGUGGAAGGGUUAUGUACUAAAUAACAAAUCUGUUAGGGUCUUAUUUAAAAAUAAUACAUAAUAUUGAAGGCAUUUCUCUCCGGAACGCCGUCUAAAGUUAGUGGCGUUUUUUUGAAACGCCCUAAAAAACAUGAGAUAUUCUAGCGUUUUGCAAAAUGCCUUCUAUUGUUCCUUCUUUUGAGGCAUUUUUACCAAAACGCCUUCUAAGUAAUCAGUUUCGCAGGCGUUAUCUAACAAACGCCUUGUAAAUCAACUAUUGUAGGUGUUUUCAUUAGAAUGCCUGCGUGGAAGCGCCUUCAAUUCCCUUCCAUCCUGUAGUGUUAUGAGCUCACCACUUAUGACCAACAAGCCUAAUUAGAAGAUGUUAGGAAAAUUAAUCUCUCGGCUAAGGAAAUCGGGAGAAAAUCAUGCGUUACCGUUUUCCACCCGUUAACCAGCGUGAUUAGCUAAAUCAAAUCACGAUUAAAUUUCCUUAAUUGCACGCGCAAUAAUCGGUAGCGCUUCCAACGUUUCCUUUUGGAGCAGCCCCCGAUUCCCUCAGCGCAAAAUAAAAGGGGAGGCCGGCCUGUGAGAAAGAUGACGAUCUCACUCACGGUUCCAAUCUCCCCGACAUCCCAAAACCCUAAUCUCCCGAUUCUCAGUUGCGCUGGAAGGGAUUCGUAGUGCUGUUCCGGGAUAGUGUAGGUGGCGACCGGAAGGCCGCCGCCACCCCGCAGGUGAUCGCCGGCGACCUCUUUGGGAUCAAGCCGGUGUACUCACUGCUACGACCACUUCUCCUACACCGACAAUUCGCGAGGUGAUUCGAGGUUCUGCAUCCUCUACAUCCACCCCGGACCAAGCGAGAACAAUUGCAAUGGCUUCAAACAACAGUCAGUAAUCCUAAAUUCCGCAUUAGGGUGAUCAUGUUAGGCUUAGCACUUAUGUCUUAGUAGAUUGCAACAUCUACAGAAGAGUCAUGGAGAAAACUUUUAAUAAGCUAAUUACUAUAUCACCUCAUGUCACAUCACACAAGUACUCAUGCUUUUGCUUUAAUCUGUACUAUAGCUGUCAUCAUGCAGUAUAUAUAAUAUGAUGCUUUGCACCACACCAUAGCACAAGAACACAAGAUAUAUAUCUCAUCCAUCUCCAUCCGAUCGACGAUAGAGCAGCAGAGAGAGAGAGAUAUAUAUCACAUGGAUUCUGAUGGGAAGCUGCAGUACUGUAGUGCAGUGCAUCAAGUAGGUUAGCUAGCUUAGUGGUUGGAUGCAAAGAAAAGAAAGGAGAGAGCUUAGCACCAAAGAGGAGUGCUGCCUGUGGGAAGGCUUAUGGCGCCGGAUCAGGUGCUGCCGACCCAAACCUGGCAAAUCGACACUGACCACCCAUUGCACACCCUUUCUCACCCUCUCUACCUUCCCUGCACCUUCUCUCUCUCUCACACACACAACUUUAAUUCAUUGAGCAAGACAAUGGGGAAUUGAAUUAUAUGAUCAGUCAAAAAAAAUUCAGGCAUCUUUAUUUUUCUGAAAAGUGAGAUGAUAUGUGUUUCUCUCCUAGCUUUGUUCCCUGACAAGAAGUGAUCUGAAUAAGUGUGACCAGUCAUAUGCAAGUAUGCAACUACUGGUCAGAGUACAGAAUAAUUUGGGACAUUAACUAGAAACUAAUUAACAACAAAAAUACCCUUCUCUAAAAAAAGAAAAUAAAAAAAUUAACAAAGAAACUAAUGGAGUUAAUUGGAGUGCUAAAUAUAUGCUAACAUCAAAAUAUAUACAACGUGAUUGCAAGUUUGCAACCUUCCAGGUUAGGCUUUCAAGUAUUUAAUUUAUUUGGCACCAUGCAUUCAAUCUGAAAGCUGAAACAAGCAUGGAGAGAAAUGUUCUCCUCCCUGGCCACCAACAGCAACAAGAAUGGCAAGCAUGCAGCAGUACACACAGCUAGCAGUCAAUGCUGCUGGCUAUUGCAUUUGCAUCACAAGGGAGUAAGAGAGAGAGCAAGAGAGGCUAUAGCAAGUAGCAAUGGAGAUAGGGUUUGGGAUUGCAUAUAUUGCCAUGUCACUGCAGCCUCAUAUUAUCUGUGCUGUACUAGCUAUAUAUUACAGUGAGCUUUUGCAAGCUAGGAGAGGUUGGUGUGUUCUUCAUAUAUAUAUGCAUGUGAAUUGCCAAGCAAUUGGAACUAGCUAGCCAACUAGCAUCUAGUAGCUACCACUUGGUUUGCAUUGCAGAUGCAUGGCUAGGAAAUGAACUGCCACAUUACUAGACAAUGCAUGUAUUCAUGCAACAAAAAAGUACUUUUUAAUAAGAUAAUAAAUGGAUAUAUAUGAGUUGAAUACAAGUUACUCAGAAGCUGCAUAUACACUGUGUGUUAGAAAGAAUGCAACAGUGUGAUGCAGUGUAUGUAUGGUUUUCUGUGCAUGCAUAUAUAGGCAACAUAUGUAUCUUUCCUCUCCAUGUCAAGGAAAUUGAAACCAAGGAUAGACAAAAAAUACUUGGAAGGUUGUACUAUGCCAAUUUGAACCAGCUGUCGAUUUAUGUCAGGAUUAGCAAGUCAUCUUACUAUCUAAUUAGGGCAGCAAGUAUGUAUAUAUAUAUAUAUAUAUAUAUAUAUAUAUAAAAAGGCUGCUUAAUGUGUCCAUGCUAAUCAAGUUCUAGAAUUAGCACCUAUAUAACUAAUUCUUCCAAAAUUAAGCACACAACAUUUGCAAGAACUAGCUAGGCAUGCAUAUAUGAUAAUUAACCGGCAAGUUGACUUCAGUUAUUCUGCAGAUGUACUAAACACAUAACAAGGGAUGAUCAGUUGCUUAUUUUUUUCAUAACUUGCUAGGUUGCUUAUAACUCCAGCCUUCUGGACAUCGACCAAUCUCUAAACAUACUUUAGCAGUGCCUACAAAGUACAAACAACUAAAUACCUCUCUGCAGAUCAGUGUUUCUAGGCACAAAUUACACAAGAUAGAAAAAAGGAGAGGUUAUAAAUUCUUGCUUAAAGAAUAUACAUGUAAAGAUGUCUAAAUAGCUAUAAAUGGGUAAGCAAGAUAGCAAAGAAGGCCAGUGGCCUUUGCAGCUAAGCUAGCUAGCUAGCCCUUCUUCCUCUCUUUCCUGCUUUCCCUUUGCCUUCUCCUAUUAAUCCUCUGCACCUCACACAGCAGCAGAAAACCCACCAACUGGAGCUCUCCUUUCCUACUCCAAGAAACGAAGGUAGAGAAAGAAAGAUCAGAUCAGCUUCAGGACCAAUUUUAGCUAGGUUAUAUAUCUCUUUGCGUGCUAAUGUGUUUUAGUUAUCUGGGUGUGUGUAGAGUUCUUUGUUAAGGCACUGAUUCAGCUGCAGUUUAGAUUCAAGUUUGUAUGUUCUCUCUUUGAGGAAAAGAAACCCUUUUCCUGUGCUUCGAGUUCUUGCAAAGAGAAACUGUGAUGCUUGGCUUCCAGUUUGAUGCUUCUUUGUUCAGAUUGGAAAUUCUUCCUAGCUUCUUUCUCUAUUUAUGUAGCAAGGAUUCUUUCCGGCCCAGUGAUCCUGGUUUCUUUUGGAAGGUUUCAGUUUUUUCGUUCUUUCUUGAAAUUUCUCUUCUUGCCUUAGGCAGAUCUUUGAUCUUGUGAGGAGACAGGAGAAAAGGAAGAAGCUAGUUUCCUGCGGCCGACCUCUUGCUUCUCACUUUGUGAUGAGUUUUCUUUGGUCAAUUCUUAGCUAGAUAUGUUAAGAUAGUUAGUUAAGCAAAUCGAAAUUGCUAGCUUUUCCAUGCUUUCUUAAACAUGAUUCUUCAGAUUUGGUUGGUUCUUUUUUUUCCUUUUUGUGGAGACGUGCUGUUCUUGCAUCUUAUCCUUCUUGAUUCAUCUACCCAUCUGGUUCUUUGAGCUUUCUUUUUCGCUUCUUCCCUUCAUUAUUUCGAGCAAUCUCUGCACAUCUGAAAGUUUUGUUUCUUGAGACUACUUUUGCUAGAUCUUGUUUACUCGAUCACUCUAUACUUGCAUCUAGGCUCCUUUCUAAAUAGGCGAUGAUUGAGCUUUGCUUAUGUCAAAUGAUGGGAUAGAUAUUGUCCCAGUCUCCAAAUUUGAUCCAUAUCCGCCAAGUCUUUCAUCAUCUUUUUCUUUCUUUUUUAUGAGCAAAAAUCAUCUUUUUCUUUCAAAGUUCAGCUUUUUUCUCUUGUUUUACCCCUCUUUAGCUAUAGCUGGUUUCUUAUUCCUUUUGGAUUUACAUGUAUAAAACAUGCUUGAAUUUGUUAGAUCGAUCACUUUAUACACAUACUAUGUGAAUCACGAUCUCAGAUCUCUCAGUAUAGUUGAAUUCAUUAAUUUCUUAGAUCGAUCAGCGUGUGAUGUAGUACUGUAAAUCACUACUAGAUCUUUCAUCAGUCUCUUUUCUGCAUCUAUCAAUUUCUCAUGCAAGUUUUAGUUGUUUCUUUAAUCCGGUCUCUCUCUCUUUUUUAAUCAGCUGAGAGUUUGUGCUGUUCUUUAAUCAUUACCAGAUCUUUCAUCAGUACUCUCUCUUCUGCAUCUAUCAAACUUCUCAUGCAAUGUUUUUGCUGUUCUUUGAUCUGAUCUCUGGUCUCCUUUUUUGUUGAUCAGUUGAGAGCAAGAAGACAUGGGGAGGGGCAGGAUUGAGAUCAAGAGGAUCGAGAACACGACAAGCCGCCAGGUGACCUUCUGCAAGCGCCGCAACGGACUUCUCAAGAAGGCGUAUGAGCUCUCCGUCCUCUGCGAUGCCGAGGUGGCUCUCAUCGUCUUCUCCAGCCGUGGCCGCCUCUACGAGUACUCCAACAACAACAAGUAUGUACUUGCUGUAAAUAUAUUGGCUUAAUUUUGUACUCAGUUCUUGAAACUAACUUGCUGAUUGCUUUGUUUCCCUUCGUGUCAUUUCAUGCUCAGCGUGCUUGUUGUGUUGCUUUAUUUGUGGCUAAUAGUUUGUUAUUGAGUAAAAGUUUAGUUGUGGUUAAAACUGACUCUUGGUAAAUAUUUUAGAAUGAGUUUAAUAUUAUACACAUUCUUAGAUGAUAUGUGAAUUACUUAACUCAAGGUGUGAAAUGAUUUAGGAAAAAUGUUAGAGUUUAUCAUAAAAACUCAUCAAGAUGUAUAUGUUUGCUCAUCAGCUAGCUGUAAGAUUAAUGCUGAAAAUGUUGUCCUGUUUAGUUACUUGAAAAAGGACUAUUCUGUUCUAAUUUUCUUAGUCUUAUGGUCAGAAGGCUUUACUAAAGUCCAUUUAUAUAUCCUGCUUGCUAAAUUGAUUUUGCUGGAAAGAAUUAACCAUGUAUGCAUGGACUUUAAUUUCAUCUGUGCAUGUAACAAGACUUGCUUACUUUUUUCAGUUAUCAUCUACUCAGAUUACGAAAUAAAAUUGUAAGAUUUAUUUCAAACUAUAUGCAUGGUACUAUAUAUGGUGAUUUGUCAUGCAUGCAUGAUUAUAUUGUUUUUGUAUCUAAAUAAAGUUACUCUCUUAACCUCCAUGGAAAAUUCCUUAGCUAUUGCUCAUCAUUUUCAAAGUGAGAUGUGUGAAUUAGAUAUGUACACACAUAUUAAGGGGAGGCUAUUUGAAAGAUACAUUAGAAUCCCCUUCCAAUUCAUUCAUGCAUGCAGUCAAAUAAUUAUUUAAAGUUUGCAAAGUCUCAUUGUUUUUAUACAUGUCAAAUUCAUUUGCAAUCUCUCUCGAGUACAUGUACAUGAGUAUGCAUGCAUGCAAACUUUAAAUAAUAUAUAUCAGUGCUAUCAGUACUUGAGCAGCUAGCAAAGCCACUGCCAUCUUUUAUCAUAUUUUAUUCUCCACAGUUCACACAACACACAUCAUAUCAUGCACAGCAAGGAAGCUCAGUCUCCUGUCAAUGUUGUAUGUUCAGUAGAUAGUUCACCCUAGAAACUAGCUGUCAAGAGUUUCCUUUUCCUUGCUUCUCCAUACACCGAUACACAUAUAGACACCAUGGACAUGCAUGAGAAGAACUUGCACCAAGCUAGAAACUGCAGCAACGUCCUCCCAUAUUCGCUGUGUUUGCUCUUCUCCGGUGCAAAGUUGUGCAUCAGUUAAUAAGCCAAUGGCCAUCCAUCUGACCAUCUCUCUUUCUCUCUAGCUCGUGUAUACUCAUUUCAUUCCGUUCUUGUGUUCACUUCAACACAGUUCUUGCAGCUAGAGACAGCAUGCAUUCCAAUGGCUACCUUUCUUCUGCACAAUUUUAUGCUGAAGUAAUUAAACGCUUGCUCCUCACAUGCAUUAUUUCUGCAUUCAUGACAUGUAUAGUCAUGUGUGUUGCAUUUCUUCUCUUGUUGGCAUAUAUGAACACACUACAUUACCAUGCAUGCACAAUUAUCAGUAUUUAUGUUGUAGUGUUGAGAGAGUACCACUCGACUGAUGGGAUAUAUACUGCAGUGUGAAGGCUACAAUUGACAGGUACAAGAAGGCGCAUGCUUGUGGCUCAACUUCUGGUGCACCUCUCAUAGAGGUCAAUGCUCAGGUAACCCAUAUAUAUGUUGCUGCUUUGUUAAUUACCUUCUUCUAUUCAUUUUGCCUUAGUUUCAGUUAAAUUAAUUUGGUGACUAUUCUAAAACCAAGGCAUAUUCAUACAUAUAAAGUGAGAGCAUAUAGAUGCCUUGCAUUUUAAGUAUUUUAUAUACUUUUUGUGGUAGGUAAUUGACUGCUGCAUUAUAUUAAUUUGUUAGUUUCAUCAGGGUAUGGCUUGAUCUUUGUGCUUAUAUACAUUCAUGUGUUAUAGCUAUACAGCAUCAAUCUUUACGACAAGAUUGAAUUCAUAAUUAAUGUAGUAUGUGAACCACUUGGAGAUUGCCUAAUGCCUAGUCUGCAAUUCUGCACUGAAGUUCUCCAUAUAUUUGUCUUUCUCUGAGUUUAAGAGUAUACUUUUCUUAGAAACUGUAAGUGUACCCUUUUGUGGCUAGUGGCUUGCAAUUUAAAGUUAGUGACUGAAGAGAACAAACAAAAUUCACAAAAUAAACUUCAAUGUAAAAGCAUGAAUGCAGUCAUUCUGUUGCACUACAAUUAAGGUUACUGUUACUUUUUUUUUUUGCUGAUCAAUUAGAGCUACAUGAUAAACGUAAUUAAAUCUGAUCGAUCGUCUUGUUAAUUGUCUUGUCUGAAGCAAUACUACCAGCAGGAGUCUGCCAAACUGCGCCACCAGAUUCAGAUGCUGCAAAACACCAACAAGUAAGUGCCUAAUACUAAUACACAAUUUUUAUAUCUGCCAUUCAAGAAACACAUGUGUAUAUAUCGAUGAUAAUAUUGAAAAGAGAUUACUUUACAGAAUCAAUGUGAUGACCUGGAAAUACCUAUUUUCGUUUGGUUUGUUUUCCUAUGUGAAAGGCACCUGGUUGGCGAUAAUGUGAGCAACCUGUCACUGAAGGAGCUGAAGCAACUUGAAAGCCGCCUGGAGAAAGGCAUUUCAAAGAUCAGAGCCAGGAAGGUAAACAACUAUAUAUAAAAUACCAUUUUCACAUGAACAUUCAAUUACCAACCUCAUGGUGUCACCUUUAGAACAAAAUCUCAGUGCUGUUAGAUAUAUAUGAUCACCUUGAUUUACUUUGUUUGAACAAUUCUUCAGUUUCUGAUGCAAUGUUAACUUACUAAGUGGCCUUAAAAAUGUACAAAUUAACUGUUAAUCCUUAUUUGUUUAAUUUUAUCUCAGAAUGAACUGCUGGCUUCAGAGAUCAAUUACAUGGCCAAAAGGGUAUGUGUGUUACUAGAAUUGCAUCUUACAUACAAUUGUACAUACUGAUCAAUGAUUGCAAACUCCUUUCUUAAUCCUCUAUUCUUUUUACCUGAUUGCAUAAUUCUUGUUAGCAUUACUCAUUUGCAAUGUUCUUGUCAUGAUUUCAGGAGAUUGAGCUUCAGAACGACAACAUGGACCUCAGAACCAAGGUAAAUACAUAUCAGGUGACUGCAAGAAAUCAGAACCAACUUCCAAUUUCUUGUUUGCAAAUCAGAGAUUAAUUAGCUAGCUAUUUGUUUAAAUUAAUUUGAACAAAUAGCUAGCUAAUUAAUCUAUAAAGCUUGACGAAAAGAACAAUAUAUCUCUACAUCAACGACACAUCUAUCUCUACUAUACGUUGAUGAGAGAUCAUGUGCACACUUGCAGAUUGCUGAGGAGGAGCAGCAGCUGCAGCAGGUGACGGUGGCCCGGUCGGCCGCCAUGGAGCUGCAGGCUGCGGCGGCGGCGCAGCAGCAGCAGCAGAAUCCGUUCGCGGUGGCGGCGGCGCAGCUGGACAUGAAGUGCUUCUUCCCGUUGAACCUGUUCGAGGCGGCGGCGCAGGUGCAGGCCGUGGCGGCGCAGCGCCAGCAGAUCAUCCCCACCGAGCUCAACCUCGGCUACCACCACCACCUUGCCAUUCCCGGCGCCGCCGCCGCCGACGCGCCGCCUCCUCACUUCUGAACCUCAUGAACUUCAUUCUGCACCGGCCUGCUGCCAUGGAUAUGAUGAUCAGCUCAUCUUCUAUAUCUUAUGCUGUUAUGCAGACAGACACUACUGAUGUGGCUAUAUAUAUAGUAUUUGUGUGCUGCUGCAUUUUGUUAAUCCCUUAUAAAUUGCUACUUAAUUAUCUCAUGGAGAAUUGGAGAGACCAAAUGGGCAGAGCUAGCUAGUUAGCUGUGCCCAAUUAAGAAGCUAAAUCUAUCAGAAGUGUGUACUGAUGAGUGAUGAGUAUUUUUCUUCAUUUGGGAUCAAAUUAAACUAAGUAAAACAUAUAUAUUUGACUUAUGUUUUACGUGCAUGCAUGCAUGCUUAAUUGUGUCACCUUUGGGGAUUCAUUUUGUACAUAUGUGCACCAUUUUGUGUGUACAAUGCAGGUUUAUAUGACUUUUUUCGCAAUUACACGAUGGCCCAUGCACAUAACCACCAUGCACACUGCACGUACAUCCACAAGUGUGCCCCUUUAACACAAGGCAAUACACCAAAUAAAUUGUAAUGUGCCACUAAACUUUUUUGAAAGUGUAACCGCGCGUAUGCUUCCGUGGCUUAUAUAUGACUCUGGUGGCUGACUUCUAGGGCAUGUCGACCUGAGCAUCUUCGUGUGGGUUUCGACUCUCUAAUUCUCCUGGUCUCUGGCAGUUGUGGAAGGGGCGAAACUCCAGGGUUUUUGAUUACUCUCUUUCCUCACUCUCAAGGGUUCUGAAAGUCAUCCUACAGGAAGACCGUUUGUGGUCUUCUGCUGGCGUCGCUGUUUUUAGGGGUUUAUUAGGAGUGUAGUGGAGCUUCGCCACCACCCUCCAUCUAUUUAGGAGCAACAUUUUUUUGGUAGUUUUUUACUUUAGCAGUCUUUUUGUUUCUUUCUUUGUUCCCUUAUCCACAUGCAAUGGUCGUCUGACUGGUUACGUUGUGUAACAAAAACUCUGCUUUUUUCUAAUAUACUGACGUGCAAUCCUUUGGUGCGUUCGCGAAAAGAAAGGGGGAUCAAUUGCAAGUAUUUUGUGGGAAUUAAACUUUUCUUGUGAAAUUAUUGUAAAAUUCCAGCAUUCUAAAUGAGCUCUAAUGUGUGAUAAUUUGCAUUCUCUAUAUAUAUUGAAUAAUUCUUUUGUUGACUAGUUGGGUGCCCGUGCGUUGCAACGGGAAAAAGAAUAUGCCUCAAUUUCAAAUCACACCAGGUGAAAUAAUCACUCGGUGUAAAUUUGUCCCCAAAGAACAUGAUAUAAAUAAUGUUCUACUAUAUAAUAAUACUACUAAGGGUACACGGCAUCAAUGUUAGCAAAUUAAAUGUUUGAAAAUAAAAAGGCCUAAUGCCUGUCAUUUCAUCAAUGAGCAAGCAUAAAAGAAAAGCUGAUCAAUCCCUUUAUGCAAGACCCAUGUAGCUUCAUUGAGUGACGUCAACAUUACCCCAUUACGAGUCCUGUUAACAGAGUUCUCCAUUAUAUUUUGAACAAAGUUAAGGCAAAAGCCUCUGAAAAUUUAGUAACUAAUGUGUAUUCCCUCCAUACUCACAAAGGAAGUCGUUUAGGACAGUGACACGGUCUCCAAAACAUAACUUUGACUUCUUGUUUCUAUAAAAAUAUUUAUUGAAAAGUGAUAUAUAUAUAUAUAUAUAUAUAUAUAUAUAUAUAUAUAUAUAUAUAUAUAUAUAUAUAUAUAUACACACACACACACACACACACACUUUUAUGAAAGUAUUUUCCAAGACAAAUCUAUUCAUAUAAUUUUUUUAUUUUCAAAUUCAACAACUUAAGAGUUAUUUAUGAUUUAUAUUCCUAAAGUUUGACUUAAACAUUGUCCUAAACGACUUCCUUUAUAAGUACGGAGGGAGUAUCAUUACAGUCUAUAGCGGUGGGUACCUUCAUUUAGCGAGGUUAACUUCGUUCGCUCAAUCAUGCCAAAAUCAAUAGAAGAUGAGGCUUGCUGAAAGCUGGAGAACGCCUUCUGAAUCAAGAAGAAACAAUACUGUCUAUUCCCUGAUUUUCGCAUCACUAUCGGUAAUAUCAUAAGUUAUGUGGUAUUGUCUAGUUGUUGGGCACAUCCAUUUUAUCUUGUUUGUUCUAACAGGAUCAAUAGUAUGACCAUGGCACCUGCACAACCGUUUAUUAAGCUACAAACUGCUUAAAAGACAACCUGCAGUCAAGAACUUCAUCAAUUUCAGACAACUAUCUUUAACUGCAGAACUGACCCAAUGGCAUGAUGUUUGUCCUUCGAAGCUCAUUUGUGUUAUUCACACGGGAUGACUAUAUUUCCCAGGUUUACAUCUCAGCCAGUUCUCAAAGUUGCGCAGAAUAAAUGAUGUCUCACCCAAUUUCUCUAUUAUCCACUCGUUUUCUUCAAAAGUAGCAAAGCUUUCCAUCUACCUCAAGAAGCACUCCCCCAGUUAAUUACAGUUAUUAUGCACGUGUAAAACAAUUAGCAAUCCAUCAUAAGCAUGCACACAAGCAUUAUCCAUAGAAUAAUAGAAAACUAUUAAAAAGUAUUCAGUGGCUGAAAAAAAUGAAAAAGAUACUGAUUUAAUCAUUUGAGCUCACAGCCAAAGUUCAGACAAGAUAAAAAAUGGAGCUAUCUCAGAAUCAUUCCAAAGCUCGCUAUCUCCUAUUCAGAGUUGAUGGUUUUCCAUAUCCAACUUGUUAUGAGAAAUGUGAGAAAAUAAAGCUCUGUUGAGCUGUAUUUUAUAGUCAACGGUAGUGCAGAACCAAAUGUUCCAAGCAAAUGCACAGAAGAUGGCUAGAAGGGAUGACAUCGAUGCAAACUUCUGAUGAGCUGAAACUAUUUCCUGAAUUUGUUGAACAAGAAACUAACCCAUGUAGAUAGUCAGAACUCUUCAUCAUCAACAAUCAAAAUCAAUAAUUGCUAGUUCCCAAAAACCUCAUGCCCUGCCUGUUCUAGGAUUGGCAAUAUCGACGCCCACGGGUGCCGUUUCCUCCCUGGAGGUGUUGCCUUGUGGACUCCCUCCCCCCUGGGUGAAAACCAGCCCAGUUUUUGGACGGACGUCGACAGCGGCUUAUGUCGUUAUUCACCUCCUUGGAGAUUUCAUCUUACGGUCUUGCUCAUCCCUCGGCCUCCGACAGUUCGUAGUUGUCUUGUCUCAGGCUUUUUGUGUCUUCUGUGUAAGGUUUUCGCCGGUUUCACUUUAGCAAACCGGGCAGUUGUAUGUUUUUUGGGCCCGGUUUUCCUUAUAAACAGGGUGAACUCUAUUCGUCUAAUAUAUUCGGCAAUGCUCUUGCCACUUCAACUCAAAAAAAAAACUCAUGGCCGUUUUGAAUCUAUCGAGCAGUACUCAUCAAAAAUCAAAAUAUGUGCAGUCAAAUUUAGAAUUACAAGGAAACAUAUGUUUUCAAUUUUGCUUUAGAUGAAAAAAAAUGUAAGUAAUAAAAUUAGUGGACUACUUGGAGAUUUUUGAAAUUACCAUUGGCGUAUUCAAAGGCAAUUGGAGACCGCUGAAGUGACCAGCCGCUGCCAGGUUGUGGCCUCUGCUUCUGCUAAGUAACGGAGUUUCUUCAGAAGUGACGGAUCAAUUCUGCGCUCAUUCCAAAAUACUGGCAUUGGUUAUAUUCUGCAUAAAAUUUCAGAACAAACUGAAAGAUUGAUUUCAAAUACUACAGACUGAGGAUGGUUAGUAUAAAAAUUUCAGAACAAACUGAAAGAUUGAUUUCAAAUACUACAGACUGAGGAUGGUUAGUAUAAAAAUUUCAGAACAUGAACCAGUUGCUAAUCCACGGCUGAAAGCCAACCAGCAAAGUGAGGGUUCACCCUGGAGGAAAGCAGCUGUGAAUCAUUAGUUACCGUGGUACACCCUCAAAACUGAGUAUAACAUAUUCCCACGCUACAAACUGGUAUAGUUCAGAUAGAUUAUUUUCCUGUGCUCUUUCCCAUACUAUUUUCAUAAGAUAAGAUGCGUAGAUUAUUUUCAAUUUUCUUGAGUCUGAAAUCAUUCAUUCAGUUAAUUAGGCCAUGACUUGACUCGGGUUACUAACAGGUCAAAGCCCCCUGAAUAAAUGACCAUUCUAAUUCUAAAUAACACAAUGGAUCUAAACCUAGGGAACUGAUCACAGAUGAACGCCAAUAAUCAUAUAUGUAUGUACUCCAAUAAGCAGGAAUAUAGGAUCACUGAUGCACUGCAAACUAAUUUUUCUUAUAAAACCAAAUACAUUUAUUUGUUCCGAGGAUGUAUAUUGUACCUGCUUGGAAUGGACUCUAUAAACUGAGGAAUGAGACGAGGGCAUGGCCUGACGAGGCUUCGCUUGAUCCCGCAGCAAUUCCAACCUCGACAAAUGAUCUGAAAUUGAGCAAUGAAAUGAAACCUGAGUAUUUGUUGUAGCUGGAAACAUUUUAACUGGUAAGAAAAAAAGACUGCUUCAUGAGAAAAUUGACCAUUGGUUGCUUAGACAAGUUCCCUACCGAGUUCAUGGAUGAACUAACCGACAACCAAAGCAAGUGGCACAAAAUAUCCUUAUAGAGAAAAAAAAAAUCUAAUUCACCUAUGCAUUUAUUUGCUUCAAUAUUAAUGCUAAAACCGAUCCAUCCAGCGACAAUUUUUGACAAACUGAUGAACUGAUUUUUUUUUGAAUUGAGACUGUUUGAGAUAAAAAUUCAUUUGAGAAGGAGUAUUAAUUAGCAUGACCCUGACCUGUUACUCUGACGGUAGAAACCAUUUUCUUGAGGGUGCAGGUAUCUAUCAGUUCAGAACUGCUAUUACACGCCAUGGGAUCAUACUAACAAUGCUUACUUAUAAUUGCAGCAAAAUCAAGAAAAUAAGGGGAAAAAAAUUAAUUCUGCAUGUCUGAUGCUUCACAAGUUCGAUCAUAUUGUCCAUAUGGAAUAUAUGCCCAGGAGUGAUAUGAUAUUUCUUCAGAUGUAACAAUCUACUUGUUCUGAAGCUAUUAUUUGUGGGGGUUAUGUGGGUGAUCGCUUACCUUAAUGGACACAUCAUGCCCAACUAAAUCCAUAUUUGGGUUUUCAAUUCUUGUUGAGAACACAGUACGUACUUGCACUGAUUUAAAGAUAACCCUGUCUCAAGAGAGAGGAGAUCCAGCAACAGUGUUAUGCAACAGUGUCAUUCAGUCUCUACACAAGCAGCUGUCCUAGUGUUCUCAUUUGUCCAUUUAGCAUAAUUUGUACAAACAUGGCAGGCAAAGACAAAAUCCCCGAUCUCUAAUUCCCAUGUUUGAAAUUUAACACGCCUAAAAGGACAAAAUCCCCGAUCUGAAAACAUGUAGAUGGAUUUGUAGAAAGAGAUGGGGAAAUUUUAGGGUUUGGGGGGAAGAUAACAUGCAGCCGGUUGGGUUCGUCAUGUGGCGUCGUCAGCUGCACUCACCCUCAGUCGCCAUGCGCCACCGUGCUCGCCCUCAGCCCUCUUGAGUUGGAGGGCACCUGCAAGGCGGGAGAAGAGGCUGCGGAGAUAGGGGGCCGGACGGAGGAGGCGGACUACUCACAGAAUGGGGUGGCGCCGAGGAGAUUGGCUUCCGGCGGCGCGCGUGAAGGCGGUCGAGGCGGGAGAAGAGGCGGCGGAGAUCGGGGGCGGGGCGUGCGUGGAGGCGGUCGACGAGCCGGAGAUUGGGUCGUAGUGUGCCUUCAUCAGCUGCCAGCCUGCCCUCACCCUCAGCCGCCAUGCGCCGGCGAGGCGGGAGAAGAGGAGGCGAAGAUUUGGUGCGGGGCGGAGGAGGCGGACGCGAAGGAAACAGAGAUGGGAGACGGCGUUGAGAGGGAGAGAAAAUCGGGGGAAAGGGGUGUGUGUGCGCGCCGCGUGCGAUCGACGAUGCGUGGGGCGCGUGCGGAAGAUUGAAUUGUGAUCUGAUCUGUUGGAUUCAAGACCACGAGGAGGCGACGCAGGGAGGAGGGCGAAGGACGCGGCGUGGGGAAAGGAGUGGGCGUGGCGCGUGAUGAGGAGAGGAGCGAUGGGAGGAGAUUUGACGCCAUUGGAUAUGAAAAUCGGAUGGUUGAGAUUAGACGUGUUUGUUAGAUGCGUCUGCUAUGUCAGGAAUCAAGACCACCACUACAGAUUUUUUAAGUAGUAGAGAUUAUUACUUCAGGUAAAGUACGAAGGAACAAAGGUAUUUACCUCAUGAUGAAAAAUAGAAGUGAUUUAUAGUCAUAAAAACAAGCCCUUAAAAAGGGAAGAUGCUCUGUUUAAUUUAGUUUUCUGGCUAUUUAAUUAUAAGAAUAAAUUCAAUAUUUUUUUAAAAUAAACUUAACAAAUAAUUUGAAAUAAGUGGUCUAAUAAAUAAUGUUAGUACAAAAAUUACUUUUAGAAAAUAGAACAUAUAUUUUUUUUAAAAUAAUUUGACGAAUAAAAUGAAAAGCUCAGAUUUUGCAUGCUAAGUCGCCAACAAGAUUAUGUGGCCUGGAGAAGACUUAUGAGAGUUGCGUAAUGUUGUUUUUGGCAUACAAACUAUUUAUUUGUAAUAAUGGCUUUUAUUUUGAAAUUUCGAUACCUCCUCUUUUACAUUCCAAAAAAGAUGGAAGGAAAAUAUUGAACUAUGUGUUAUUACUACUUGCAACAGUUUAUUAGCUACACCAGUCACUAAACAUUUCAACUUGAAAAAUGUUUUCAAGACCUCAUAUAUCUCCAUUAAUGAUUUUCCCAAAUCAUAGCCAUUUUUGCAGCGCAGCCUCUUCAUAUUUUUUUUCCCGAAAUUCCAGUUAAUUGGGUUGGUUCAUGGCUUUUAAUUUCGACUGGAGCCGGAGCCGAAGCCGGAGCCGCUGUUCCCAAACGUCUCGGCUCCACCGCCCAGCUCCGCAGAAGCCACGCGGAAGCCGGAGCCCAUUUGUGCCCCAGCUUCUCCUGCUCCAGGAGCCCAAUUCGGCUCAGCUCCACCACCGCUCCUCCCGACCUAGCGCCGCCGCCGCCGCCGCCGCCCUGCACCGUCUCCCCGCCGGCCGCCUCCACCCGCACCGCGCGGUGCCCCCCUCAUCACCAAGAACGGAAGGUAUCCAUCCAUCCAUCCAUCUAUUAUUCGUCCCGCACAUGAAUUCCCCCCUUUAUUUUCUGAGAGGCACACCCUAAAUUUCCAGCAGCAGGAACAAAAUUAUCAUACUUGAUUUCUUGCAAAGAAAGAAUGAUGGAUUAAUUCGUCUUUGUGCUUGAUGCUUCUUGCUUGUAGUGGUGGUAGCUAGUAGGCUAGAAUUGUUGUUUGAGUUUCGUGCCAUCAUCAUGUUUAGGGGGUGUGUGUGUAGCAGAUUGAAGUGGUUCUUGGUUCCUGUUCCCAACAGGUCCAAGUGAUGAGCCUACUAAAGGGGAGCAUUUCAGAAUUUCCUUUUGGAUUUUUGUUUCACUUGUUACUUUUCUCAUGUGUAUGGUUUUGCUUACUUAUAUGCUGCUUUGCGCGAUUAUUGUGCAUUUGAAUGGAGGUUUACCUUUGGACUUGAUAGAGAUCGGAUUAUGGUAUCAAAAGAAAUGAAGUUCUAGUUAUUGUUCUCAAUUGAUCUGAACAGGACAUAUCACAAUUUUUUUAGUUACAGUUGUUUGAUUCUUCUUUCCUUUGGUUUCAAGAGUGUACAUGUUUGAAAACAUAGCCUAGAAAGACCUUCCAUCUCUGCAACCUUUCUUGUUUUCGUAGUUCAGGGUGAAACCUGAAAUAUCUUUGUAUGGUAGUGUUGUCUUGGGACAAUCUUUUGAGAGUAUAUGACCAUCAGUUCAUGGAUUUAAUCUCUGUUUUGGUGUCGAGUUCCACCACUUCUUGCUUAUACACAAAUAGUUCAUCAUGACUGUAUGAUGCUAAAUUGCAGACUCUAAUCUAUUUUAUUAGUGCAGAUGACAGAAGCUGCUGAGUGGAAUGAUGAGAACACUAAAAUUAUCUGUGAACUUUAUGCUGAACAAGUUCGGGCUGGAAAUCGACCAAGUACUCAUCUCAACAGCAUUGGAUACAGCCAAGUUGCAUUGAAGUUUCAGCAGAGAACUCAUUUGCUUUACACCAAGAGACAACUUAAAAACAAAUGGGAUAAACUUAGGAAUGAGUACACCAUCUGGAAGAAAUUGCUUAUAAGAGGGUCAGGUUUAGGUUGGGACAGUACAAAAGGAACAAUUGCAGCUGACGAAAACUGGUGGAACAAGACAAAUACAGUAUGCAAUAGUUGCGCUUUCUCGAUAUCUUCUUACCAUGUGAACUAUGCUAUCAGUUGAUACCUUUUUUUUUACAGGAGUUGCCAGGUGCAAAAAAAUUCCGCAAAGCUGGAAUGAAAAAUCUGGAUCAUUUGAGAGUGAUGUUUGAUGAUAUUGCCAGUAACGGUGUGGAUCAUACACCGGUGCCAGCAACAAGUUCGCCAUCUACUCUGGAAAGUCCUGUAAAUGUUGCUAAUCUUGACGGACUAGACAAUGACAUGGAAGAUAAUGAUGACACUCAGCUGGAAGAGGAGUCUCCCUUGAAUCGGAACAAGAAAAGACCUCGCCAUGCUAAUAAUGCUAACAAGAACAAGAGUAGUAGGACUGAAAUUGCUUUGCUCAUGCAAGCUCAAUUGAAGGGUAUGGCAGAUUUGGCCGAGAAAGCACAGGCCACUUUUGAGAAUUUCACCUCCCUUGUUGGCUCUCUAGGAUCCAGCAUUCAGUAUGUUAUGACAUUGGUUCAAGAAUGUGGAGCACGGAGUGGAAGCGACGAGCAUUUCAUUGCAACUGAGUUGUUUGUCAGUAGAGAACAAAGAGAAAUGUUCUUGACUCUGAGUACCGCUGAGGAGCGUCUAGAAUGGCUUAGAAGAAAGUAUAAAGCUAAGUAUGGUGCUUAAGAAAUAUGAUCGCGGAGCUUCCUGACAUCGUUUCACUUGGCUCUUGUUGCCUUAGGUAUUCAAGACUAUUUUUCUUUUCUUUUGUAUCGGAUGCUAGCAUGUAUUAGAUCCUGACAAGUGUGAUCGUCAACCUGUGGGUGUAAAGGCUGAUCUAUGAAUGUACAAUCAUCGUUUAGCAUUAGCUGUUUAUUUCUUGCUCAUUUUGAAUUUAAUGCUGUCAAAUGUGAGAUCAUAUAUGCUUCUGACGAAGGGAUUCCUAACCAGUUUGAGACUGUAAUCACAUCCAUUUUUUGUCCCAAAUUUCUUUCAGAUUUUCUGGAAUCUUUCAGCUUCAAACAAAAUUCAGUAGCAAAUAUGAUUCAGAAGAGCAUGGGUACCAGGUUCACUGUAGGAAAACCUGUUACAGGUGGCAACAAGGCUGAUCGGAAUUCAUAACCCUGAAUCAAACCUGUCUGAAGAAACUCAUUUGAUUUUUCUCCUCCAAUUUCUUGUUAUAUUUGAAGCACUAGCAACUGCAAUAGCAAAUCUGAUGAUGCUGAAAGACAUUAACAAGUAAUAUCGUUUCAUUCCGGAUAUAUUCCGGUUGUUGCAAAUCCCUGUAUAGUACUGAAACUAGCUUCUUAACUGACUGAAAGUUGUGCUCGUUCAUUUCAUUUGUUUCUUCUUUAAAGGUACUUGAUGAGUAAUAUGUGAGCAGCCUGUAAUGGCUGGCUUGUUCUCAAUUGCAAUGUUCUGAAUGUGAUAUGUGCUUCUCAUACAAAGAUAACGUGUUUUGCAACAAAAAAAAUAUUGCAAAGGUGAUAGUUGUUCUUUUUCUGAUUUUUUUUACAGUAUGAUACAUAAAUGGAAAUUUUGUUAACUUCAUCAAAUAUUUCCAAUAAACAGAAAUCCAAUGAACUGUCAGAGGUAGGUGAGAGGGACUUUCAGAUAACGUAUUCGAUAUUCUUGCAGAACACAAGGGCCAUUCGCAAGCUAGGACACUUGAAUUCCGGAGAGGGUUUGAAAAUUGAAACCGAAUGUCCCUAAUGUCAAAACAGAAGAACUUUGGAGGUGGUAUAUGGACAUAUGGUAUUUCGCUUUUUCCAAAAGAAAAAAAAUGUGCAACUUAGCUCACCGAGCAAGCACAACUAGAACAGAAUGGAAGUGGACCCUUUUCCUCUCCAAUAUUGCAGGUGCAGUAGAAAGUGACUGAUAUUUGGGCCUGGACCCUAAUGUCAGUGUCUAGUGUCUUACUACAAACAAUCCCCGUCCAAACAAAAAUGACUUAAAGUUUAUUUUACGAUUUAGUGUAAAUGUAUACCUAAUUUAUCUUUGUUUUGCCCAUACUAUAUUUCUCAUGGUCAAUAAAUGGGACGGUGAUGUAGCAAGGCGUAGAAGAUGGGCCUAAUUUUUAAGUUAGUAAUCAAAUGGCCAAAGCGAACUUUUAUCAAACAUUAUGACCAUGAAAAUCAAAGUUGGACAAAAAAAAUUUCACCGGACCAUGAAAACCAAAGUUAGAACCCAUGCACAUUAAAAAAUAAUAUGAUGCUAUGUUAUUUUUUAUCUCUAUGUUUGAGCAUCUCCAAGAGUGUUCUAUACACACUAGAGUGUUCUAUACACACUGGUAGAGAAGUGGUUUUUACUCCCGAUUCGUAACCCCUAUAUAGUCCCGGUUUUUCAACCGGGACUACGAAUCCGGGACUAAAGAUCGCUAUCUUUAGUCCCGGGUGAAAUAACCAGGAGUAAAAAUCCAUUUUUAGUCCUGGUUGGUUAGUGUUACCAACCGGGACUAAAGAGGCUAGAUCCGGUUGCUUCUUUAUUCUUUUCUUUUCUUCAUUGUUUUUAAUAUAUUGAUUUCACCCCAUCCCGUCCCUAAAAUCCCAAAUCAAUCAUCCUCAAAUUGCCUCCAAAUCCACAAAUCGAUCAUCUCAAAUACAUCACAAAAUCUUAAAAAAAAAUUACAUCACAACUUCUACAAAAUUCAUCACAUAUUCACAUCACACACAAAUCAAAUACAUCACACACCAAUCUCAGAUCCAAAUCACAAGUUCUCCCAAAAAAAGAAAGAAAAAAACCGCCGGCGCAGGCCGCUGCCUCGCCGCGUUGGCCGGCCGGCCGCUAGGCCAGCCCUCCGCGCCCCGCCGCUGCAGUAGAGAGGAGAAGGAGAGGAAUAGAUAAGGUUGAGGAGAGGAGUUAAAGGAGAGGAGGAGAUACCUCGAUCUGAUCGUGCACGCCUCUCCGAUCUCCGCGUCGAUCUUUUUUCCUACAAAUAGAUCUUUUUUCGGUUGGUGUUAUCAACCGGGACUACAAAUAGAUCUUUAGUCCCGGUUGGUAACACCAACCGGUACUAAAGAUUGAAAAGUAUCCUGGAGCUUUUAAACCGGGAUUAAAGAUGUUUUUAGUCCUGGUUUUUAAUACAACCGGGACUAUUGUGAAAUCUGGUCGACUGACCAAAGAUAGUUUCUUUACCAGUGACAUGUUCUCUAAAGCUAAAUUCUAGGAAUUAAGGGUGGUUGGGAUGACUCCGCCUCUACCUCCACCUUUGCUGGAGUUGGAGUUUACCAAAUAGUUUUAGUUUUAUCUAAAAUGGGAGUAGAGCUGGGUGGAGUGAUCUCACAAAAUAAAUUAGAGGUGUAGCUGAGUUUAUACUUUUCCACAACUCCACUUCAAACCCAACUCCUGAAGUUAAAUUUAUGAGUUGGAGCUCUACCAAACAGGGCAUAAGUAAAAACCACGUCCUCAAAAUCCAAAUGCACUUCCAAUUUUAUUUCAAAUGGUGCAAGUCACAAUGUUCAGUUUUUGGCUCCAACAAUAGUGUUGGUUUGAUUUUUAUAUCACUAGAGAUGAACUAAUUGAUUGAUGGGUAGUAAGGAAACCUUUUGAAUGAGUGGUAUAAGUCAAAACUAUUGGUUGGUUAUGCAUCAUACUCUACACCAAUUCUAAACACCGUAAAUAUAAUCUAAUAGACUUGUAUAAAUUUUAAGUCAAAUCAACCAGAAAAUUCAUAAUUUGAAAAUAAUAUAACAAACUAAACCUCACACAAGUACAAGUUAACAAGUACUAGAUAUUUAAUGAAAGAAAAUUAAUUAUCUACUUCAUUCGCUCGGAUACUCAAGACUUGGUAACCUAGCACCUAAUGACGAACUUAUAUGCCUACUUUGUGAUCUAUCUCAUGCUACAUGCUACUGGAUGGGUCAUUUUGGAUAAAAAUAAACGAUAGUUUCGAGUCAACAUGGACUACCCUCUAACUACGCCACUGCUAAUAUAAGACACUUAACAAAAAUAACCAAUACUUUUUUUUCAUACACCCUUUUUACACUUUGCUUAGUAUUUUAGGGAUUCCACAGUUUAGAUACAUUAUUUUUUUUUUAAUUUUACAUUUGCGAUGCUCCAAAGAAAACUAUAAGGUUUUUUAUUAUACCAUAUUCUUAUGGAUUAUCAAUUUGGUCAAAAAUAUAGAAGAGAUGGCUGACACAAGGGAGACAUUUCAGCAGGUGUAAACCCAACCAGGCGACCAACCUUCCAAAACCAAGAGAAAAUCGAAAAGAAAAAAAGAACGCAUCUUUCCUGCCUUUCCUCCUCCCAAAGCUCCAAAUCGCGCCCCGCCCCCCAAAUCCACGAGCACCAGCGAUCGCCGUCAUCCUCCGCCAUGGUAAAGAUCCCGCAUUCAGCCUCUUCUGUUCCCCCCCUCUCCGCGAUCUGAAACCGUACCUGUUCUUCCCGGAAUGGGCUGCAGAUCCGGUUCAUCCUGCUGCAGAAUCGGCAGGGGAAGACGCGGCUGGCCAAGUACUACGUCCCGCUCGAGGACUCGGAGAAGCACAAGGUCGAGUACGAGGUGAGGGGGAUCCAGCAAAGGAGAUUCCAUCUUGGCGCUGGUUCGAUUUGUGGGUGUUCAUCUGGGUCUUUUCUUGGUCGCAGGUGCAUCGGCUGGUGGUCAACCGGGAUCCCAAGUUCACCAACUUCGUUGAGGUGAGUUCUUGAUCUUUUAUUUUGGGGGGAGUUAUGCGAUUCUUAGGCGAUUCAUGGUAGAAGAAAACCAAGAGCUGCGUAAAGGUCUUUGCUUUUGCUCUCUUGUGGGUAAUCUCAGAUCGAGCAUGUUCUUGGCCUGGACUGCUCGUAGGAUUGAAUGAACUCGGUCGAUUUAGAAUUGUAGAUACUGUUGGAUUUAGGUGGUUCCUGCAUAGCAUGGCACCUAGAAAGGUUGUGAUUUUGGCUCGGCUGGUGCUUUCAGUUAUAUACAGGGAAUUAUGCUUCUGGUUAUAUGCGAUGAAGCAAGAAUCUGAAGAUUGAGUGUUUUUGUUAUUCAACAAUAGUAACUUGUUAUCUGUACUUCGCAUAGUGUGUUGAAAACGAAAUCAUUAAUCUUGUUCAGUGCCUUAGCUCUGCUAGUAAUAGGGUUGUAAAGUUCAUAAAGUGGCAUGAGAUUUUAAAUAGUAGUCUGCUGAGAAAUCUACCAAGUCAGGCUAAUGGGCUCUUAAUCUAUGUUUAUUAUAUGCCUUUCUUUUGGUGAACUCAGUAUUAUUUUCCCUGUGCUGCAAUGCAUUCGUUCCUUGUUUAGUUCAGUAAUUGAGGUGCAUGGAUAGCAAUUGGAUCCUUGUUUAGUUCAGAGUGAAUCCCUAAAGAAAAUGUCUGCAGUGGUAGAUAAUUUUGACCCUGGAAUUUUUUUAAAAAAAGAUUCUGUGCUCUGCUAGCUGAUUUGAAGUAUUGACAUGGCAAAUAAUUUAUCCAUAGAAUAGAUAUCUUGAAACUUUAGUAUCAUUGAUGGAUAAUUUUCUUACUAAUUUGGAAUUUUGUUACUUAGCAUGCUUACUUUAUGGGGGCUGGAUUGAUCUUGAGUCUUGACCGCAAGCUGCUCUCUGUACAGUUAGUGAUCUUACUACAUGACUAAUCUAGAAAUCCUAAGCCUAUGAAACAUAGUAUCUUGAGAUUCUAAACCUAUCUUCAUGUAAUAUGCCGUUAAUAGACGACAUCACAAAAAAAAAAACUUUCAUCUUUUUGUUUGUUGGUAGCUGGUUCUGCAGUUUUUAGACCAUACUACAUGUUGGGAGUAUCAUCAAGUUUCAAAAUGUUACUUCUGACAGCAGUCUUUGGUAUAUGGGAAUCAGUAUAUUCACUUUCUUUGUGAUAAUUUUCAUGCAGUUCCGGACGCAUAAAGUUAUAUACAGGCGAUAUGCAGGACUGUUUUUCUCAAUGUGUGUGGAUAUCACUGACAAUGAGUUGGCAUACUUGGAAUGCAUCCACUUGUUUGUCGAGAUAUUAGAUCAUUUCUUCAGCAAUGUGUGUGAACUCGACUUAGUAUUUAAUUUCCACAAGGUAACAGCUAUUUCUCAACAGGCUAUUCCUGUAUCAGUAUGACAAUUAUGAUACUCAUGAUCCAAUUGCACUCCUUUCUCAUGUUUAAGCAGAAGUGAAAUUUUAUUGGCCAAUGCUUUUCUUACGUAUUUUUCCUUGCACUGGAAAAGUUUGAACAUGAUGCAGAAUCGUGCAACUUUAUACAACACUUCUAUAUUAUGCUGUUAGAGUUAGAGCUGUUAACUUCUUCUGGCGUUCUUUUUCUUCUUUUUUUUUUCAUUUGAUCGAGAACCAUCCUUCAUGGGAUGAGUCAUUAUACAGCUCAGAACAGUGGCAUGGUACUCCUGAAAACAUAACAUUACUGGCCUAAUCUGAGCAAAAUUACUUUGUUUCCUUUUAGUUAUUUCUGAUAUUAAGUUGAUCGUAUUUUCUUGCAUAUCACUCGAUACUUGGGUCAAUGAGAUAAGUGUUGCUGUUAUGCAAAGGAUAUUGUAUUUUAAAGUUUCAGCUAUAGUUAUACACUGAUAAACAUUGUAAUAUAAUAUGAUACCGUGUCGUGGUCCCAUAUGUAUUUUCUAUUCUUUCCCAAUAGGGUCAAUAAUCAAAUUUUAUUUGCAUUAGACAAUAAUUUACCUCAUGUCCCAAUCUGACAAUUAUUCACUCCAAAGCAUUAACUGAAUUUGGAAUGUAUAAUAUUGUAAUUCUGAUCUUAACUAUUAUCUUGACCAAAUCCUACCAAUAAUUCUGAUCUUAACUACUAUCUUGACCAAAUCCAACCAAUUAUACUUCUUGUUUUUCUAAAUGAUUUUGCCACAUCUUAUAAGUUUUGAAUAAAGGCCAUGGGCAGAAGUAAUCUGUGAAUUUUGUUUCUUAUUGUUAUGCUAUGUUCUGUAGGUUUAUUUGAUAUUGGAUGAGUUUAUUCUCGCUGGAGAACUUCAAGAGACAAGCAAAAGGGUACAUCUUUUUUCUAUCAUAAUACAUACAUCUGUCAACCAUGUGUCCUGUUCUGUCUGUUAUAACAUUGGUGCAAGUUUACAUUUGUUCCCAGCAAUCCAGCAUGUAGUGUAACAUAAUGACGUUGUAAAUUAUACAUUUUAUGCAUUAUAUUAAUGGUACAAUAAAAACUUUUCUGCACCUACUCAUGCUAGGAUGAUAAACACAUCUUGCCCUCACUCCAGUGUGGAGCUUAGUUUCAAAUAUGGCAUUUCAUGGUUGCAAUUUUCACAGAAUCAAGAUACCAACUGAACUGCUGUAGCAGCCUAAAUGCAACUAACUGCCUAUUUGUUUUGGUGGAAAUGGAAUUUAAAACAUAAUGAUUUUUGGAAUGCCAAUUGUUCUGCAUUUUGUUCCAGUACAUUGGGUCAGGAUUCUCAUGCUGAAUGCCCUCACCACCUCACGUAUGCUGUAGAUGCAUGCUGAAGUGCACUAACUAUGAAGUCUUCAUGUGUACUAUCACAAAUAACUGAUGUUAAGGAAUAUGAAGUGAGCUGAAUAAUGGAACUGUAGAGGUCUAAGAGGCAUCUGUGUAUGCUCAAUGUGAUUCUCUCUUUCAUAUCAAUGUCUUUGUCGGUUUGCGCUUUGCAGUAUCAAAACUAAGCUUUGGUUUGUAAACUUGACAGCAUAUAUUAGCAUCAAAUUGACCCUCUUUCUUUUACAUUUUGUGCCCCAUGAAAACUUGGUGACAAUUGUUACUUCUGAAGUCUAUGAAUUAAGGAACAGCAUUUGACCUUAUGUGAUAACUUCAACCUUGGGUAGUCCUUGAUAUCACUUUUGUUUUCUUUCAGGCAAUAAUAGAGCGAAUGGGUGAGCUUGAGAAGCUGGAAUAAGAAGAAACGGUGUACACUAGCGUACAUGGGCAGAUGAUCAAGAGUGUUGCCAUCUCUUUCUCUGCCGUGCCAAGACAUUGCUCUGCAUUUUGUACAAUUCUUUGUAGCUAUUGUGUUAUACCUAGCUCACCUACAUUUUCACCGGCUGUUCAUCUGUGUAAGUCUCCUUUGUUGCUUGGUGAGGCUACUACACACUGCUAGAUUGUUCUGUUGAUUACCAUGGAAUCAGUCAUCUUUGUGCAUUUGCUUGAAGUAAUCAUCAUUAUAGCAAUCUCUUUUUUUUCACCUGUCUGAUUGGGAGUCUGAUCUUUUGAUGCUGAAUCAAUAAUAUGACUGUUUUAAGCAAUCUCUUGAUCUUUUCAUAUCAUAGGCAGGCCUUUUUUUCUCCACUAGAUCACUGUUUGCACUGUGUUUAUGUGCUGGUACGGUACUUACUACUGCUGUGUAUUUUUGCCAAAGCCAUUAUAGUCCUGUGGAAUAAGUUCACUUUGUGACCCUUAUAAGUGAUCGAAAUCUAAUCUGUGACCCUAAACCACAAAACCGGAUAUCUUCACCUCUAAACUCUUAAAACCGGUGCAAUUUGACUCCCUGGGCGGUUUUGCUGACGUGACGCCUACGUGGUGGUAUUGACCGGAUCUCCUUUACACGUGGCGUUGACGUGGCGCUUAGGUGGCAUUAGAAUUUUAAAAAAUAAUUCAUUUAUUAUUCACACAGAGGAUGACAUGCGGGGCCACUGACACGGGGGACCCACUGACAUGUGAGGCCCCCAGUCAUCCUCCUCUCCUCCCCUUCUUCCUCCCUCUCUCUCCCUUCUCUCAUUCUCUUCCCUAGCCUCUCUUUACCACCGGAGCGGUAGUAGGGAUGGUGGCGGCGUCUGGCGGUCGGGACUAGCAGCGGUGGCGUGGCGCCGGGUGGGAGCUGGAGCAGCGGUGGGGACGACGAGGGCAGUAGAUGCGGCGGCCAUCGACCGACAGCGGCACCGUGGGUCGGGCGCCGGGCGGGAGUUGGAGUGGCGGCGAGGGCGGUAGAUGCGGCGGCCAUCGACGGGCAGUGGGGACAUCCUGAUUUUGGCAAGUAUAGGCGAGGCAGCGACUCGCCAGGGGAGGGCGCCGCCUGGCGCGACCUCCACCGCCGGCGACGAUGCCGUGUGCCUGCUCAUGAGCGUGCUCUAGAGAUGGCAGCGGCCGUGAGGCAACCAAGCCCGGCCCUGCCUUAGCAGGGUCGAUGGCGCACAGACGCGGCUGCUCCUCCCAAGGCUGGCAGGGGCUAGACCACCACUGCACGCAGCGACGUCGACUCGCCGCGUGCCCAAAUGGAAGGCCUCAUCUGUUAACGACCAAAUUUGGUAAUAUCAGUAUCGGAGAUGAAGAUUAGAUUGAAGCGGGGUCGAAGAUGAAGAUUGUCGCGGAAACAGAGUAAGAAUCGGCUGAAGUCCGGAUCGGCUACGGUUGGAUCGGCUGAGUUGGAGUCAGACUUGGUUAGGUGAUACAGCCGAUUCCAACAAUACGACUUGGUGUACGACAUCGGGUUGGGUUGAGGUGCUUCAAGAUGAUUGCCACGCAUGGAUAGAGUCCUGGGAAGGCAAUUGUAUCUAUUAAUUAGGACAUUUUAUGUAAUUUCCUUAGAGAUAUGCUUGGGCAAAAGUCUGCCGUAAAGACUUGUGGUAUCUUAGAGUUUGUUAGAGAUAAUAGUCGUGUCCGGUAUGGACAUAUCUUGUAAUUCUCGGGUAUAAAUAGACCCCGAGCCCUAUGUAAUUACACACACAAGUUCAAUACAAUUUCGGCGCAUCGCCACCUUUUUGCUUUAGUUUUAUUUCGACGAGUUCUUGCUUUCGGGUUGAGCUGCAUUGGUUUCGAUCUUCAACAAGAGGUAAAACUUGUUAUGAUGGCUUGUGUUAUCGGGAUUAGUGCUUCCAUCUUUAUGAUACUCUAAUCUUGUUUACGUAAUUCGUCGAGUUAUCAUAUAUCGUACAUAAUCUCUGGCAAUAUCACUAUCUAACCUACAAUCGGCUAACAUCUGUUAGUAGAGGGCAGCCGAUUAGGUUAGAUUUUGAUGUUGAUUUAGAUUAUAUAAGAUAUCCACCACUCUAUGAAACUUCCAGCGGCUUGAUUGUCUAGAUAUUGUUCUUCUUUUCAUACUUAAUGCUGCAUCAGUUGAGUUUGAUCUAUUAAGUCGUGCUUAGAAUAUCAAUCUCUAGCCUGCCUUCUGGUUGCCGAUUAGGGUAGUAUCGGAGUUUCAGCCGAUUUUAUCUGAUUUAACCAUAUUCGCUCUAUAUGUUUUAGUGACAUGUUAAAUCCGCCCUUUAUGUCAAGAUCUUAUUGCAUUUAAGUAUAUUAAGCUUUUGUUUGAUAUAUUAUACUUGUUUUAAUAUCUUGAUAUAGAGUAGUAUCGGAGUAUUAGCCGAUACAUGCUAGAUCUAUAUGAUCGGCUAUGCUAUAAACAUAUAUAGUCCUGUUAUUAAUAUAUAUUUCGAUCCAAGUGAUUUAUACUGUCUCGACAUGGCGACCGAUCUAUCCCAAUCACUUGAUUUAAAUAUAUAUCGAUAUAAGAACUAUAUAUUGGUAAUAUCUACAGCCGAUCGAGUAGGUUUAGUUCUUUAUUAUCUAUUUAUAGUCGUCGAUCGAUUGACAUAUGACAUCGGCUCAAAGAUAAAUGAUAUGUUAUCGGCGCUUAGCCGAUCGGCUAUCAUUUAUAGAUUUAACCGCGAUCUCUUUGUUUCUAUUUCUUGUUGAUUGUAGGAUCAAAUCAACUAGCACGCUAACACACUCGAAGGUGAGCUUUGGACCUGCACUGGAGUUAAGCAGAUCUCCCAGGCCUCGUGUUUUACGUCAACACGCUUUUGGCACGCCUGGUGGGACAGAUAAGAAGUCAGCAAGCAGUUCUUCCUCAUGGCUGAGAAACCACCGCUGUCGCCAUCCCCGGCUAGUCUAGGCACUGUUAAGGAAAAGAUCCAGAAGUUGGGAUUGACGGACUUCAAUGAAGGAAACGUCGUGCCCAUUGAUCCAAAAAAAUUCACACCUGAUCAGAAGAAAGAUUUCGACGCGAUGAUGCAGCAGGCACGGGAUCAGUUCUUGAACUCAUUCAUGUAGACUCGCAAGGGAACAUUGGUUCAAAAGUACUAUAGGAAUCCAUACUGAACAUUCCACCAGUAAUAGUACAAGCUCCCAUAGCAAUGACGUAUUUUGGUUCAGGCAUUUGCUCAUAUAAUCUCACUAAAGAGGGAGCCAUUUUCAUUGUUACUGUACCGGCUGUUAAAAUUAGGUCCGCUUGCCUAGGACUUGAUCUUGGUACCAAUCCAUAACGAUCAAAGUCGAAUCGUGAGCCUAUUAAUGAAGCAAAUUCAAUGAAACAACAACAGGUACCAUAUAGAAGGGGCCAUAAACUAGAGAGUCUUGACCAAUUCGAAAGAUCUUUUAGUGUAGUUGAAAUAACGGAAUUGGAACUUGUUUGGUCAAGUAGGGGAAACUCAAUCAAACUCAUAACUGUCUUAAUGGAAUCUUUUCCUUCUUUUUUUUUGUCUGAAUAUUCAGUUAAGACCAUUCCAAGGCUCCUUUUCGCCAUGCAUAAACUAAACCAACAACUAGGAUAAGCACGAAAAUGAAAGCUUCGAUAAAAACGGAUAUACCCAAUACGUCGAAACUCAUUGCCCAAGGGUAGAGAAAGACCGUUUCCACAUCAAAAACAACAAAAACUAGCGCAAACAUGUAAUAGCGUAUUCGGAAUUGUAACCAAGCCCCCCCAUGGGUUCUAUACCCGAUUCAUAACUAGAAAGCUUCUCUGGUCCUUCACGAACCGGAGCUAAAAGUGCUGAAAUCCAAAAUGCUAAAAAUAGGAAUAAGGCUUGCUAUUAUUAGAAAUGCCCAAAAAAUAUCAUAUUCGUGAAGCAGAAACAUAAAUGUACUCCCAUUAAUGUGGAAUAGGCGGAACUGAAUUAGUCAAUUCAAGUCAGCAUUGUCAAUUUUUACAGAAUUUCUCUUUUUUCCUCGGUGAAACAAGGAUCGGUUUUUCUCAAACCAAAGGGCUUAGUUUAGCCUUUGUUUCCUCUUUGCCACGUCUUCUUUAAAGAUUCAUCCAAUGGAAUCCCGACUCCCUUUCUUUUUGAUUUCCUUUCUAUUUAGGUAUGGUGGAGACAUAAUUCUUAUAGAAACAAAACUCUCUCGCUUCACUUUGUCUCAUUUUCUCUAGAAUCUCUAGAAAAAGGAAUAAAAACGAAAAUACUACGAAUUAGAGCCUAAUUAAGAUAGGAUGACUAAUGUAUGCAGCCUAAUGAGGAGUAAUUCUAUAAAAAUAAAGAACUCUAUUUCAGAACGUAGAUUGAUUUAGAUUUAGGUAAUCUAUAGAUAUAGAUAAGCAAAGUAAUAUACUUCAAACAAAGUAGGAAUUUGCAAGAUGGAGAACAUCUUGCAGUUGAUUUGAUAGAAAUUCAUUUUUCUUUUCCUGUCUCUAUAAUUUUCGAUGAAUGAGCCUCUGGUAAUCCUUUUAUCUCUAUUUUAUGGCGCAGGCGCCUGUCCAGUCUAUAAACAAGUACUAAUAGGGAAAUGAAAACUAUACUAAAGGAAACGUAGGAUAUCUCUCCUAAAAUCUAAAAAAGGACAUAUUAGGGCUAUACGGAUUCGAACCGUAGACCUUCUCGGUAAAACAGAUCAAACGGAUUAUUAUCGAAAUGAUUCGAACUGUUUCAAAGACCCAACAUGCAUUUUUUUGCAUUGGGCUCUUUUAUCAACUGAUAGAAAGAUCAGUUAGUCCACCAUAGUUUUUCUUUACGGAAAGAUAAUGAGAUGACUCCCUGCGCUCUGAUUGAUUAUUUGUAUUAUGAUCUAUCUAAGAGCAAUACCAAAGUGUUUCAAAGGAGGAUUACCUUGACUUAGGUCUGCCUCCGGCCUAAAUUAAAUCAACCUAAGUGAAAUAGAGUCUCUAUCGUUCCGCUACAAGAGUUGACUAUGAGACUUCAUACACCUUAAAGUUCAUAGAACAAAAAGAAUUUUUUUGGAGGCCCUUAUCCUCAUUAAGCCUAGCAUUUAGUGGGCUGGAUAUUUACCUUAUCAACUAGCAAAUCAAUAAAGGUUCUAUUUGUUUAGGCACCUGGAUUGGUACCUGAAUCGGACUGAACCAACUAUUUGUCAGGCGACUUUUCUCCUAUUCUCUCGAAUCCAUGAAGUAAGACAUUGAUUUUGCAAGAAGAUCCACUAUGUUCAUUGCAUAAUAAGCUCCCUUGAAAAGCAUUGGCGCACGUGUAAACGAGUUGCUCUACCGAACUGAGCUAUAGCCCUUGUCAGAGAUAUCUUAAUAUAUAGAGAAUUUCUUGUCAAGAUGAAUAUUCUCUAAUAGUAGAGGAUAUCCUUUGAUCUGUUUACUAUAAUAACAUACCAAUAACGAAGCGGUAUUUGCUUAUAAAAAGGAUUCGAUCUAUAAUCGAUCGAAGUAAAGGGUCUUCCUUUGUGGUGAUAAAUUGCCUACUUAACUCAGUGGUUAGAGUAUUGCUUUCAUAUGACGGGAGUCAUUGGUUCAAAUCCAAUAGUAGGUAGGUAGGUAGAAAAAUUACUAGAUAGCAUUGGCCCUACUUCGCUUCGCUAUCUAAUAAUUUUUUCUACCCCUCUUCCCUUUUUCUUUGUAUCAACUAAACCGUUGGGUUGUCUUCAAUUAGAUGGGGGAAUCCAAUUAACAGCCUCGACUCGUAUCCUAGCUCGUCUGAGAGCUACCUUCGCUUCAACCAAUUCUUUCGUACCCUCAGCUCUACUCACGUUAGCUUCGGCUAUUUCAAGUGCCUGUUGAGCUUCUUCUGGAUCAAUGUCACUACCCAGUUCCGCAUCAUUUCCUAAAAUGAUGAUCUCAUUAUUAACUAUUCUGGCAAAACCGCUCCACAGAACCGCCGUUAACCAUUGAUCGUUGAGGAGGCGUAUUCUCAAGGGACCCAUAUCUACAGCUGUGUUAAUGGGGGCGUGGUUUGGUAAUACGCCAAUUUGGCCACUAUUAGUAGAUAAAAUGAUUUCUUUCACUUCACAAUCCCAAAUAAUUCGCUUAGGAGUCAGUACAUAAAGAUUUAAUUUCAUUUCUUCAAUUUGUUCUCCUCUUCUAAGUUUAUAGCUUUCGUGCUAGCUUCAUCGAUGUUACCCACCAAAUAAAAAGCCUGUUCGGGUAGGCCGUCUAAUUCUCCGGAAAGGAUUAGUUGAAAUCCCCUAAUAGUUUCUGCAAGACCAACAUACUUUCCCAGAGAACCGGUAAAAACUUCUGCCACAAAAAACGGUUGUGAUAAGAAGCGCUCAAUUUUUCAUGCUCUUGCUACAGUUAAACGAUCCUCCUCCGAUAAUUCAUCCAACCCAAGAAUUGCGAUAAUGUCCUGAAGUUCUUUGUAACGUUGUAAAGUUUGCUUAACUCUUUGUGCAGUUUCAUAAUGUUCGUUGCCAACGAUCCGAGGUUGUAACAUAGUUGAGGUUGAAUCUAAAGGAUCUACUGCAGGAUAAAUCCCUUUGGAAGCUAAUCCUCUGGAAAGUACGGUAGUAGCAUCCAAAUGUGCAAAUGUUGUAGCAGGAGCAGGGUCGGUCAAAUCGUCCGCAUGUACAUAAACCGCUUGGAUCGAAGUUAUAGAUCCCUUUUUAGUAGAAGUAAUUCUUUCUUGCAAAGAACCCAUUUCUGUACUAAGAGUAGGCUGAUAACCCACUGCAGAGGGCAUUCUCCCUAAUAAGGAAGAUACCUCCGAUCCUGCUUGAACAAAACGAAAGAUAUUAUCGAUGAAUAGAAGCACGUCUUGCUUAUUAACAUCUCGGAAAUAUUCUGCCAUAGUUAGGGCAGUCAAACCAACUCUCAUACGAGCUCCUGGCGGUUCAUUCAUUUGGCCAUAGACUAGAGCUACCUUUGAUUCCUCAAGAUUUUUUUCAUUAAUUACUCCAGAUUCCUUCAUUUCCAUAUAAAGAUCAUUUCCUUCACGAGUCCGUUCCCCUACUCCGCCAAAUACGGAUACGCCCCCGUGAGCUUUAGCAAUAUUGUUGAUUAAUUCCAUGAUAAGUACUGUUUUACCUACUCCAGCUCCCCCAAAUAGUCCGAUUUUUCCUCCACGCCGAUAAGGAGCUAAAAGAUCGACCACCUUAAUACCAGUUUGAAAGAUGGAUAAUUUCGUAUCUAACUCGAUAAAGGCGGGCGCAGAUAUAUGAAUAGGGAAUGUUGCACUAGUAUCUACAGGACCCAAAUUGUCAACAGGCUCCCCAAGAACGUUGAAAAUUCGUCCAAGAGUAGCUCCACCGACAGGAACACUGAGAGGAGCUCCCGUGUCAAUCACUUCCAUUCCUCUCAUCAACCCAUCUGUAGCACUCAUAGCUACAGCUCUAACUCGAUUAUUUCCUAAUAAUUGUUGUACCUCACAAGUUACAUUAAUUUGCUUACCGUCAGUGUCUCGACUCUUGACUACCAAAGCAUUAUAAAUAUAAGGUAACUUGCCCGGGGGAAAAGUGACAUCCAGCACGGGUCCAAUAAUUUGAUCGAUACGCCCUGUACUUUUUUCUUCAAUUGUAGAAACCCCGGGACGAGAAGUAGUAGGAUUGGUUCUCAUAAUUAUCACAUAAUUUUCAAAAAAAAGGAAUUUAUCGAAAUUUUGAUUUUUUUUCUUGUUGAAUAAUGCCAAAUCAACACCAAAAAAAUAUCCAAAAAUCCAAAAGUCAAAAGGAAAUGAAUUAGUUAAUUCAAUAAGAGAGAAAAGGGGACCAGCACUUGAUUUCGUUGCCCAAACGAAUCCCAUUCAAUCGUUUACUCAUGGAAUGAGUCCGUCGGAAAGUUCAAUCAAUCUUUUUUUCAUAUACGUUUUGCCUUUUGUAAACGAUUUGUGCCUACUCUACUUUCUUAUCUAGGACUUCGAUAUACAAAAUAUAUACUACUGUGAAGCAUAGAUUGCUGUCAACAGAGAAUUUUCGUAGUAUUUAGGUAUUUCCACUCAAAAUAAGAAAAGGGGGUCUAUUAAGAACUUAAUAAGGAUUAGAAGUUGAUUUGGGGUUGCGCUAUAUCUAUUAAAGAGUAUACAAUAAAGAUGGAUUCGGUGAAUCAAAUCCAUGGUUUAAUAACGAAGCAUGUUAACUUACCAUAACAACAACUCAAUUCUUAUCGAAUUCCUAUAGUAGAAUUCCUAUAGCAUAGAAUGUACACAGGGUGUACCCAUUAUAUAUGAAUGAAACAUAUUAUAUGAAUGAAACAUAUUCAUUAACUUAAGCAUGCCCCCCAUUUUCUUUAAUGAGUUGAUAUUAAUUGAAUAUCUUUUUUUUUAAGAUUUUUGCAAAGGUUUCAUUUACGCCUAAUCCAUAUCGAGUAGACCCUGUCGUUGUGAGAAUUCUUAAUUCAUGAGUUGUAGGGAGGGACGUAUGUCACCACAAACAGAAACUAAAGCAAAUGUUGGAUUUAAAGCUGGUGUUAAGGAUUAUAAAUUGACUUACUACACCCCGGAGUACGAAACCAAGGACACUGAUAUCUUGGCAGCAUUCCGAGUAACUCCUCAGCCGGGGGUUCCGCCCGAAGAAGCAGGGGCUGCAGUAGCUGCCGAAUCUUCUACUGGUACAUGGACAACUGUUUGGACUGAUGGACUUACCAGUCUUGAUCGUUACAAAGGCCGAUGCUAUCACAUCGAGCCCGUUGUUGGGGAGGAUAAUCAAUAUAUCGCUUAUGUAGCUUAUCCAUUAGACCUAUUUGAAGAGGGUUUUGUUACUAACAUGUUUACUUCCAUUGUGGGUAACAUAUUUGGUUUCAAAGCCCUACGUGCUCUACGUCUGGAGGAUCUGCGAAUUCCCCCUACUUAUUCAAAAACUUUCCAAGGUCCGCCUCAUGGUAUCCAAGUUGAAAGGGAUAAGUUGAACAAAUACGAUCGUCCUUUAUUGGGAUGUACUAUUAAACCAAAAUUGGGAUUAUCUGCAAAAAAUUAUGGUAGAGCAUGUUAUGAGUGUCUACGCGGUGGACUUGAUUUUACCAAAGAUGAUGAAAACGUAAACUCACAACCAUUUAUGCGUUGGAGGGACCGUUUUGUCUUUUGUGCCGAAGCUAUUUAUAAAUCACAGGCCGAAACCGGUGAAAUUAAGGGGCAUUACUUGAAUGCGACUGCAGGUACAUGCGAAGAAAUGAUUAAAAGAGCUGUAUUUGCGAGGGAAUUAGGGGUUCCUAUUGUAAUGCAUGACUACUUAACCAGGGGAUUCACCGCAAAUACUAGUUUGGCUCAUUAUUGCCGCGACAACGGCCUACUUCUUCACAUUCACCGAGCAAUGCAUGCAGUUAUUGAUAGACAGAAAAAUCAUGGUAUGCAUUUCCGUGUAUUAGCUAAAGCAUUGCGUAUGUCUGGGGGAGAUCAUAUCCACGCUGGUACAGUAGUAGGUAAGUUAGAAGGGGAACGCGAAAUGACUUUAGGUUUUGUUGAUUUAUUGCGCGAUGAUUUUAUUGAAAAAGAUCGUGCUCGCGGUAUCUUUUUCACUCAGGACUGGGUAUCCAUGCCAGGUGUUAUACCGGUGGCUUCAGGGGGUAUUCAUGUUUGGCAUAUGCCAGCUCUGACCGAAAUCUUUGGAGAUGAUUCUGUAUUGCAAUUUGGUGGAGGAACUUUAGGACAUCCUUGGGGUAAUGCACCUGGUGCAGCAGCUAAUCGGGUGGCUUUAGAAGCCUGUGUACAAGCUCGUAAUGAAGGGCGCGAUCUUGCUCGUGAAGGUAAUGAAAUUAUCCGAUCAGCUUGCAAAUGGAGUCCUGAACUAGCCGCAGCUUGUGAAAUAUGGAAAGUGAUCAAAUUCGAGUUCGAGCCGGUAGAUAAACUAGAUAGCUAGACUAAGUGGAUAAAAUUAGAUAGAAAAAAGGUCUAAAUAAAAAAGAAGAGAAAUAGAAAGAUCAAAAAUCAGUUAUGAAAAUGCAGUAAUUCUUGUUUUUUCUUCUAAUUGAUUGCAAUUAAACUCGGCUCAAUCUUUUUUCAGAUUGAGCCGAGUUUAAAUAGAUUUUGAUACGAUCAUGAGACUUGACAAAUCAGGAUUCCUCUAUUCUAUAUAUUUAGAAGAUAUAAAGGUAUAAUACAAUAAAUAAAUACAAAUAUAGUAUUAUCAUAUGAUAAUGGAAUCAAAUACGCAGUAUUUACAGAAAAAGUACUACGAACCACGGUGUCGGGGGUUCGAAUCCCUCCUCGCCCACAGCCUUCCAAAGGGGAAGGGCCUUUACUUUCCCCCUGAGGGUAGGAAAACCAUGAUCGGGAUAGCGGACGUAAAGCUAUUGAACUUGGGUAUGCUCUUUCCUUUUGUCGAAGUGGAAUCGUAGAACAGAAUGUGAUACGAUGAGAUAAAAUGCAAUAGAAACAAGGAUAGCGAACGGGUUACCUACUCCUAAGGGUCAAAGCAAGCCCUUUAAUUCAAUUCUUUAUUCUUACAUUAAAGAAUGAAUCAAAUCUCCCCAAGUAGGAUUCGAACCUACGACCAGUCAGUUAACAGCUGACCGCUCUACCACUGAGCUACCGAGGAACAAGGGGGAUUCGACCUCCUAGAGUUCAACUCCCGCUCUCAACCCAUGAACAAUAUGAGUCCGAAGCUUCUUUCGUAACUCCCGGAAUUUCUUCGUAGUGCCUCCGUUCCAUGCCUCAUUUCAUAGGUAAGCCCAGAGUGGCUCUAUUUCAUUCUAUUUCACUUCCUAGCACUUCCUAUCAUUUAAUAUCCGUCCCUUUGGUCUUAUUGACAUAAGAGAUGUCAUUUAUAGUCUAUCUCUUUCUAUAUAUGGAAAGUCAAGAAAUUCUCAUCGAAACAUCGAGAAAUUGUGCAUAUAGAAAACUCUAAAGAAAGAAAAAAAGGAGACCCAUGCCAUGAUUUUCAAAUCUUUUCUACUUAGCAAUCUAAGUUUCUCGAUGAGGAUAAUUAAUUCGGUCGUUGCGGUCGGACUCUAUUAUGGGUUUCUGACCACAUUCUCCAUGGGUCCCUCUUAGAUCUUCUUUCUCCAAUCUUGGAUUAGGGAAGAAGGAGAUAUUCGCGACUCCUGGUGGUUUCAUUAUGGGGCAGCUCAUGAUCUUCAUAUCGAUAUAUUAUCCACCUCCGCAUCUAUUCUUUCUUAGCUAAACGGGUGGAAGAUCCAUCCAAUUUGGUUAUAUCAUGGACUCAAAAAACGGAUCUGAAUGUGACUGAAAUGCACGAUCUUCACAGGUAUCACUUUUCACGAUACCUAAAAGGUGGAAUAGCAAUUUUCGAACCAUUUCCUAUAAGAGAAAGGUUUCCAUUACUUUGAGAAAUGGAUUCUAUAUCAAACUAUAGCUAUUGCAUUAAAGAAGAAAAGAAACUAAUAGAAGUCGAAGACGCGGAAUGGUAGUGAAUAGAGAGAAAGAUUCUUCUGGUUUUCUUGUCCCUGAAAAUAUUCUAUCUAUCUCCUAGACGCCGUAGAGAAUUGAGAAUUUUCAUGUCUUUCAAUUCUCGUACUCGUAAUUGGAAAGUUACGGAAGGAGAUCCAUCAUUUUGCAAUGAAAACUACAUAAAAAACUCUGGACAAUUUUGAAAUCAGGCCAAGCGUCUUAAUACAUAUGCAAAAAAAUUCAUUAUUGGCCCACCAUUGAUUAGAAGAUUUAACUUGUAUGAAUCGCUAUUGGUUUGAUACGAAUAAUGGCAGUUGUUUCAGUAUGUUAAGGAUACAGAUGUAUCCACAAUUCAUUUAGAGUUACUUAAUAGCCUAUUUCUUAUACCAUAUCUCUAUCCCGUGAAAUUCUCGAGCCGAAAGAUGGAUGCAUAUGCUAUGUUUCAUUUUGCUAAAUGAUAUCAAUUAAACGGUGUAUCAAUUCCAUAAAUUGGAUAUAGCAAUAAAUAAAUCCGCAAAAUUCUUUUAUUUUAGAUAGAAGAAACUUUUCUUCUAUCUAAAAUAAAAGAAUGUACCCUUCUAUCCAAAUCCAAUUUGCAUCGAUAAAAUAAAUCCAAAUUCCAGUAGUAGAUGAAUAAUUGCAAAUUUUUGUGUGUACGAGAUUAGAAUAACUUCAAUAUAAGUGACAUAAUUUUUUAUUUUUCCUGAUCAGAAAAAUACAUGAAAAAGAAAGGAGGUAGAAAAUUUUUUGGAUUUAUGGUUAAAGAAGAAAAAGAAGAAAACUGGGGUUCUGUUGAAUUUCAAGUAUUUAGUUUCACCAAUAAGAUACGGAGACUUGCUUCACAUUUGGAAUUACACAAAAAAGAUUUUUCAUCGGAAAGAGGUCUCCGAAGACUUUUGGGAAAACGUCAACGUUUGCUGGCUUAUUUGGCAAAGAAAAAUAGAGUACGUUAUAAGAAAUUAAUCAGUCAGUUGGAUAUUAGGGAGUGGUAAUUUCAUCGUUCGAAUUUUUUUUCUUAUUUUAUUAGUAGUCUUAGAUUUUGCAUUUUGAUGAGCCUCGUUUUGAGGAAUUCAUGGAAUAAUCCAUUUUCAUGGAAUAAUGAAUUAAGGAAGAAAGGAUAUGAGUCUACCGCUUACAAGAAAAGAUCUCAUGAUAGUCAAUAUGGGCCCUCAGCACCCAUCAAUGCAUGGUGUUCUUCGACUGAUCGUUACUCUCGAUGGUGAAGAUGUUAUUGAUUGUGAACCCAUAUUAGGCUAUUUACACAAAGGAAUGGAAAAAAAUCGGCAAAUAGGAAAGCUACUUAGGCAGGAGAUAGGGGAAUUCCUUAAGAAAGGAAAAAGAAUAAGAACACAGAUACAUAACAUAAAAAAAGAAUAAAUAAGACGAAAUUCGACCUCCCCCUACAUAUUUAAUUUCUUCUCCUAUACAAAAACUAGCAAGACCUACUCCAUUGGUAAUUCCAUCAAUGACACCCUUGUCGAAAAACUGCGUUAGUUCGGUUAAUCCUCUUAUACCCAAGGUAAAGGUCCUAGUAUAGAAAAUAUCUAUAUAACCACGAUUAUAUGACCAACUAUAUAUCUUUUUUUUUAGUUGAUGGAAAAAAUACUUUUUCGGACCCCCCUUUUACAAAGGAAUUUAUUAAAUCCAAAUUCUGAAAAAAAGAGUAAGCAGAUCCAUAAAACAUAUAUGCUAUGAAUAGACCAAAAAUAGCUAGACUUACAGAAGAAAUUGCAUUUGUGAUAAAUUCAUAUGAAUUUAUGGAAGAAUUAGAACUUUCUUGGAAAAAGUUGAUUGAGGGAGUUAGCCACUUUGAUAAUAUGGUUAAUUCCCCUAUUUCAUUAUCAAAAUGGAUUCCUAUAGAUCCAAUAAACAAAGUACAAAGCAGUAAUAUAAGAAGAGGAAAUAGCAUAGUAUUUCCCGGUUCAUGAGGAUAGACAAAUGUGUUUUUAAGUCCCCAAUGAAGUACUAAAGGACCCUAUCCUAUUUCCUGUAUUAACAUGAAUUUUGGAUAGAUUUUGUGAAAAAAAAGAAACUCCACUCUUCGCUGUUGAUAAAACGAAAUCUCUAUUGACUCCUUUAGAUAUCCUUUUUCCCCAUAACGAUAUUGAAUACAACGAAUCCUCUUUAGUACUACUGUAAUUUUGAAAAUGAACACGCAAAUACCCAUCAAAAGUAAGUAAAUAUAUCCAAAACAUAUAAAAUGCAGUUAAUCCUGCAGUAAAAGAAGCUAUUAUUCCAAAAAAGGGUGAAUAUAACCAACUAUUACUAAGGAUUUUAUCUUUGGACCAGAAGCAAGCAAGAGGUGGAAUACCACAAAGAGAAAGGGUACCCCAUAAAAAACAAGUUCUUGUAAUUGGAAUGUAUUUUCUUAAACCAACCAUAAGAACCAUAUUCUGACUUUUAUCUGGUGAAUAUCCAACAAGAGGUUCCAUUGAAUGAAUAACAUAUCCGGAUCCCAAGAAUAAUAAAGCUUUCGAAUAAGCAUGAGUGAUCAAAUGGAAUAAAGCAGCUUGAUAAGAACCUAUACCUAGAGCUAACAUCAUAUAACCCAAUUGAGACAUUGUAGAAUAGGCUAAGCUUCUUUUAAUAUCUCUCUGAGCAAGAGCUAAAGUGGCUCCUAAGAAAAGUGCUAGUGUACCUAUUAAAGAAAUGAAACUCAUUAUCAAAGGUAGGGAUAUGAAAAGAGGAAGAAGUCGAGCUAUAAGAAAAAUCCCCGAAGCAACCAUAGUUGCUGCGUGUAUAAGAGCUGAAAUGGGGGUGGGUCCUUCCAUAGCAUCGGGUAACCAUACGUGAAGAGGGAAUUGUGCCGAUUUCGCAACUGCACCAAGGAAUAAUAAAAAAGCACACAAAAUAGUAAGCAAGGAGUUAAUCUCAUUAUUAGGAAUCCAGUUAUUAGCUAUUUUAAACAAAUCCCGAAACUCUAAACUACCUGUUAUCCAAAAAAAACCUAGAAUUCCUAAUAACAGACCAAAAUCCCCUACACGAUUAGUUACAAAAGCUUUUUGACAAGCACUCGCUGCAAUUGGCCGUGUAAACCAAAAACCUAUCAAUAAAUAGGAACACAUUCCCACAAGCUCCCAAAAAAAAUAAAUUUGUAUCAAAUUGGAACUAGUAACCAAUCCCAACAUGGAAGUAUUGAAAAAACUUAUAUAAACAAAAAAUCUCAAAUAUCCCUCAUCGUGAGACAUAUAAUCAUCACUAUAAAUAAGAACCAGGAUUCCUACAGUAGUAAUUAGUAUUAACAUAAUAGAACUAAGCGGGUCGAUUAAGUAUCCAAAUUCUAAGGAAAAAUCAUUAUUGACGGUCCAAGACCAUAGAUAUUGAUAGAUAGAACUUCCAUUUAUUUGUUGAAUAGACAGGUGAACUGAGAAUGCCAUAGCUAUACUUAAAAGUAAAACACUAGGAAAAGCCCAUAUGCGACGAAGAUUUUUUGUUGCUGUUGGAACAAGAAAAAGUCCAAACCCCAUUGACAUAAUAACUGGAAGUGGGAGAAGAGGGAUUACCCAUGCAUAUUGAUAUGUAUGUUCCAUAAGAAAAGAAAUUGCAAUUUUUACUUGAAAAUUUUACUUCAAUUUUUCUAUAAAAUUGAAAAAAGUUUCCGAUUCACCAAACUAAUUCUUAUCUUUUUCUGAACGAAUAAAAAAAUACUAGAAUUCUUAAUUUUUCAAAAAUUUUCUUAUUGAAACAAUCAAAAAAUAAGAAUAGGUUUUGUUGGUUAAAGUCAAAAAGUUAAUGAAAUAACUUCGUUACCUAGUUAUUACCUAAAGAAGGACUUUUAUUAAAAUACAAAAAAAAGAUUGAAUCAUUUUACUUUAAUAUUUUUUUGUAUUAAAAUGAAGCAGCUCCCUUGUUUCGUAACUCAAAUUGAUUGGAAUUCAAUUCUGGAAUUUUCCCUUCCUUUUAUCCUCCCGUCUUAUAUGGGGGAUAGGCCCCCAUACCUUAUAUCUGUAUAUGGAGAGUAUACUUGAAAUAUAAAUUGAUUUAAAUAGAAAACCUUUGUAUAUAUUCUAUAUUAUUAAAACAAAGUCUAAAAAAAUAUAUAAUAUGUUAAAAAACUCUUGUCUUAUCCGCAUUAGACAAAAUGAAGUAAAAAAGAAUUCAGAAUUUCAAUAUCUUUUAGUAUCUAAGUAUAAAUACUAAGAAAAAGAAGAAAGAUGGAUUGAUUUGCGGCAAUAGAUGUCUUUCACAUACAACUAGAAAAAAGUAAUUUCCUUUUUGAAUGGCAGUUCCAAAAAAACGUACUUCGAUGUCAAAAAAGCGUAUUCGUAAAAAUCUUUGGAAGAAAAAGACUUAUUUUUCCAUAGUACAAUCUUAUUCUUUAGCAAAAUCAAGAUCAUUUUCUGGCGUCAGCGAGCAUCCAAAACCAAAGGGUUUUUCUCGGCAACAAACAAACAAAUAAUAGGGUUUUGGGAUAAUAUGAAUUGACCUAUCCCCAAAAAAUUCCAAUUAUUUAAUAUGAAUAAUUAGGAAUAAUUAGGAUUAAUUAAUGAGUUUACUUUUAUGUGUCGAAUUCCUCGGUACAAUAUUCUUAGAACAAACCUCUCUGAUAUAUAAAAAAAGGGUUUUUGGUAUACUGUGACCUAAAUAUUCUUUUCCUAUCAAUGAACUUUUCGUAAUAGAAUCCGUAUAAUAAAUAAAAAAAGGGGAUUCUAUUAUGAAAAGUAGAGUAUUCCUACAAUAAGACUUACAACUUCUACCUAUCUUAUCCUAAAUUAACAAAAAAAUUAGUUCUAUAUUGCAACUGAGAAAAAAUUGUUCCAACUCUUUCAAAGUUUCUAUUGGGCAAAGCAAGAAUUUUUUUGUUAAAAAAUUUGCAACGAUACUACCAAACGAAGUCUAUUUUAAUGAAGAUUCUAAUGUCCUAAAUUCUAUGGAAUCUUCCAAUCUCGACGAUUCGCGAGAAAAUAACUUAAUAUUCUUUUAAUAAACCUGUUAUUUCAACUUAGCCGCCAUGGUGAAAUUGGUAGACACGCUGCUCUUAGGAAGCAGUGCUCAAGCAUCUCGGUUUGAGUCCGAGUGGCGGCAGUCUCGAAAAAGAAUACAAUAGAUUAUAAAAUAAAAUGGAUUCAAUUCAAAAUUUCCAAUUUUGUAAUGGGACCUUCUCCUUAUGCUAUUUGCAACAUUAGAACAUAUACUAACUCAUAUUUCUUUCUCAACAAUUUCAAUUGUGAUUAUGAUUCAUUUAAUAACCUUAUUAGUUCGUGAACUUGGGGGAUUGCGUGAUUCGUCAGAAAAAGGAAUGAUAGCCACUUUUUUCUGUAUAACAGGAUUCUUAGUUUCUCGUUGGGCUUCUUCGGGACAUUUUCCAUUAAGUAAUUUAUAUGAGUCAUUGAUCUUCCUUUCAUGGGCUCUGUAUAUUCUUCAUAUGAUUCCUAAGAUACAGAACUCUAAAAAUGAUUUAAGCACAAUAACUAUGCCGAGUACUAUUUUAACGCAAGGCUUUGCCACGUCGGGUCUUUUAACUGAAAUGCAUCAAUCCACAAUACUAGUACCUGCUCUACAAUCUCAGUGGUUAAUGAUGCAUGUCAGUAUGAUGUUACUAAGCUAUGCGACUCUUUUGUGCAGAUCCUUAUUAUCCGCCGCUCUUCUAAUGAUUAGAUUUCGAAAAAAUUUAGAUUUCUUUUCGAAAAAGAAGAAAAAUGUUUUGCUUAAAACAUUUUUCUUUAAUGAGAUUGAAUAUUUCUAUGCAAAAAGAAGUGCUUUAAAAAGCACCUUUUUUCCUUUAUUUCCAAAUUAUUACAAAUAUCAAUUAAUUGAGCGUUCGGAUUCUUGGAGUUAUCGUGCCAUUAGUCUAGGGUUUACCCUUUUAACCAUAGGUAUUCUUUGUGGAGCAGUAUGGGCUAAUGAGGCGUGGGGAUCCUACUGGAAUUGGGAUCCUAAAGAAACUUGGGCAUUUAUUACUUGGACCAUAUUUGCAAUUUAUUUACAUAGUAGAACAAAUCCAAAUUGGAAGGGUAUGAAGUCAGCAUUUGUAGCUUCCAUAGGAUUUCUUAUAAUUUGGAUCUGUUAUUUUGGUAUCAAUCUAUUAGGAAUAGGUUUACAUAGUUAUGGUUCAUUUACAUUACCCAUCUAAAUGAUUACAUAACAUAAAACCUUAAUGAAAUGGAAAAAACUUCCAUUUUUGUGUUUGAUUUGAGAACCCCUUGAACGCCUUCUCAAAGGGUUCUCAAAAAUUCGAGAUAGAUCUAAUUAGACUCUUAUACUUUUUUCUGAAUUUUUUAGUAUUUCCACUAUGGAAUAUAGAGCGGACUAGUAGAAGAAAAAAAAUCCUAUUUAGGAUAAUAAUUGGAUAACAGAGCCUCUACCCUGUCAACGGAUAGCAAGAGAACAAAAUCUGGAUAAAUACCGAUUCCUAUUACUGGUAAAAAGAUACAGAUUAAAAGAAAGAGUUCUCGCGGGCCGGAAUCCUCAAAAUUUUCGUUUGGAACAUGAAAUAGCUUGUAUCCAUAGAACAUCUGUCGUAACAUAGAUAAUAAAUAAAUAGGAGUUAAUAUCAUUCCAAUUGCCAUUACAAAAGUAAUUAGCAUUUUUGGCAUUAACAGAAAUUUCGGACUAGUAAUUAGUCCAAAAAAUACUACUAAUUCCGCAACAAAACCACUCAUUCCUGGUAAGGCAAGAGAAGCCAUUGAAAAGCUACUAAACAUGGUAAAAAUUUUUGGCAUUGGGAUAGAAACCCCUCCCAGUUCUUCGAGAUAAACAAGGCGCAUUCUAUCACAAGCCGUUCCCGCUAAGAAAAAAAGUGUAGCCCCAAUAAAUCCAUGGGAUAAUAUUUGUAAAAUAGCUCCAUUGAGUCCAAUGUUGGUUACGGAACCAAUUCCUAUAAUAAUGAAACCCAUGUGAGAGACGUAGGAGUAGGCUAUUCUUUUUUUGAAAUUGCGUUGGCCAAGAGAAGUUGAAGCUGCAUAGAUUAUUUGCAUCGCUCCUAUUAUUACUAACCAAGGGGAAAAUAGAUAAUGAGCAUGAGGUAACAAUUCCAUAUUGAUCCGAAUCAAAUCCGUAUGCUCCCAUCUUUAAUAGGAUUCCCGCUAAAAGCAUACAUGUACUGUAAUGCGCUUCCCCAUGGGUAUCUGGUAACCACGUAUGUAGGGGUAUAAUCGGCAAUUUGACAGCAUAAGCAAUAAGGAAGCCAAAAUAAAAUAGUAUUUCCAAUGUUGCAGGGUAUGAUUGAUUAAUUAAUCUUUCCAAAUCUAAUCUUGGUUCGUUGGAACCGUAUAAGCCCAUACCUAGAACUCCGAUUAAGAAAAAUAUGGAACCACCUGCAGUAUACAAAAUAAACUUUGUAGCUGAAUAGAGACGCCUCUUCCCCCCCCCCCACAUGGAUAAAAGUAAGUAAACAGGAAUUAAUUCUAACUCCCACAUGAUAAAAAAAAAGUAAAAGGUCUCGCGAAGAAAAUAAUCCUAUUUGACCGCUAUACAUUGCUAGCAUCAGGAAAUAGAAUAAUCGGGAAUUCCGGGUAACCGGCCAAGCUGCUAAAGUAGCUAAAUAGUCAUAAAUCCUGUCAAUAAAAUAGAUCCUAAUGAAAGUCCAUCGAUUCCCAAUCUCCAGUGGAAAUUGAAGACAUCUAUCCAUUUAGAAUCCUCUUUUAAUUGGAUUAAGGGAUCCUCCAAUUGGAAAUGAUAACAGAAUGCAUAAGUCAUUAGAAGGAAUUCUAAUAAACAAAUAGACAUAGUAUACCACCUAACGAUUUUGUUUCCCCUAUGAGGUAAAAAGAAAAUUAAUGAACCCGCAAAUAUCGGCAAAACAACAAGUAUUGUUAACCAAGGAAAAGAACUCAUGAUAAAGUGAUAAAGACAAGAUACGUUUUGACCAGAAAAGCCUGUGCUCGAUUAUUUUGAGCACAGGCUUCUUCGGUAAAGAGGAAUCAGAUGAUUCAAGUGGAAUUUUUUCUAACGUAUCAAUAAGAUAGAGCCAUGCUGCGGGUUGUCUCAGGUCCUAAAUAAACGCGGACACUUAAAAAAUCUGUUGGGCAGGCGGAUUCGCAUCACUUACAACCCACACAAUCUUCGGUUCUUGGCGCGGAAGCAAUUUGCUUGGCUUUACAUCCAUCCCAAGGUAUCAUUUCUAAUACAUCUGUUGGACAAGCUCGCACACAUUGAGUGCAUCCUAUACAUGUAUCAUAAAUUUUUACGGAAUGUGACAUUGGAUCUAUAAAUUUUCCUUUUCAACAUAAAAAUUUUCGAUCUGGUCAAAAUGAAAUUAGUACUAUAUCAAUCAAAUGUAUUGUAGACACCAGACGAAGCAAUGGUUUAUCCAAACUUCAACAAAUAAUGCAAUAUAUUUCUUAAUCCGUUUGUGAGAAAGCAUGAAAAGAGCCAAGAGACUUGAAUUUUGGGCUUCAACAAUCAUAAUUAUACGAAUUGUAUAUACGAAUUCGAAUUAGCCAAUAAAUUGGCUAUCGUCUUUUCAAUAUAAAUUAUUGCAAUAUCAAUGAAUUGCAAAAAUUCAACUAAGUAAAAAAGAAUACUAUGGAAUAACCUACUCAAAAAAUAGAUAUUCUCAAAUAAUAAAUAGUAUUCAUGUUAAUAUUUCAUAUUAUUAUUAUAUGUGUCCCUUUGUUUAGAAGAUUCUAUGUCUAAUUAUUUAAAAAAUUAGAUUGAUUGAUACGAGAUGAUUUCCUAUUACGAUGGAUGGAAGAAAGAAUGGAUAAUCCAAUAGCUACUUCAGCAGCCGCAAGGGCUAUAACAAAAAUUGCGAAAAUGUCUCCUUUUAAUUGGCGGCUAUCAAAUAGAUCAGAAAAUGUUACGAGAUUUAAAUUAAUUGAAUUCAGUAUAAGUUCAAGGCAUAUUAGAGCUCUAACCAUGUUUCGGCUUGUGAUCAAUCCAUAGAUACCAAUCGAAAAUAAAUAGACACUCAAAAAAAGUACAUGCUCAAACAUCAUUAACUAACUCCUUAUCAAUCUCGAUUCAUUUCAAUAUGGGGACAAGAAUUGAACCGAUUGAAUUAAUUAGAAUAGAACAAUUACACAACAAAAGAGAAAAGAAGGUAUUUGUUGGCAGUAGAUGGGUUUUACUAAAUCAAAAUUGUGGUUCUUUAGUGAUUUAUUUUAGAUUUGAAAUUCUUAUAAUUUUGACUCAUUCUAAGUAUUUCUUAUUGCCGAGCCAUAGUAAUUGCACCUAUUAAAGAAACUAGAAGAAUUAUGGAAAUGAGUUCAAAUGGAAGAUAAAAAUCGGUUGCUAAAUGAAUCCCAAUUUGUUGAACGUUAUUUAUGAGACCCUGUUCUACUAUUUGGUUUGAUCUUGUAGUCCAAAGAAUUCCAUACCAUGACGUAUCUGGGAUAGUAGUCAUUAGUGAAAAAGGAAUAGUUAUACAAACGAGUGAAGUGAACCCAUCUCCAAUAGUCCAAAAAUUCUUAUCUUUAGACCAUUCUGAGCCAUUUAUGAACAUUACGGCAAAUAUGAUCAAGACAUUUAUAGCUCCCACAUAAAUAAGAAGUUGUGCCACAGCUACAAAGUAGGAAUUCAAUAAAAUAUAGAAUAAGGAUAUACAAACAAGAACUAAUCCUAGCGAAAAAGUAGAAAAAGUUGGGUUGGUAAGUAAUACCACCCCUAGACCCCCUAGUAGAAGAACAAAUCCCCCGAAUAGCACAAGAAUUUCAUGUGUUGGCCCAGGUAAAUCCAUUAUGGAUAAGAAGAAAUUAAUAGUAUAAAUUUUUUCAUGAACUGACUAAAACUAAAAGAUUCAAGGAAGAAAAAAGGGAUUAGGAAAUUUUUUUGUAUAUUGUAUAUAAGUUCUUUGUAUAGUUAGAAAUCACAUCACGAAAAUCUACUCUGGUUUAAAAUCAGGAAUAAUUUGCAAUAAGCAGUAGGUAUUCGUUUUUCUUUCUAGUUAGUAAAGAACUUUUGGAUUCUAACAAAAAAAUUCUAGUAAUCAGUAAUCGUUCUUGAAUUCCAAGAUUUUUCUUCGUCUAUUUUACUUUGCGUUGAAUUCCUAAUUGUUUGAAUUGUGUAAUCUCCCAUUAUGGAGAUUGGUAACCGACUCAAAGCAAUUUGAUUGUAAUUCAAUUCAUGACGAUCAUAAGUAGAAAGUUCAUAUUCUUCAGUCAUUGAUAAACAGUUUGUUGGACAGUACUCAACACAAUUACCACAAAAUAUACAAACUCCGAAAUCAAUACUAUAAUUAAGCAAUUGUUUCCUUUUAAUAUCCUUUUCAAAUCUCCAAUCCACAAGAGGUAGAUCUAUAGGGCAUACGCGAACACAUACUUCACAAGCAAUACAUUUAUCAAAUUCAAAGUGGAUUCGCCCCCGGAAACGCUCCGAUGUAAUUGAUUUUUCAUAGGGGUAGUGAAUCGUUAUAGGUAAACGAUUUGUGUGGGAUAAGCUAAUUAUGAAACUUUGACCAAUGUACCUUGCUGCGCGUAUUGUUUGUUGACCAUAACUCAUGAACCCAGUUACCAUAGGGAACAUAUUCGAAAUAUCUAUGAAAAAGGUAUGUUUCUUUCUCUUGUUUGAGAGGACUUUUGUGUUGAAAAUAUUCUUACUGUUAUUGUAUUAUCUUAUUUUAUAGUGAAACAAGUUGGGAAGAAGUUGUUAAUAAGAGAUUGCCCAGGGAAAUAGGUAAAAGAAAUUUCCAUCCAAGAUUUAAUAACUGAUCCAUUCUCAUCCUGGGUAAAGUCCAUCUUAUUGUGAUAGAAAUGAAGAGAAAUAAAUAAUCUUUAGUUAAUGUAAUAAAGAUACUCAUUGUCAUUUCUAAAAUUCCAACCAUUUUAUUCAUUUGGAAAAAUCCAAAAAAGGAUAUAUAGGGAAUAGACAAAUUCCACCCGCCUAAGUAGAGAACUGUUACAAAUAAAGAGGAAACUAAUAAAUUUAGGUAAGAAACAAGAUAAAAUAAACCAUAUUUGAUACCAGAAUAUUCGGUUUGAUAACCUGCUACUAAUUCUUCCUCCGCUUCUGGUAAAUCAAAGGGUAAUCUUUCACAUUCCGCCAAAGAAGAAAUUAGAAAAACCAGAAAACCUAUAGGCUGACGCCAAAGAUUCCAUCCAAAAAAAACCAUAUUUUGACUGUGCUUCAACUAUAUCAACUAUACUUGAAUUGUUGGAUAAUCAUAGUCGACGAUAACAUCACAGUUCCCACCGCUAUUCCAAAACCGUACAUGAAACCUUAGUUUCAUACGGCUCCUCUAUGAUCAGAAAAAAGGAAAGUACUGUUUCAUUUCGUUAUUAUCUUCUUGGGCGUAGUUAGAAUUAUCUAAGAUAAAAUCGAUUUCAAUGUCCUAAAUUAGACCAAAGGAAUUAUGUCUGCUAGAAUAAUAAAAAACGCUUCGGAAUUCAUCUCAUCCUUUAUAAUAUAAUGGUACUUUUUCUUUGUUCAGCAAUAACUUAAUCUUGGAAUAAAACACUCGUUAUAACAAUUAAUAAACGAAAAGAGUUGGGUAUUAGUUCAUGAAGAAUUCUGUAUGAAUAUGGAUAAACGACGGAAAGAAUAAAUAAAGAUCUUUUUUUUGUAUUGCAUUCCAUAUCUUUUGUCCUAUUCUUCUUUCCCCGAGGGGUAUUUAAAAAGAAAAAAGGAAUAAAGGGUUAAUUCGUUCUUGAUAGCCAUUUCCUUAACAAGUGAAUGGGAACAUACUCUGGAUCAGAAUCCGAAGAAAGUACUACUUGCUCAUUUCCACUAAUUUCAAGUCCUUAUUAUGAUUCCUUUUAUGAGGAAAAAUAUCUAAUGCUUUAGAUUCCCUCAUUACUAAUCCUUUGUGUACUUUAGUGUUUCUAAUCCCUCACUAACUUUUGAUGGAUUCCUUUAUGAUUACAACUUUCUGUAUCAGGAAUCCCUUAUUAUUGCCCGCUUCAAGAUAUGAUGACUAAUCAAAAAAUCUCAACCUUGGGGUAAAGAAUUUACACCGCUUAUGUUUACUUCCAUUUUUUCUUGUACAUAGGAAAUGAGAUUUUUUUCUUUUUACUACAAAUUAAUAAGCAGUUUUGUUUCUCUCAUAUAGCUAUCUAGUUUAACUUACUAACCUGAAUAUAGAAUAAGAAAAGGAGGAUAAAUAUUCAAUGAAUUUCAGAGGAAAAAGAUCCUAUUUUAACGAAUCGCACGUAGAGAUAUUGCUAGUACACAAAAAGUUAAUGGGAUUUCAUAACUAAUAGAUUGAGCGGCAGCUCGUAGACCACCUGAAAAAGAAUAUUUAUUAUUUGAGCUAUAUCCUGCCAUAAGAAGACCAAUAGGAGCAAUACUUGAAAUGGCAAUCCAUAAAAAAACACCAAUACUAAGAUCCGCUAAAACAAAGCGAUAUCCCAAAGGAAUAACUAAAAAACUUAAUAAAAUUGAUAUGACUGCUAUAGACGGUCCAAUGCUAAAUAAGGGAAUAUCCCCUCGGGAUGGCAAGAUAUCCUCUUUAAAAAGUAGCUUAGUUCCAUCUGCUAUAGCUUGAAGCAGUCCCAGGGGGCUAGCAUAUUCAGGACCAAUACGUUGUUGUAUCGAUGCGGAUAUUUCUCUUUCUAACCACACAAUUACGAGUACUUCUAUUGUGAUUCCCAGUAAGAGGGUCAAAAUGGGUAGAAUCCAUAUCAGUCCAUAGACUUCUUUUAAUAAUUCCAAGUUCGAAAAAGAAUUGAUAGCUUCUACCUGUACCCUGUCUAUUAUCAUUUCAACGAUCAACUUCUCCCAUAAUGAUAUCUAUACUACCUAAUAUCGUCAUGAUAUCAGCCAAUUUCAUUUUUUUUACUAGCUGAGGAAGAAUUUGCAAAUUAAUAAAACCGGGUGGACGAAUUUUCCAUCUCCAGGGGAAAAGACUAUCAUCUCCUACCAGAUAAAUUCCUAUUUCACCUUUUGGGGCUUCCACUCUUGCAUAAAGCUCUUGUUUUGACAAUUCAAAAUUGGGUGAAGGUUUUUUACCAAGAAAUUGAUAUUCAAAAUCAUUCCAUUCGGAAUUCUUUGCUUUCUUAAAGUGUCGGACUUCUAAAUUCUCAUAAGGGCCCCCAGGAAUUUUUUCUACAGCCUGUUGAAUAAUUUUGAUUGAUUCCCUCAUUUCACCGAUUCGUACUAAAUAGCGUGCUAAUGAAUCCCCUUCUUUUUGCCAUUGGACUUUCCAAUCGAAUUGAUUGUAAGACUCGUAAAGAUCAACUUUACGAAGAUCCCAUUGUAUUCCAGAAGCUCGUAACAUGGGGCCCGAUAAGCCCCAAUUUACAGCUUCUUCUCCGCUAAUAAAACCAACUCCCUCAACUCGUUCCAAAAAAAUGGGAUUCUGUGUAAUAAGUUGUUGAUAUUCAAUAACUCCUCGUAAAAAAUAAUCACAGAAAUCUAAACAUUUAUCGAUCCAUCCAUAAGGCAGAUCGGCAGCAACUCCUCCGAUGCGAAAGUAAUUAUGCAUCAUUCGCAUACCUGUAGCAGCUUCAAAUAGAUCAUAUAUUAAUUCUCUCUCUCUAAAAAUAUAAAAAAAGGAGUCUGCGCACCGAGAUCUGCCAUAAAAGAUCCAAGCCAUAACAAGUAAGAAGCUAUACAGCUCAAUUCUAACAUAAUUACCCUAAUAUAGCUGGCUCUUUGGGGUAUUUGAAUAUUCUCCAAGAAUUCUGGUGCAUUUACCGUUAUUGCUUCUGUAAACAUAGUAGCUAAAUAAUCCCAACGUGUUACAUAAGGUAAGUAUUGUAUAAUAGUUUGGUUUUCCGCGAUUUUUUCCAUUCCUUUGUGUAAAUAGCCUAAUAUGGGUUCACAAUCAAUAACAUCUUCACCAUCGAGAGUAACGAUCAGUCGAAGAACACCAUGCAUUGAUGGGUGCUGAGGGCCCAUAUUGACUAUCAUGAGAUCUUUUCUUGUAAGCGGUAGACUCAUAUCCUUUCUUCCUUAAUUCAUUAUUCCAUGAAAAUAGAUUAUUCCAUGAAUUCCUCAAAAUGAGGCUCAUCAAAAUGCAAAAUCUAAGACUACUAUAAGACUACUAAUAAAAUAAGAAAAAAAAUUCGAACGAUGAAAUUACCGCUCCCUAAUAUCCAACUGACUGAUUAAUUUCUUAUAACGUACUCUAUUUUUCUUUGCCAAAUAAGCCAGCAAACGUUGACGUUUUCCCAAAAGUCUUCGGAGACCUCUUUCCGAUGAAAAAUCUUGUGUAAUUCCAAAUGUGAAGCAAGUCUCCGUAUCUUAUUAGUGAAACUGAAUACUUGAAAUUCAACAGAACCCCAGUUUUCUUCUUUUUCUUCUUUAACCAUAAAUCCAAAAAUUUUUCUACCUCCUUUCUUUUUCGUGUAUUUUUCU